CAUAUACACUCACAAUUUUGUCUAUGCAUUAAUGAACAUGAUGAAGUUAUAUCAAUUUGAAUUUCUCUUAUCCCUCUUCCUUAUCAUUGUCAAUACAACCUUUUCGGGUUAUGUCCCUCAAUUGUCUCCUUCUCUUGGCAAACAAAUAGGGAAGACAUUAGACAAGAUCAAACAAUCUCCUCCAUCAGAUGAACAACCAACAAAAGAGAUUGAAGGCCUAUCUCAAAUCAAACAACAUUUGGACACUUUCGGCUACUUCCAACGAUCUCCGCUGGACUUUGAUGACGUUCUAGACAAGGAAACAAUAUCCGCUAUUAAGGCUUACCAACAAUUUUUCAAUCUCCAGGUUACUGGUCACCUAGACUCCGAGACUUUACAACUACUCUUGUUACCAAGAUGUGGUGUUCCUGAUAUGAAUUUUGAGUACAGCUUCACUGACGCAAUUAAUAUAUCAUUACCGAAAGGAAACAAGUGGUUUCCCAAGGGCACGAAAAAGCUUACGUAUGGUUUUCAUCCGGAGAGCCAAAUCUCAACUGACAUGAUCAAAGUGUUUAGAAAUGCCUUCACACGAUGGUCGCAGACCACUAGGGUCCUAAAUUUUAGCGAGACAACAUCAUACGAUGAUGCUGACAUUAAGAUUGGAUUCUACAAUAUUACCUACAAUGAUGCAGUUGAUGAUGUUGUUGUGGGUGACUCUUUCAUCAGCUUGAAACUUGAUUCGAAGGCGAAGUCAGGUUUGAUACGUCUAGACGCUUCAAAGUACUGGGUGUUGCCAACUACCUACUUUUGGUACUGGGAAUUUCACCAAUUCGACUUGGAGACUGUUGCCAUGCAUCAAAUAGGUCAUCUACUAGGACUUGAUCACUCGUCUGAUGAGGAGUCUAUUAUGUACCCAACAAUAGUGCCAUUGCAACAAAGGAAGGUGCAGAUAACAGUUUCAGAUAACUUAGCUAUUCAACAACUCUACACCAACUCUGUCAAAGCCAAUCCAGACUCUGAUCAUAGUGGGUGCUUCAAACUUUUUGAGUCUACUUUUGAUACCUCUUUGUCCCUUGGUUUUGCUUUCGUGGCUCUGAUGAACUUGGCUUUCUAAUUAAUACAUCAUUUGAUUAGGGACUCACUUUUACGUAAGUUAAAUAAUUAAUUUGUGUACUUUACUUCAUGUGUCAUUUUCGGUUAAUGUUAAAUAGUUUGUUAUGGGGUAUCAUGAUACGUGAUUAUUGUAAUUGAUUAGAUAUCCAUUGGAGUGCAAAAUUCACUACAAUAUUGUUGGGAUAUUUAGCAACAUUUGAAAAAUGAUACAAAGCCAUACAAAAAUGUAAUGAAUUUGAUUUAGUAACAUCUUAGCCUCCGAGAUAAAACCAACGUUGCUAAAAGGUUCUAUUGGAAUGAUAAAACCUUGGAGUGUGCUCAUUUCAAAGUUUUAGGUUAUAACAUAAGCCAGAUGAAGGAACAUAAAGACCUAUAUUAUAUACCCACUCAUGAAUUUUCUCGAACUAACCGAACUCCUUCAUAUACGUCAGGAGUCCAUUGAUGAGAGGGCGUUGGAGAAAGCUUGAACCCAAUUCCUACGGUGAUGAAUAUAAGAUCAAUUGAAAUAUCUCUUUGAUAAAGGAUUUCUCCAUAAUGGCCAUGAAUGGUUGCUCCUUGAGUCGCCAAUAUAGAUUAGCUGACUCUCUCAAGUGUCAAUUUCAGUAGGCUAAUUUAUCUUCUUUAAAAAUGAAUUAAAAAUGGUACAUGCAUUAAUGAAUUAAAAAUGGUACAAUGCAUUAAAAAUAAAUCUGCCAAAUAAAAGUUUUAAAAAUGUAUAAAACAUGUGGUGCAAACAUAAAAUUAUUUUACGCCGCUAUGGUGAUUUGCAAUAGUUAUAAGGACACUCCGCAUCGGUGGCUAAUAACAAUUCUAAAAUAACUUGAAUAACAAUGUCACAUAGUUGAUCUAUCUAAGAUCGAUGAAGAUGAAGAUGAAGAUGAUGAUGAGUUGAGUAGGUGCGGUGUAGCGGAGUAGCUGGAUAUCUAGAAAAAUACUUCGACGCUCGGUAAGAGCUAAAGGUGUUUCGAGGUUUUUUUGGAUUGAGAAUGUGUACUAUUUUUUUUAGAAUGGGUGACUCCUUUUAGAGGCGGUGAUUCGGGUUGUGAUAGUGAUCAAAGGGGCCAUAUUGUCUCUGCCUGCCAUUCUCUAUUUUGUGGUUUUAUGUUGACGUUAGUGUACUGCGUUUGAAUCAGGUAGCUUAUUGAGCAGUCAUGUCUUAGAAUUGGACCUUGACUGGUGAAAAACAAUACCUUAAAAAGAAAAACAACGUGCUAGUUAUUGGUUGAUUCAAUUACUACUUAUUAUAACUUCAGUUUUUCAAGGAUCACUUGUUCUUUUACAUAUUUGAAAUCAUACACUAAUGUAUAUUAAUGUUAAAAAAUGUUUGAAUUGUUAACCUCUAAUUGUUGCAUAUGAAACAACAAUUACAAACUGUCACCAUCAAAAUAUAAAAUUGAAUUAUAAACACUUUUGAUGUCUAAACUACCAAUUUAAAAGUUUUUCUCUAUAUUUUAUUUCAUUUACUUUUAUUUUAUAAACCCUCUAAUUCUUGCCCUAUUUUCAGUUCAUAUUUUAUCUAUGCAUUGAUCAUUAAUGAACAUGAUGAAGUUAUAUCAAUUUCAAUUGUUCUUAUCCCUCCUCCUCAUCAUUGUCAAUACAACCGUUUUAGGUUAUUAUAUAGCUCAAUUGUCUCAUUCUCAAAUCAAAAAACAUUUGAACACUUUCGGCUACUUCCGACGAUCUCCGCUGGACUUUGAUGACGUUCUAGACAAGGAAACAAUAUCCGCUAUUAAGACCUACCAACAAUUUUUCAAUCUCCAAGUUACUGGUCACCUAAACACCGAGACUUUACAACAAUUCUCGUUUCCAAGAUGUGGUAUUCCUGAUAUGAAAUACGAGUACGGCUUUCAUGAUGGAAGUAAUGUAUCAUUUCCGAAAGGAAACAAGUGGUUUCCCAAGGGCACGAAAAAGCUUACGUAUGGUUUUCUUCCGGACAACCGAAUCCCAAUCGACAUUAUCAAGGUGUUUAGAAAUGCCUUCACACGAUGGUCGCAGACUACUAGGGUCCUAAAUUUUAGCGAGACGACAUCAUAUGAGGAUGCUGAGAUUAAGAUUGGAUUCUACAAUAUUAAUUACAAUGAUGCGGUUGAUGAUGUUGUGGUGAGUGACUCUUUCAUCAGCUUGAAACUAGAUUCAAAUGUGAAAUCAGGUAUGUUACGUCUAAACGGUUCAAAGUCUUGGGUGUUGCCAACUUACACCAAAUUUUGGGACUGGCAAUUUCAGCAAUUCGAUUUGUUGACUGCGGUGAUGCAUCAAAUAGGUCAUCUACUAGGACUUGAUCACUCUUCUGAUAAGGAGUCUAUUAUGUACCCAACAAUAUUGCCAUGGCAACAAAGGAAGGUGCAGAUAACAGAAUCAGAUAACUUAGCCAUACAACAACUCUAUUCCAGCUCUACAAAAGCCAAUGCAAACUCUCAUUAUAGUGGCCUCUUUGCCUCUUUGUCCAUUGGAUUUGCUUUUGUGGCUCUGUUGAACUAGCAUUUAAAUUAUAUCCCUUCAUUAGAGACUCUUUUUUACAUAAGUUAAAUGAUUAAUUUGUGUAAUACUUUACUUCGUGUGCCAUUUUCCGGUAAUGCUUAAUAAUAUAUGUUUAGGAUUUAGCAACAUUUGAAAUAAGGUGCUAAAACAUGCUAAAAGUUAUAAACUUUAUAUAUUAACAUUUUAACUUCCUAUAUACACAUUUUGAUCACAUAUAUGGAAAAUUCUAUGGUGAAGUUAUGAGAAUGACUUUUUUGGUGAAGUUAACACUAUAACAUCAAAAGUUUUGUGAGUAACACCCCACUGUUUAUACAAUGACAUCAAAGUUCAGUCCCAUAAUAUCAUCAAUUCAUCAAAUUAACAAGAAUACACUUAAUUUAAUUUUAUUCUACCUUAUUUUAAGUAUAACACGCCCCAAAGUGUAUCAAUUAAGACUAUCAUAUGAUAUCAACAACUUUGUUUACAUGUUAAAGAUGUCAACUAUAAAAUAGUACUUGUAAGUCCAAAAUAUUGUAAGCAUUACUAGAUGAAUUACUAUUAAUCAUUAAUCAAUAAUCAACAAUUUAAAAAUGAAUCAAACAUUAAAGUUAAAAUUAACUUUUUCAAAAAAAUUAGUUUCAUGACUUCACCUUAAAAGCUCCCAUAGUAUAUAUCCAAUUGCAAAAUGAAGUAUUAUCAAUCAAUUCAAACCACAAAAAAGUUGGUACACAUUGGCACACCAAUGUGUUCGAAGAAAUGCUGAAUAAAUUUAUAUACCUUCUUGAUGACCAAAGAAUCCAUUUGACAUACUAUUCCAUUGAAACUGUUUCUUACGUACCCAAUCCUUAGUUUCAUGUUUCUUACGUACCCAAUUUUUAUUCCUUUUAUUAUUCUUUGUAGUAAAGGUAGUUUGUGAUUAGAGAAGCAUGAACAUGAUUAAAUCACAUUGAUUCAACCGUAUGAUAUCAUAUUUGGAUAAAUCAUGUUUCGCUAUUACUCAUCAGUUUACGAUGAGCAAAGAAGUAACUAAAUAACAAGAGUUUUUUUUUCUUUUGUUAUGGUCGGAAUUCGAACCCGGACCUUGUAUAUAUUAUACAUUGUUCAUACUAACUGAGUUAAGCUCACGAAGACAAAUAACAAAAGUUAGUUACAUAUGUUAAUAUAUGGGUUUCCCUCAAAAAAUAAAAAAAUGUCAAUAUAUGGGAUUAAAUUAUUAGUAUCAUGUAAUCGUCCUUGCGCCGAAUAGGGAGUUUAAGAAAAAAAUUGUGUAAUCGUAAGAGAGAAAUAAUUUUGGAAUAUAUUUGGGAACUUCUACGGUACACCUCACAAAUAAUUUGUUAAUACUUUAAUUUUAAGAAACAUCAUUUCAUAAAAAAAACAAAACAUCAAUUCAUUGUUUAUAAGAAUCAUAUUAAAUUUUUAACAUUUUUUCAUAAAAAAUAAUCAAUAAUCUUUGUCAUGAGUAGUAGAAAAUAAAAAAUAAAAAAUAUUUUGUUGACGCUUUUGGAAAAUAAGAUUUAAUUAUUAUAAUUGUCAAUGAUAAAAAAUAAUUCUUUUUCUUAAAAAAAAAAAAAAAACAACCCAUUUAAUUAUUAAUUUAAAGAUUUGGUGUACCGGAACACUCAAAUUGUUGAAUUUACCAUAAAAUUUGCCUAUGUAUUAUUUCGUUCAUGCAUGUGAAUGCUUUUGUUGCGGGCAAAUUUUAUGGUACACCCAAUAAAUUUGGGUGUAUCGAUACACCAAGUCGUAAAAUUAAUAAUAAAUGAGUUGUUUUUUUGAAGAAAAAUAAUUAUUUUCUAUCAUUGACAACUAAGAUAAUUAAAUUUUAUAUACCAAAAGAUUCGACGAAAUAAAAUUUAAUUUUUAAGAAUUUUUAUUACUCAUAACAAUGAAUAUUGAUUAUUUUUUAUGACAAAAUGUAAACUUUGUAAUAUGAUCCUUAUAAACAAUGAAAUGAUGUUUUCUAAAAUAUAAAUAUUGACAAAUACCUUUUUAUUUCAUUAAAGUGAUCUUUAAUUUAUAUAUUUUGUGAAACAAGAGUACCGGUACACUCAAAAAUGUGAAUGUACCAUAAAAGUUCCCUUUGUUGCGGCCGACACAAGUAUUACUGCAUCUCGACAGUGGACGCCAAAUGUUCUUGCUGGUACACGUGGAGACGAGCCAUGAGAUAUUUGUGCCAUUUGGAUAAAAGUUAAUUAUUUAAUAUAUAUAUAUAUAUACACUCUUUUUUAAAAUUUUAGUCCCUAUUAAAAUUUAUUGAAAAAUUUAGUUCUCCAUAAUAUUGUAGCUUAAAAUAACGGUUCCUAUUUUAAAAAUAUUUUACUGAAAAUGAAUACUCUUAGUCCUUAAAAUAAUCGAUAUAAAAGGAAAAUAAGGUUUAAAAGUGAAUAGAUUUUUUUGAAUAACUAAAUUUGAAAGCUCCUGUUUUUGUACUAGGAUAUUUAUAACCAUUAAUAAAAUAAAUUUGUAAGCCAAAUCUUGAGAAAACAAUUGUUAAAACUUAAAUGUAAUGUUGUAAACUCUUUUUGAAAUCUUCUUUUACGUAUCUUAUUCUUAUGCUUGAAUGCAGCGACGGAUUCAGAAUUUUUUAAUAGUGGGGCACCAUAUAAAAAAAUUUGUAGCAUUAAUAAUUGUCCUCUAUAAUUUUUCAUAUUAUGGAAACUUUGAAUGGUUUUCUUAUUUUGAAAAUCAAUAAAAAUAUAUUUCUUUAUAUAAAUAACUAAACAAUCAUUUAACCGAUCAUCUCUCAUUCAAUUUUGCAUCAGAUUCUUGAUAAUAUUCAUACUAUCAAGAAAUAAUUUGAGAUAUAUGAUUAUAUAUGUGGGCCAAAAUACAAAUAAUUUGUGAUAAAUGUGGAUCGUAUGAUCAAAAUGUCAACUAUUGAUACAUUAUACUACUAAAAAUAAUAGUUUCUUAAAAAUUUAGUGUAGGCACAAGCCCACAUAUGGAUGAACAUACAUCCGUCCCUGCUUGAAGGACUUGUGAGCUUUGAUUUUUUUAUUUUAUUUUGGCUUUUUAAACAAAAAAAAAAAAACAGAGAAAACAAUUGUAAAAAAAAAUUAAAAAAAAAAAUCCUGCAAAAGAGUCAACAAAACACUUAUUGAGUAUUUGGCUUUCAUGUCUUUGCAAAAUCUUGCCUUAGCAAGCCUUAACUCAUAACAACCAUGUCGUUCUUUCCCUCUCGUACUCACAUGAAGAAAAAUAAAUUGACUAUUAUUUUUCUCACCCUAUGUACUUUUCACGUGCCUUAUUUUUUCCCAAAAUAUCAUUGGUUCGGAUUUUAUAAUUUGAACAUGAUUUCAAGAAAUAUUCAUAUUACAUAAUCCGAAAAUGUCUUUUACCAAAAUUUUAAUUUGAGUUUGGUUUAUUUUAUAUUAUUUAGAUGCAAAAAUCAUAAAAUAAAUGAAAAAAAUAAAAGAACAAAAGAUAUACAUAAAAAUUUCAUUUUAUUAUUAUAUCAAUACAUUUACAAUAAAGCUGAAUCUUAAAGCUUAUUACAUAUAACAUUCAAACACCUAAAACUAAUUUAUUAGCGGGGUAUAACUAAAUCUGCAGCACAAGAAGAUGUUGGGGGAGCUAAACUAGUGGCGCAAGCUGAUGGGGAGGAAAGGUGAACGGGUGGGCGAAGGGGAAAGAGAUGUUGGGGGGGGGGGCAUAGGUAUGGUUUGUUUCCUUUUAAGGGCGAAAGAGACCUUGAUGGUAAACUUUGCACCCAAACAAACCGUGCUUCUUUGCAGUGCAUUGCCUUCCCCGUUAACCGUUCAUACAAUCCUUGAGUCCAAAGUAGCAUCUUUUUAUGAAAUGCCAACGAUGGGAACACAUUGUUGUAUAAGGAAGAUGAGGAAGAGGAUGAGAGUGUGAGAUGAUGGUGUGAGAAAUGGUGAAGGUUUAUACGUUAUUUAUAGGGGGGAAUGGUUGCAUAUAGUGUAUCUACACUUAAUGUUGAGUCAAAAAAACGUGGUUCAAAGGGGUUUUACCACCCAUUAAUGCUGGUAAAAACCUUUGAAAAUGUGUUUUAUGUGGUUCAGACCACCGGCCAAGAAACUCACUUGGUUCAAAUUAUAUAAUCUGAAAUCAUACCCAUGGUUUUCGGAUUAUAUAAUCUUAAUUAAUUCAAUGCUAGGUGGAAAUGAAGGAAACUUCAUACCUUAUGCAGGGUGAGAGACUUUUCGGAUUAUAUAAUAAGAAAAUGUUUAGGACAUGAUUUUUUUCUGUGGUCCGCAUUGCACCGACAGUUUAUGUGCUAUAGGACACCCAAGUACCUCUAUAAAUAGGUGUCCUUGUUUUCAUAACCAAAAAACCACACACAAAAAACAUGGAAAACUCUCAUUGAUCCGAACACCAAGCUAGCUACAGUUUACUACAACGGGGAGAAACCAAUCCAUUUGUUCAGGAUUCACACUUAUGUCGCCCUCUCCGUGUUGAAGGGUCAGCUGGAUCGAAUCAACCGCCAACUCAACUAAAGAGACACACAGAGGGUGGAUGGUGUUGAGUAUCGACAUCCAUCGAUCGACUCAGCCGGGAGUGUGCGGUUCACCCGGAUGAUGCCUAUGAACGACGAUGUGAGAACCAUAUUCUUGAUCUUUGGUCAGUACAGUACUAGAGGGCCGAUCGAGUUAGACGCUUCGUUGGUCAUAUAUGUUGAACAAAUUCAUAAAAGUUUGAUCCGACCGAAGAACUACGAAGAGAUUAGGGCACUCCUGGACGCACCAUAUGAAGACAUUAAUUUAGCUCAUAUGUGGUAUGAUUCUCAUCAAAGGGUCCAUAUUUUCUUUGGUUCCCAUUCUCUAUUUUGUGGUUUUAUGUUGACGUUAGUGUACUGCGUUUGAAUCAGGUACCUUAUUGAGAACUCAUGUCUUACAAUUGGACCUUGACCCAGUGAAAAAACAAUACCUGAAAAAAGAAAAACAAUGUGCUAGUUAUUGGCUUAUGCAGUUACUACUUAGUAAUUGUUUUUCAAGGAUCACUUGUUCUUUAACAUAUUUGAAAUCAUAUACUAUGUAGAACGAUGUUAAAAAAUGAUAGAAUUGUUAACCUCUAAUUGUUGCAUAUGAAACAACAGUUACAAACCGUCACCAUCAAAAUAUAAAAUUGAAUUAUAAACACUUUUGAUGUCUAAACUACCAAUUUAAAAGUUUUUCCUCUAUAUUUUAUUUCAAUUACUUUUAUUUUAUAAACCCUCUAAUUAUUGUCCUUUUAUUUUUUCUAUGCAUUAAUCAUUAAUGAACAUGAUGAAGUUAUAUCAAUUUGAAUUGUUCUUAUCCCUCCUCUUUAUCAUUGUCAAUACAACACUUUCGGGUUAUAUCCCUCAAUUGCCUCAUUCUCUUGGCAAACAAAUAGACAAGAUUAAACAAUCUUCUCCAUCAGAUGAACAACCAACAGAAGAGAUUCAAGGCCUAUCUCAAAUUAAAAAACAUUUCGACACUUUCGGCUACUUCCCACAAUUUCUAUUGAACUUUGAUGACGUUCUAGACGAGGAAACAAUAUCCGCUAUUAAGACGUACCAACAAUUUUUCAAUCUCCAAGUUACUGGUCACCUAAACACCGAGACUUUACAAAAAAAUCUCGUUACCGCGAUGUGGUAUUCCUGAUAUGGGAUACGAGUAUGGCAUCGAUGUUGGAAGUAAUGUAUCAUUUCCGAAAGGAAACAAGUUGUUCCCUAAGGGCACAAAAAAGCUUACAUAUGGUUUUCUUCCAGGGAAAAAAAAUCUCAUUAGACAUGAUCGAAGGGUUUAGAAAUGCCUUCACAUGUUGGUCGCAGACUACUAGGGUCCUAAAUUUUAGCGAGACAACAUCAUACGAUGAUGCUGACAUUAAGAUUGGAUUCUACCAUAUUUACAACAAUGAUGUUGUUGAUGAUGUUGUGGUGGGUGACUCUUUCAUCAGCAGGAACCUUGAUUCGAAUGAGAAAUCAGGUAUGGUACGUCUGGAAUGUUCUAAGUUCUGGGUGUUGCCAACUACCACCUACUUUAAGAAGUGGGAAUUGCAAGAAUUCGAUUUGGAGACUGUUGUCAUGCAUCAAAUAUCUACUAGGACUUGAUCACUCUUCUGAUAAGGAGUCUAUUAUGUACCCAUUAAUAGAUCCAUUGCAUGAAAAGAAGGUGCAAAUAACAGAUUCAGAUAACCAAGCUAUACAACAACUCUACACGGUUUUCCUUCCAAAAAAAAAAAAAAAAAAAAAAAACAACAACUCUACACCAACACUACCAAAGCCAAUCCAAACUCUGAUCAUAGUGGGUGCUUUAAGCUUUUUGAGUCAAGUUUUGUUCUUCUUACCUCUUUGUCCUUUGGUUUUGCUUUUGUAGCUCUCAUGAACUUGGCUUCCUAAUAAUUGUGUACCUUACUUCAUGUGCUAUUUUCCGUUCAUGUUGAAUAGUUUGUUAUAGGGGGUAUCAUGAUAUAUGGUUGUUGUAAUUGAUUACAUAUCUAUUGGAGUGCAAAAAUCACUUCAAGUAGACUUUCGACUUAUCGACUAUAAUAAAGAUCAAUAAAUUAUAUUAUCUAUUUUCAUUGAUGAUAAAUAAGUUGUAGGGUUUAUUACCAUAAAAUAUGGUAUGAUAAACAUUCAUAUAUUUUGAGGCCAGUGGCGGAGCCAGGAUUUUUAAAGAAUCUGAGCAAAAUUUUGAAUGCAAAUUCACAUGUGACAUAAUAUAUAAAUAGUGUUAUACAUCGAAAUCAAAUAGGCUCGUCAUUUUGACAAUAAAAGUACAAUUUGAAAUAAGAGAGAUGAAACAUAACCUGCUAAUAUUCAUAUUUUGUUACCAUAAAGUAAAUGAGCAAUAUUCAAAUUUUAUUACCAUAAAGUAAAUGAGCAAUGAAGUAUAUAUAGAUUUUGAUUUAUGAGAGUAUUAAGUAUUGGUUUGGGUGAAUAGUAUAAUAGUUCAUAGUUAGGAGAAUUAUUCAAGUUAAGUCACUUUAAGAAUUUAUUCAAAAAAUUGAUUAUAGUAAUCAAUUUCAAAUUCCAAUGAUAUUGAUUAUAAUAUAAUAUUUUAUUAUAUUGAUUAUACUAAUUUUAGUGGUAAUUUUAUGAAUUAUUCAUUUUUAAAAUUUAUAGUAGAAUAGAAAAUAUAAAAAAUAAAAUAAAACAAUGAAUAAGUUUUAGUGACAGCCGCAACCGUAGGUAGAGGUCCAUAAUAUUUUUAAAAUGGCCUCUUAGAAUUACCAAUGGUUUCGUCCGUAGUUAAAGGUGGAAAACAUGCAGUGACAACCACUUGACAACGAUAGAUGGAUUUAGCUACGGAAAUUUUUCCUACAGUGACGAAUUUUGGCUGUCACUGAUGAGUCAUUUAUAUACUAUUUUAAUAUGCUUUUUAGUUUAGUUUUAUUUAGAUUUUAUAUAAUUUUAUAUUAGUAUUAUUUCCUUUUUAGGAUAGUUUACUUUAAAUUGCAAUUUAUUAUAUUUCAGGGAAGAAUAUUGGAUGGAUUGAGUCUUGGAGCAAAAGAAAGGGAUUUGGAGCAGAUUGGACACGAAAAUAUGAAGAUUGGGAGACAAAAUAUGUCUCCCACAAGUCAGAAGCCUGGCACGGCCCGUGCUAGCCUUGGCACGGCCGUGCCACCCUCCAGAAGACCUUUUGCUGCUUUUGCUUGGGCUCUAAGCUAUUCUAUUUUGGCGCACAAUCUACCGUGGAAUAUUCUUGGAAUAUACUUGCUUAGAUUUUAAGUCAAUUGUGUACUAUAAAUAGAGUAGCUAGCCAUCACAAAUAUUCAUCUUUUCUUGGAAUGCAAUAUGUGACAAUUGUUUUCUAAUAAAAGUUCAUUUACUUUAUUGUUAUUUACUUUUAUGCUUUCUCUCUUCUUCUCCUUGUCUACGAUGAACGUCAGUGAGUAGACUUCUCUUGUCUUGGGAUUGUUGGAUAAGUCUAAUGACAUAAUCCUAAUCAAACCAAGCUUUAAACCUUAAUCUUAUGUAACCCUAAUUCCUUAUCUAAAUUCACCGCUUUAACAUGGAUCAACCAUUAUCAAACUGUGGAAACGAAAGUGGAGGGUUUGAUAAUUGUUUAUCCAUCAUCUCAAAUAUCAAUUCAUAAAACGAAAGUGGAGCUUUGAUAUUCGAACAAGUGAAUUUAGACAAGGAUUGCAAAGUCAGCGAAAUAGGCUUUGCAAUCUUUGAGACAUAUAGUUUCGAUCUUCAAGGGAACUAAUAACAAUCAAGUCAGCGAAAUAGGCUUGGUUGUUAGAGGAACCAAAAUCUAAUAGUAAUCAAGUCAGCGAAAUAGGCUUGGUUGCUAGAGGAACAAAAGAGAAACUGUCUUGAGAAAUUAGGUCUAACAUAAAGUUAUAAGUUUAAUAGUUUGGUUUGAGAAGGACUUGUCGUUAGGAUGAACCAAUAACCCCAAGGCUUUUAUCUUUUAUUUUAUUAUUUGCUCUUAAUUAAAAUCCCAAACUUUUCUACCUUAUAAACCUUUAGUCCAAUCAUUAUCUAAAGUUAAUUGAAUUCGUAACUCCCUGUCGGAACGAUACUCAUAUUUUACUACUUCGGUAAGACCGUGCACUUGCGGUUUUAUCCCAUCAAGUUUUUGGCGCCGCUGCGGGGGAUUGUCCGAAGGUGAUUCAAGAAAACGAGAAAAUUUUGAGGCCCCAUGUCCAGAACCUUGGCACGGCCCGUGCUAACACUGGCACGGCCGUGCCAGACCUUGCUACCCAAAAACUGACCCACAAUCCAGAAAGUUGGCACGGCCCGUGCUAAGUUUGGCACGGCCGUGCCCGAUCCCAGGUUCAGUUUUAUCUAACUUUUCAUCUUCUUCAUCCCCCAUUCUCAACCACUCACAUCCCUCAUCCUCCCAUUUUUAUCUAAAACCUCCAUAACCAAAAAACCUUACAAACUCCAUACCUCCCUCAAAACCUCACCAAUUCUCAAAAUUUCUUCACCCCAUCAACCACAAUCCACAUUUCAAUCAUAACCCUUCCAUCAAAAACAACUUUCUUCCAUCCCUACCAAAAAAAAAAAAACAUCAAAUUCGUAGCCCCCAUUCAACCAACUACAAAACCCACAAAUUCUUCACCAAUUCACCCAACCCAACUCCUAACACUUACUCAAACCCCAACCCCAUCACCCAACCUUCACCCAAAACACAAAAGGUCCACCAAGGUUAAGGAUAAUGGCAUCUAGGAAAGGUGGAGCAAGCUCUUCCGGAGGACCACAAUCAAAGAAGAAAACGCAAGCCAAGAAUCAUGGCAUAAUCUUCAAGGACACCAAGCAAAGGGACAGGUAUAAAAUUCUUCUCUCUAAACCUUUGCAUCCUUGUCGAUAUCCAGAUCCUUAUACUUUGAGUGUGCUAGGACUAAGGGAUAAUGUGUUUAAAUUACUAGGAAAUUUAGGAUGGGUUGAUAUGCUUAGACCUAUGAAAGGUUUCGAAAAUUUCACUUAUGAAUUCUUAAGUUCUAUUGAAUUUACGAAGGAUAAGGUGAAUUUUGACAACCCCGAUCAUAGAGUCUCUUUCCGACUUUUGAAUAUGGAUUAUGAGAUGUCUCUUGAAAAUUUCUGUUUAGAGAUGGACUUUGCAAAUGCGGGGUUCAUCCAUGACUCUUGGAAUCCAAAUUUAAAGUCGGAAAACUAUGACCCCGCUCUCUUUUGGAAACGCAUUACCGGGUUAAGGCAAUAUAAUCCCCGCAACAAUAAGGCUAGUAACAUUCACAACCCAGUACUUAGAUACCUCCAGAGAGUCAUGGCUUGUACCAUUUGGGGUAGAAAAGAGGUAGGAACAACUAGGACGGAUGAACUUUUUAUGCUUUGGGCAAUGCUUAGUAACAAUCCCGUUAAUACUUGUUUCUACCUACUUGAUUACCUUUCCUCCAUAGGAGCUAGACCUGAUAAUAGAGCUGAGAUAGUAGUCGGUGGUAUCAUUACCUUCAUCGCUAGGAAGUUUGGAGCGGGUGAGGAAGAUGGGAUAAAUCCAAUUGAGGGCAACAAUAGACUUAAUAUUGAAACCCUUGUUGCUAUGAACUUCAUUAAGAUUCACCCACCCAUGACUUAUGCACUUCAACUUCGCAUACCACUUUUAUUUCUACUUCCUAACCCAUCUCGGACUAACCCCGAGGUGGAGGAAAAUUUGUUGUAUGUUGGUGAUGGAUUACAGGUACAUGAAGAGCAUAAUCAAGGUGACGAAGAAGGUGCACACAUGCACCAUGAAGAGGAGCCCCAUGACCAUAACGACAACAAUGAAAGAUGGGCAUGGAUGCAAACCGAGGUACAAAGGAUAAGCACCGAGCAACAAAGGCAAGGUGUUGAAUUAUCCGGGCUAAGAAAUGAUGUCCUACGGGGCAACCGCAUAUCCGAAGAAAAUAACCAAAUGCUUCGGAACAUGAUGCAACACUUCAACCUCCAAGGCCCUCCCUAUGGACCUCAAUAAAAAUGUGAGCUUUCCUCUUCCUCUUUUUUCACCUCAUCUCUUUAAUCUCUAUCUCACUCUUCUACCUCUCCUUCUCUUCUACUUUUCUUUUAUCUUGAAUCAUUGAGGACAAUGCUUCUCCUAAGUGUGGGGGGAGCCUAAUAAAGUGUCUUUAGUCGUAGUGUUUCCAAACUCCCUUGAACUUUAUUCUUUUGUUUUGUUUUAUUGUAAAAGGCAUGGUUAAGUAGCUAAUUUUUAUUGAAAAUAUCAUGACACAAAAAUUUUCAUUGUCUCCUCUUAUUUUGUUGAUUAUUGUACAUGAAAGCAAACUCUUGUGUUUUAAGUCUUCUUGAUAUACCCACAUCUUGUUUUAAAGUGAAUAAAAUUCUCCAAUGAGAAAAACACAAAGUUGCUUCCCUUGAGUAAAUGUAUGAAUAGGUAUUUUAAGGAAACGCGUUUUAAUCUUAGUGGUGCAUUAACCUUUAAAGAUUCUCAAAAUGCCAGUAGUAUAAGUCAGUAUAAGGGAGUUCAUGAAAAGCCAAAAAGCCAAAUAAAUUCCAAGAUCUCAUCAUUGAAUCUAGAUUGGGGAAGGAGGUAGGCCCUCCGACUUCCUACGUGAAGAUGAUUGUUAUCUUGAGGAAAAACUUUAAAACGCAUCAUUGAAUCUAGAUUGGGGAAGGGGGUAGGCCCUCCGACUUCCUACGUGAAGAUGAUGUUUUAAGGGAUACCAUUGAAUCUAGAUUGGGGAAGGGGGUAGGCCCUCCGACCUCCUACGUGAAGAUGUUGUUCCUUAAAUAAAGAACUUAAAAUGUGCAAAUGGCAAAGAACAAAGAUUCUCAAAUACUCCCAUCUCUCUUAUAUGAAUUAUAGAAGGAAUCUUUCUUGGUUGGUUUAGUGCUAGGAUUAGACCAUGUUUCCUCAUAAUGCCUAUCUUAUACAGGAGCAAGAAAAGGGUUGGACUUCACACACACACUCACUUGAAACUUGAUCGUUGGGUUGAAUAAAAAUUACAAGAAACACUUGAGUUUGUGAUUAGUGUACACUUGGGAUUUAAGCCCUUGAGGAGACAUGUGCUUUAAUUGAAUUGUCAUUUGAUAUAACUGUUGGUGCUACUAUGUUUAUGCCUUUUGCUUGAGGACAAGCAAAGAUUCAAGUGUGGGGGAGUUUGAUGAGUCAUUUAUAUACUAUUUUAAUAUGCUUUUUAGUUUAGUUUUAUUUAGAUUUUAUAUAAUUUUAUAUUAGUAUUAUUUCCUUUUUAGGAUAGUUUACUUUAAAUUGCAAUUUAUUAUAUUUCAGGGAAGAAUAUUGGAUGGAUUGAGUCUUGGAGCAAAAGAAAGGGAUUUGGAGCAGAUUGGACACGAAAAUAUGAAGAUUGGGAGACAAAAUAUGUCUCCCACAAGUCAGAAGCCUGGCACGGCCCGUGCUAGCCUUGGCACGGCCGGGCCACCCUCCAGAAGACCUUUUGCUGCUUUUGCUUGGGCUCUAAGCUAUUCUAUUUUGGCGCACAAUCUACCGUGGAAUAUUCUUGGAAUAUACUUGCUUAGAUUUUAAGUCAAUUGUGUACUAUAAAUAGAGUAGCUAGCCAUCACAAAUAUUCAUCUUUUCUUGGAAUGCAAUAUGUGACAAUUGUUUUCUAAUAAAAGUUCAUUUACUUUAUUGUUAUUUACUUUUAUGCUUUCUCUCUUCUUCUCCUUGUCUACGAUGAACGUCAGUGAGUAGACUUCUCUUGUCUUGGGAUUGUUGGAUAAGUCUAAUGACAUAAUCCUAAUCAAACCAAGCUUUAAACCUUAAUCUUAUGUAACCCUAAUUCCUUAUCUAAAUUCACCGCUUUAACAUGGAUCAACCAUUAUCAAACUGUGGAAACGAAAGUGGAGGGUUUGAUAAUUGUUUAUCCAUCAUCUCAAAUAUCAAUUCAUAAAACGAAAGUGGAGCUUUGAUAUUCGAACAAGUGAAUUUAGACAAGGAUUGCAAAGUCAGCGAAAUAGGCUUUGCAAUCUUUGAGACAUAUAGUUUCGAUCUUCAAGGGAACUAAUAACAAUCAAGUCAGCGAAAUAGGCUUGGUUGUUAGAGGAACCAAAAUCUAAUAGUAAUCAAGUCAGCGAAAUAGGCUUGGUUGCUAGAGGAACAAAAGAGAAACUGUCUUGAGAAAUUAGGUCUAACAUAAAGUUAUAAGUUUAAUAGUUUGGUUUGAGAAGGACUUGUCGUUAGGAUGAACCAAUAACCCCAAGGCUUUUAUCUUUUAUUUUAUUAUUUGCUCUUAAUUAAAAUCCCAAACUUUUCUACCUUAUAAACCUUUAGUCCAAUCAUUAUCUAAAGUUAAUUGAAUUCGUAACUCCCUGUCGGAACGAUACUCAUAUUUUACUACUUCGGUAAGACCGUGCACUUGCGGUUUUAUCCCAUCAGUCACUAAAAGUCAAAUUUCUUGUAAAUUUCUUGUAGUGAUACAAAGAAAAUAUAGGUUGAACCCGGGUAUGUGCCCAUACUCGCGAGGUGGUAAAACCGCCCCUGCCACUAGCCGCAAAAAUUCUAAAGAAAUAGAUUCAAAGUUGCCUCUUAUUCAACGUUAUAGAAUUGACUUGUAAGAAACUUUUAGUUGCGACAAUUUAAUUUAUUUCAAAUGUUUCAUAAGACUAAUUAGUGGCUUCUCCUUGUGAUCUGAUUAAGGCAUAUAAACAAAAAGCCAUGUUGAUUUUCAUAAAGUAUUUUGUCGAAAGAAAAGUUAAACUUAUCACCAGCUUCCAACCACUUUACUUUGCAAACUGAUCUAUAUCCAUAGUAGACAUUUGUGUCUUUAUUUCAGUCCUUAAUAACAUGCACUCAUAGAAUGCUAUGAAGAAUUUUGAGUUAGCAUCACCUUUCUGAAGCCAGUCAUCCUCGCCUUCUACCAAUUAAUACUUGUUUGAACCCGUGACAAAGAAUGCAAACUAACUGACAACUCAUGAAGCUCCUGCACCUCAUCUUCAAGAAGCGUAGAUUCCUCCCCUUUGUGUUCAGGGAAGAGUUAAUUGUUUUUUUUUUUUUUUUUUUUACAAAAGGGAAGAAUUAAUUGUUAAUGACCAAACUAAUUGUAAAUUGUUAAAAUAUAUGGGAUUAAUUGAUAUAUAGUAAGUUGCUAAAUAUAAGGACCAACUCGACAGUUGAAUCGUGUCAAGAACCUUUUUAAAAUACUCAUAAUCUCAAGGAUGUAUUUGAGAAUACUCAUAAUCUCAAGGACGUAUUUGAUAGGGCACAACAUAGUUAGGGACUAAUUUGAUAGUUAACUCGUUAAUAAUCCUUCUGAAUGGUGCGUUGGAUAGGUCAACUGGUUUUAGUUAAUCUGAUUAAAAUUAGUUAUCUUCACUGUCAAUCAUUUUUUUUGCGCAUUCUCGGGCGAUUUCACAGAGAAUUCAUUCUCUCACGUUUGCAUUUUAUUUGUUUCAUAUUUUCUUUCUAUGCUAUUUAAAAAUCACUUUAGUCUUUUCAUACUUAUCAUUCUUAUAUUCUUAAUUUUUUUUUGGCUUAAUUGCACUUUUUGACCCCUAUCUUUUCAAAAGUUGCGGUUAUGGAUCCCUAACUAAUUUAAAUACAAAACAGCCCCCUAUGUUUUGAUUUUUUGGCAGUUUUGGACCCCCAAGGCAAAAAAAAAAAAAAAAACCACACGUGGCACCUCACUUAGGAUGCCACGUCAGCGUUGACCGAGUCAACAAUGGACUGGGGGUCCAAAACUGCCAAAGAAUCAAAACAUAGGGGGUUGUUUUGUAUUUAAAUUAAUUAGGGGUCCAUAACCGCAACUUUUGAAAAGAUAUGGGUCCAAAAGUGCAAUUAAGCCUUUUUUUUUGAUAAUUUUUAGUAUACUUUUACUUUGAACAUAUAUUAUAAUUUCUAAUUUUUUUUUUGAAAGAUUAUAAUUUCUAAUUAAAUUGCUUGUCUGUGCAUUCAAAAAUUUAUUUUUUUCAUUAGUAAAGUAUACUUUGAAUAUGGUCCCUUAAGCGUAAUUGUUGACUCAGUCCCGGCUAGUACAACUAUAUGACGGUGAUAGAAUGUAUUUAUUUUUGCUUAUAAUUAUAAUUAUAACGUGGACAGCAUAACAAUCGUUGAUUUAAGAACGAAGCGAGUAUUGAAAGAGAAAGAAUGAUUGAAGCUAACGCGUCCUAUUUUGUUUGUGUAUUUUAAAAUAGUUGAGGGAUGAAUAAAAAAAGGAGUGGUUAUACUCAAAUAGAAGGUAGAUGAGUUGUAUAAUUAUUGUUUUGUAUUUUUUGUACUUUGUGUUUUGUCUUGUAAUAAUAGUUGACUUGACUCUUGAGUAACGAUGUCUUCCUCUGAUCAUCCAUGGAUCUACCACAUGUUCAUCAACUUCAGGGGGAAGGAAUAUUUUUUGAACUUAGAUAGAUUCUUUAAAUUUUGUUGGAAACAUUGUAAAUAAAAUAUAUUUAUUGAAUGUGGAUUGACUUUUAAAAUUGGGAAAAAUGACCAAAUUUCUUUAAAAAUGUAAUUUUAGAAAAGAAAAUACUAAAAUAGAUUAAAAAUAGUUAUUUUUUCUAUGUUAAAAUUAAUUAAUUCCUUUAUGUAUAUAUUGGUGAUUGAAAGAAAUAAUUAAAGAGAAAAAGAAGAAUUAAAUACAUAAAAUUAAAUUUCUAUUAUUCAAAAUUGUUUUUUUUUAUUGGUAAAGAAAGAUAAAUAUUGGUAAAAAAAAAAAUAAUUAAGUGAUUGGUAAAUUUGGAAAGAAAAAAUGUAACACCAAAAGCAAUUAUUUUAUAAGUUUUUUUAUAAUAUCCAAUAUUAUCCUUAUUGUUAUGAAGUGUUCUUUCUAUUUUAUAAUUUUAAUUGAUGAGUGUAUUCCCUUAGGUUUUGUUUGAGAGUUUGAAGGGGAGUGGAGAUGAGGGUUUUGAAGGAAAUGAAUGUGCAAGUGGGAAAAAUAGAAGACAUUGGAAGAAGAGGGUUUUGAGAGGUUAAUUUUUUAUUCAUAAUACAAAAUCUUUCUCAUUUUGGUUAACUCAAAUUGUGUUGGUGGAUGAUUUUGUUGGAACAAAAUGUGUUUCACAAUGAACCUUAUUAAGUUUUGAUGAUAACAAGGUAUUAAAAAUUGUCAAUUGGUUAUUACUAAUAAUUGUUCAAGUGUACAGGACCAAAGGCUACUCAAGUUAUUUCAAUAGGUCUUGGAAGAACAAUGGAAAGAAAAAGAAAUUCUGAGCAUCUGAAGAAAACUGCUCCUGAAGCUAAACUGCUCCUGAAGAGAUGACGUCAUCAGAAGCAGAAAGCUGCUCCUGAAGCUAAACUGCUCCUGAAGAGAUGACGUCAUCAGAAGCAGAAAGUCAUCAGAAGCAGAAAGUCAUCAGAAGCAAAAGUUUUCAUCAGAAGCAAUAUUUUCACCAGAAGCUACAUUUGAUCCUUUAAUCAAACUGAAGAUUCAAAGUUGCUGAUUCUCAAUUCAGUCUUAUCAAAGAAGAACGAAGAAUUGAAAGGGAGGUAUCAACGGAUAUAUGGAUAGCACUGAGCACUUGUCUCUCAUUAAUAGAGUUGACAAAGUACAAGUGUACAACCACUACCUCCACUACUCUGUUUUCUGUCUACGCUACAAGACAAAACAACAGCCAUGCCUGCAGAAUUUGUACAACUCAAGAUGGGAAUGAAUUUGAAGUUUAUCCUUCAAAGGACUACACCCAAAUCAGGCAAAAGAUCACUGGUGGAUAAUCAAAGGAUUUCAAACGACUCUUUAGACGUGCUGAUUAUCUCAACGUCUCUUUCACGCCUCUAUAUAAAGGAGUGAAGACUUGAAGAUUCAAGAUAGAGAUACAUAAGUUCAAAAGCGCCAAAACUCUGUCAAUUUGAUUCUACAAAGCACACUGAAUUUCUGCACUGAUUUGAUACAUCUUAGAAAUUCAAAGUCUAGAGUCUUUUCUGUAUUGUAUUGUGAACACCACUGAUUGUAUAUCAAGUGUUCAAUUCAAACUCAAUUCUCUGUAUUUUUGUUUGAUUAGAAGUCUCUUGCCUGCGUGCUUGAGCAUUAGAAGUCUCUUGCUUAGUGCUUGAGCAUUGGAAGACUCUUGCGUGUGUGCUUGAGCAUUGUUUUGUGAAGUCUCAUACUUUGAAAGUAUUGAGCAGUUGUAAUCUUGUGAUUAUAGUGAAAUCUCCUUGGAAGUGCAAGGGGGACUGGACUACUUCCGUGUUGUGGAAGGAACCAGGAUAACUGCCUGUGUCUUUGUCUUUCUUUUCUCUGCUCUGUUCUUUUCCGCUGCAAUCUGACUCUGAUCAUUUCAUCAGAAGCAAUCAAACUGCUUCUGAAGUUUUAUCAGAAGAAGAAUCCUUUUUAUUAAGAGAAAAAGAAAACACAAUUCAACCCCCCCCUUCUUGUGUUUUUCACCUUCAAUUGGUAUCAGAGCUUGCUCUGUUAUCACAGCACUUAACCGUGUUACAGUUCAAGAUCUAUUAGAAAAACAUGUCUGGAGAUGAGGAAUCAGUUACUCCAAAAUACACAAGUGUCAAGCAUGACUAUGAUACUGCUGACAAGAAAACAGACUCUGGAAAAGCUCCAAAGUUUAAUGGAGAUCCAGAAGAGUUUUCAUGGUGGAAAACUAAUAUGUACAGCUUUAUCAUGGGAUUGGAUGAAGAGCUAUGGGAUAUACUGGAAGAUGGAGUUGAUGAUCUGGAUUUGGAUGAAGAAGGAGCUGCUAUAGACAGAAGAAUACAUACUCCUGCUCAGAAGAAGCUUUAUAAGAAACACCACAAGAUAAGAGGAAUCAUUGUGGCUUCUAUACCUCGCACCGAAUACAUGAAAAUGAGUGACAAAUCUACUGCGAAAGCUAUGUUUGCUUCUCUUUGUGCAAACUUUGAAGGCAGCAAGAAAGUAAAAGAGGCUAAAGCUUUGAUGCUAGUUCAUCAGUAUGAACUUUUCAGAAUGAAGGAUGAUGAGAGUAUAGAAGAAAUGUACUCAAGAUUUCAAACUUUAGUUUCUGGAUUGCAGAUACUGAAGAAAAGCUAUGUUGCUUCUGAUCAUGUUAGUAAGAUUUUGAGAAGCUUACCUUCAAGAUGGAGACCCAAAGUAACUGCUAUUGAGGAAGCUAAGGAUCUAAAUACUUUAAGUGUUGAAGAUCUUGUUAGCUCACUCAAAGUGCAUGAAAUGAGUUUAAAUGAGCAUGAAACCUCUAAGAAGAGUAAAUCCAUUGCUUUACCAUCUAAAGGAAAGACCUCAAAGUCUUCCAAAGCCUACAAAGCCAGUGAAUCUGAAGAAGAAUCACCUGAUGGAGAUUCUGAUGAAGAUCAAUCUGUAAAGAUGGCUAUGCUGUCCAACAAGCUUGAGUAUCUGGCAAGGAAGCAGAAGAAAUUUUUGAGCAAGAGAGGUAGCUACAAGAACUUCAAGAAAGAAGAUCAGAAGGGAUGCUUCAAUUGUAAGAAGCCUGGUCAUUUCAUUGCUGAUUGCCCUGAUCUUCAGAAGGAGAAGUUUAAAGGCAAAUCCAAGAAAUCAAGCUUCAACUCCAGUAAAUUCAGAAAGCAAAUCAAAAAGAGCUUGAUGGCGACCUGGGAAGAUUUGGAUAGUGAAUCUGGUUCUGAUAAAGAAGAAGCUGAUGAUGAUGCUAAGGCAGCCGUUGGGUUAGUGGCAACAGUAUCAUCAGAAGCAGUAUCAGAAGCUGAAUCAGAUUCAGAAGAUGAAAAUGAGGUAUAUUCCAAAAUCCCUAGACAAGAACUUGUUGAUUCUCUAAAAGAACUUUUAUCACUGUUUGAACACAGAACCAAUGAGUUGACAGAUUUAAAAGAAAAAUAUGUUGAUUUGAUGAAACAACAAAAAUCAACUCUAUUGGAACUGAAAGCUUCUGAAGAAGAACUCAAAGGGUUUAACCUCAUAUCAACAACAUAUGAAGAUAGACUCAAGAGUCUUUGUCAGAAGCUACAAGAAAAAUGUGAUAAAGGUUCAGGCAAUAAACAUGAGAUUGCCUUGGAUGAUUUUAUUAUGGCUGGAAUAGACAGAAGCAAAGUUGCUUCUAUGAUCUACAGCACAUACAAGAACAAAGGCAAAGGGAUUGGAUAUUCUGAGGAGAAAUCCAAAGAAUACAGUCUCAAGAGCUACUGUGAUUGUAUCAAGGAUGGAUUGAAAUCCACCUUUGUGCCUGAAGGUACAAAUGCUAUAACUGCUGUUCAGUCAAAACCUGAAGCUUCAGGUUCACAGGCUAAGAUCACAUCAAAGCCAGAGAAUCUUAAGAUCAAGGUAAUGACAAAAUCUGAUCCUAAGAGUCAAAAGAUUAAAAUUCUGAAAAGAUCAGAACCUGUUCAUCAGAAUCUGAUUAAACCAGAAUCUAAAAUUCCAAAACAAAAGGAUCAGAAGAACAAAGCAGCUACUGCUUCUGAGAAAACAAUACCAAAAGGUGUCAAACCUAAAGUAUUGAAUGAUCAGAAGCCACUCAGCAUUCACCCUAAGGUACAAGGGAGGAAAAGUAAAACCUCCAAAACUAACCCAAAAGGACCCAUGAAGAUAUGGGUACCUAAAUCUGAAUUGGCCAAAAAUGCAGGUGUGCUUAAGGGCAAGAGAGAAACAAAGGUCAUGGUACCUAGACAGCGGAUGUUCAAGGCACAUGACUGGAGAGAAAGCUUUGUUCCUUACCCUUACAAUGAAAGAUGGAGGAGAAGUGAAGUUUGGUGGCAACCAAACUGGAAAGAUCAUUGGUACAGGUACUAUUGGUAAUUCCUCCAUCUCAAUUAAUAAUGUGUGGCUAGUAGAUGGUCUGAAGCAUAACCUAUUGAGCAUUAGUCAAUUUUGUGACAAUGGGUAUGAUGUAACGUUCAGUAAGACCAACUGCACACUAGUCAACAAGGAUGACAAAUCCAUUACAUUCAAGGGAAAGAGAGUUGAGAAUGUUUAUAAAAUAAAUUUCUCUGAUCUGGCUGAUCAGAAGGUAGUUUGCCUUCUGUCAGUGAAUGAUAAAAAAUGGGUAUGGCAUAAAAGGUUGGGACAUGCUAAUUGGAGAUUAAUUUCUAAAAUUAGCAAGUUACAACUGGUCAAAGGAUUGCCUAACAUUGAUUAUCAUUCAGAUGCACUUUGUGGUGCAUGUCAGAAAGGGAAAAUUGUGAAAAGUUCUUUCAAAUCUAAAGACAUUGUAUCAACCUCCAGACCCUUAGAAUUACUCCAUAUUGAUCUUUUUGGUCCAGUUAACACUGCAUCUUUAUAUGGAAGUAAAUACGGAUUAGUCAUUGUUGAUGAUUACAGCAGAUGGACUUGGGUAAAAUUCAUUAAAAGUAAAGACUAUGCAUGUGAAGUGUUUAGCAGCUUCUGCACUCAAAUACAAUCUGAAAAAGAAUUGAAAAUUUUGAAAGUCAGAAGUGAUCAUGGUGGAGAAUUUGAAAAUGAGCCAUUUGAACUUUUUUGUGAAAAACAUGGGAUUCUCCAUGAGUUUUCUUCUCCUAGAACUCCACAACAAAAUGGGGUUGUAGAAAGAAAGAACAGAACCUUACAAGAAAUGGCCAGAACCAUGAUCCAUGAAAACAACUUAGCUAAACAUUUUUGGGCAGAAGCAGUCAAUACUUCAUGUUAUAUUCAAAAUAGGAUCUAUAUCAGACCUAUGUUGGAGAAAACAGCAUAUGAACUCUUUAAAGGAAGAAGACCAAAUAUCUCUUACUUUCAUCAGUUUGGAUGUACUUGUUACAUCUUAAACACUAAAGACUAUCUGAAGAAAUUUGAUGCCAAGGCUCAAAGAGGAAUCUUUUUAGGUUACUCUGAAAGGUCAAAGCCAUACAGAGUGUAUAAUUCAGAAACACAAUGUGUUGAAGAAUCUAUGCAUGUAAAAUUUGAUGAUAGAGAGCCUGGAAGUAAAACUUCAGAGCAAAGUGAAAGUAAUGCAGGUACAACUGAUUCUGAAGAUGCAUCAGAAUCUGAUCAACCUUCUGAUUCUGAAAAGUAUACAGAAGUUGAAUCUUGUCCAGAAGCUGAAAUCACUCCAGAAGCUGAGUCUAAUUCAGAAGCAGAACCUAGCCCAAAAGCACAGAAUGAAAUUGCUUCUGAGGACUUUCAAGAUAACACUCAGCAGGUUAUUCAACCUAAAUUCAAGCACAAAUCUUCACAUCCUGAGGAGUUAAUCAUUGGAAGCAAAGAUAGUCCUAGAAGAACAAGAUCACAUUUUAGACAAGAAGAGUCUUUAAUAGGACUGCUUUCAAUAAUUGAGCCUAAAACUGUUGAAGAAGCUCUCUCAGAUGAUGGAUGGAUAUUAGCUAUGCAAGAAGAGCUAAAUCAAUUCCAAAGGAAUGACGUGUGGGAUCUGGUACCCAAACCUUUUCAGAAGAACAUUAUUGGAACAAAAUGGGUAUUCAGAAACAAGCUGAAUGAACAAGGAGAAGUAACCAGAAACAAAGCCAGACUUGUUGCUCAAGGCUACAGUCAACAAGAAGGCAUUGAUUACACUGAAACAUUUGCUCCAGUUGCAAAAUUGGAAGCAAUCAGGUUACUUCUAUCCUACGCAAUUAAUCAUGGCAUAAUAUUAUAUCAAAUGGAUGUCAAAAGUGCCUUUCUUAAUGGAGUCAUUGAAGAAGAAGUGUAUGUUAAACAACCUCCUGGGUUUGAGGAUCUUAAGCAUCCUGACCAUGUUUAUAAACUUAAGAAAUCACUAUAUGGCUUGAAACAAGCUCCCAGAGCUUGGUAUGAUAGACUAAGUAAUUUCUUAAUUAAAAAUGAUUUUGAAAGAGGACAAGUUGACACAACACUCUUCAGAAGGACUCUUAAGAAAGAUAUUUUGAUUGUGCAAAUAUAUGUUGAUGAUAUAAUAUUUGGUUCUACUAAUGCAUCUCUUUGCAAAGAAUUUUCUAAGUUAAUGCAGGAUGAAUUUGAAAUGAGUAUGAUGGGAGAAUUGAAAUUCUUUCUGGGAAUUCAAAUCAACCAAAGUAAAGAAGGAGUAUAUGUUCAUCAAACAAAAUAUACAAAGGAGCUUCUGAAGAAGUUCAAGCUAGAAGAUUGUAAAGUGAUGAACACUCCAAUGCAUCCAACCUGCACCUUAAGCAAAGAAGAUACUGGAACAGUAGUAGACCAGAAGCUUUACAGAGGUAUGAUUGGUUCUCUGUUAUACCUCACUGCAUCUAGACCUGAUAUUUUAUUCAGUGUAUGCUUGUGUGCAAGAUUUCAAUCAGAUCCUAGAGAAUCUCAUUUAACUGCAGUUAAGAGAAUCUUCAGGUAUCUGAAAGGAACAACUAAUCUUGGACUCCUGUAUAGGAAAUCCCUAGAUUAUAAGUUGAUUGGAUUCUGUGAUGCUGAUUAUGCUGGUGAUAGGAUUGAAAGAAAAUCAACCAGUGGAAAUUGUCAAUUCCUGGGAGAGAAUCUGAUAUCCUGGGCAAGCAAAAGACAAGCAACUAUUGCUAUGUCUACAGCAGAAGCAGAGUACAUUUCAGCUGCAAGUUGUUGCACACAACUGCUUUGGAUGAAACAUCAGUUGGAAGACUAUCAGAUCAAUGCUAACAGUAUUCCCAUUUAUUGUGAUAAUACUGCUGCUAUUUGUUUGUCAAAGAAUCCAAUUCUACAUUCAAGAGCCAAGCAUAUUGAAAUCAAACACCAUUUUAUCAGAGACUAUGUUCAAAAAGGAAUUUUAGAUAUACAAUUCAUUGAUACUGAACAUCAAUGGGCUGACAUAUUUACAAAACCUUUGUCUGUUGAAAGAUUUGAUUUUAUUAAGAAAAAUUUGAACAUGCAUUUUGGGUCUGAUUGAAAAAUUGCUUGCCUCUGAAUAAGAAGUUUGGUUCUGAAGUUUAUUCAGAAGCAUUUUGGUUCAUCAGAAGCUCUUAAUUGAGGUUCUGAGGAAAAUGUGCUUCUGAAGAUGACGUCAGCGCUAAAACUUCAGAAGUGUUAUUCUUUGCUUCUGAAUAGCUUGGUUAGUGGGAACGUUGGAAGUUACUUUAUGUAACAGCUGUCUCAUUACCCAAAAGGUAGUUUUCUGAAGAGUCUCUGACGUGGUUUAUUUGUAUUGGAGUAUAACAAAAAGGGCAAUGAUGUUUUUAUUCGCUUUUUAACGUACUUACACGCGCCCCCAAUUUGUCAUUAAUGCUGUGUUUGUCUGUCCCCUCUGAAUUACAAACGUUUUAAUAAAAACACUAAGUCAUUUCACACACUUCUCACUUCACAACAAACACUUUCUAUUUUCUUCUCAACCCUCUGCGAAAGUAAGCGCAUUCUCUCAUCCUCUCAAAAACUCCUUAGAACCCUAAAACCACUUCAUAUCAAUGGCUUCUUCAAGUUCUGCAUCUGGUUCAUCAUCAAACGAACAACAAGGAGAAGCUCCUGCUUAUGAGAUAAAGGGAAGAACCAUGUCCUUGGAGGAAUGGGAAUUAAACAUUCAAUCAGAAAGUCCGGUGGAUUUUGAUUCUUUGGCCGCUCACGACUGUGACAUUGGCAAGUACUACGAGAAACAAGGUCUGGGAAGGUACUUCAAUCUUCUAAAUGGACCAACUUAUCAAACACUGGUUCGUCAUUUCUGGGUUAGAGCCAGCAUCUACGACAGGGAAGCCGCCAAGAUUGAAGAAGAUGAAAAAGUUCUUCUCAAUCCUGAACUCAAAGGGAAGUCUAGAGCGGAAAUGGGCUUGGAAACUUUCUCCAAAACCCAGAUAAGAUCAAGCAUCAUGGGAAUCCGUGUCUGGAUCACUGAGGACACUAUUGCCUUUGUCAUCAGAAGACCAGCAGAAGGAGAACAUGAGGCUGGGAUUUCAAAGCCAAAGGACAGCCCCUGGAAUGCUAUUGUUAACAAAACUCUCUACAACAAGGUAAAGGACUUUGCCUAUUCUGACAUGAACACCAAGACAAAGGUUAUGUUGAAGAUUCAGAACGAAAACCUACUACCAAAAGGUGGUGGUGGUGAUCAGCCCUCUCUGGAACAUAAAAUCCUCUUACACUUUGUCAUAAAGGGUGUAGAGGCAAAUAUUCCCAGAUACAUAUUCAGACAUAUGGUUCAUCAACUCAGAGAGAGUCAACUGAAUAAAAGGUCUUGGGUACCCUAUGGAAGACUACUCUCUGAGAUUUUCCAUCAGGGAGUGUUAUCAUGGUUUUUGGGUGCCAAGCCAUUAAUUGGACUUGAACCUUUCGACCGUUGAUAUCUCUCUUUUUUCUUGGGAAGGGAAAAAUUGAGAAAAAAACCCUUAGAUUCUAAGUUCGGGGGUCGGUUUUACUACGGGAAGGUGUUAGGCACCCGGAGUAACUAUAGUCCUCUAUAGGAGCCGUUUUCCUAAGUCUAUAUUCACGCUUAUUUUUACUUACUUUUGAAAAUGGGAGGUUUAUUUAGUUAAGAAUGGGGGUGAGAAGAAGUAGAAUUUUGAUUUUAUUUUGGCUUGGAUGAGUUUUGACUCAUUGCCUACGUACCCUUUUAAGGGAUCAAAACCGUUCGUAGUUCUUGCUAAAAAACUUGUUUUUGUUCUAAUUGUUUGAUUUUAAGUUUUGAAAAUGGUUUUGAAGAAGGAGAUUGGGAGGCUUCAUGAGCAUUAGAUUUAGCAAAAAAGUGAGGUUUGAUUAGUGAUUAGAAAGAAAGUCUAAAUGGUUAAGAUGAAUUGAAUUUUCCUUAAGAAAAAGAAAAGAAAAAAAAUGAAGUGUUGACUUCAUAUUUAUUAUGAAAUUUUUUGAAGUGAAGUUCAAUUGUUUUUUUGGAAAAAGAUGGAUUUUCUCUAAGUGUUUAAAACCUAAACGCUUAUUUAACCAUACAAUCCUAUGCAUACAUCUAAGGUGAGUGUGUGCGUGUCGGUGCGCCAUAGUGUCCAUAGUCCAUAUUACAACAUUUCCUAAAUACAUUCUAUGGCCUCUUUGCCAAGCUACAAACCAAUGAUAACAAAUUACAUCACUAAAUGAAUCAAAACUUGCAAAAAAAAAUAAAUGCUAGACUAAAGAGGGUGGAGAGUGGAGAGGGUGGUGGAAUGCUUAUGAAAUGUAUGGCACAUGAGAUGAAAUGGUUAGUAAUCAUAAAGCACAAAAUAGUAGGAAAUAAUCAAAAGGAAAUGUAUAAGAAUGGCAAAGGAAAGGUAAUAAAGUGGCAAUAAACCUAAAACUUUUGAUGUGAUACCUAAAGGUGCUUGUAACCCAUAAUCAUCACAUCAUGGCAAUUUUGAAAGAAAUUUUGUUUCAAGCCAUGACAUGAAAUUAGUGGAAGUACAUGCAAGCAAAGUAUCACACCAAACAUAAAGAAAUUUACCACUUUAUUCCUAAAAAUAAACGCUUAUUACUUGUAAAACAAGAAAUCCAUAAAAUCACAUCCAAACACAGCAAAAAUAAACACAAUUCCAGAGGCAUAUUCAUCACCAUAUUAGGCAUCAUUUAUCCAUGUCAUACUAUCAAAAUGUCAAGAACAAAACAUAGCAAAAUGCAUACAAAAAACAUAAAAACACAUGGAAUUAGUUCACACCAUUUUAACAUCUUUUUUACAUGCAAAGAUACCCUAAAAAUACCAAGAAUAUAUCAAGAAACCACUAGGAUUUUUUUAGAAAUUUUGUAAACAAAAAUGAGCAGGCCACAGGUGCAGAUAGCAAAGAAAAUGGUGUAAAUAGCAUACAAAAGCAAGCAAAAAAAACGUAAAACCUUAAGCCCAAACCAAAACCCAAUACAGACUGGGCCUGGAUCAUCCAAAGGCCUUAGAGGCGUUGGAUUGAUCCAAACCUAGAUCUGACGGUUCAAAACACGCAGCGCAUGGUAACACAGAUCAAACACGUGGGAGCAAACGCAUCACAGCCAUUCAAAAGAGAAACCCUAGAUCCUACGGUCCAAAAAGGAAACCAAAGUGAACCGGACCGGUCCAGGUGUCUAUAUAAACGUAAGGACACCGGUCCAGCUCACUUUGCUCACCUCUUUCUCUCUCUAAGCUCUUCUCUCCUCUCAGUCCUCUCUCUUCUCUCCAGAAAACCACCACCGGAGGUGAUGAAGCUACGGCGGAGACCUUGAAGGUCCGCCGGAAACUUCAUCUUCUCCGGCGAGACUUAUGAACUUCCGGUGACCUAAAUUUCCAGAUUUCAAAGAUUCUUACUCCUUUUGAUUCGUCCUUUAACCCUAAACACGAAUCCAGCAACUAUUUUUUCAAAUACGGUUCGAAACGACGUAGAUCUUGAAGGAACUUUGUACGGUUUUGAAAUGAUUUUUGAUUUUUGAACAAAAACGUUUAGAUUCUUACAUCGUUUCGUUGUUUGAUUGAUUUUCUGGUAUGCGUUCUUGCUUUCAAAACUUAGAUCCUUAUGGAUCUAGGUUUUGUGUUUACGGUUACGGCUUUGGCUUUGAAUUCUGGAAAUCUUUGGAUUCGGUUUGUUUUUUACUUCACUGAUUCAUGCUUUUUUUUUAAAGAAAAUGAUGUUGAAGUUAUGCUUUUACCUGUGAUUUCAAUUGGAGGUGCUGAUGAAGAUUUCUUCGGAAAACUUCAGAUGCGUUUCUAUUGAUUCUUGCUGCUUUGAACCGAAAAUAAAUCGGUGUUCUUCUUUCUCACUGAUUCUUCGUGAUUUUGGCUGGAAACUUCAUCUUCUUUCUCUGCUUCUUUCUCACUGAUUCUUCUUUGUGAUCGGUGCUGGAGUUUGCUGCUGCUGCAGCGAGCUCGUGCCUUGAAUUGCAAAGAAGAUGAUUCGAUGAUGAUGAUUCCUUAGGAAUCUCUGAGAAUCAAUGGAAAAUCCAAUGAAUUUUGAUGAUUUUUUGGUCUUCUGGAAAUCUAGGGUUUGGAUUUUGUUCUUGCUUGUUCUUGGAGAAUUUCUGUUUUUGAUCUGUAACUGAAUGGAGAGAGAAAAGAAAUCUGUUUGUGAUGAAUUUCUGACUUUUUGACUGUGCAUUGAAUGCGCCUUUUAUAGGCUGCCAUGUGUGCAUUGGGACCAAUAGGAAAUCGACAUGUGGCAUUGGACUUAAAAUGGACUUUGGACCUUUCUGCAAUUUUGUAAAAUAUGGGACUGGACUGCAAUUUUAAAAACAGAACUAAAAAAAAUAAAAAAAUAAAAAUUGGACAGUUUGGACUUAAAUGCAAUUUUAAAAAGUUGAAGGAUUAAAAUGCAAAGUAAAAAUAAAAAAUGAAUUAAAAUAUGUAAUUUGACUAAACGUAAAGCGAAAUAGAAAUAAAAAUAAAAUCGACAAAACGGACUAAAACGAACCAAUGGCCUAAAUGAGGUACUUCAAAGUAACCUCCCUAUGUCAAAAUUUUGUGUGAAAUGACCAAAAUGCCCCUAGGGCUAAAACGACCUAAACAGAUUCAAAUUGAUCUGACACUGACUCAGACGCAAAUUUAAAAUGAACUUAAUCAAGAUUUACUAAUGAAAAUGCAAAAACAAUCUGAAAAGACUCAGAGACAGUCACAAGGAUGAAAAUGGGUCCCACUGCAGGAAAUGACCAAAAUACCCUUCUGUAUGACUUUUUGCAAAUUUUGAAAUAAACUGUAGAAAAAGCAAUGCAAUGAUUCAGAGACACUUCUGAAUGACUUACAAGACAAGUAAAGACACUUCAAAAGGUUUUAUGCAAGAAAAACAUAAGUAAAAUUGUGAUUGGAAAUACUGCGAGGCAGAGACAAUUUGAACUUUGCAGUUGAAAUCUGAUAAUUGACAAAGUUUGAAAUGAAAUUGGGCCCAGUAUUUUUAGGUCCAAAAACAGGGUAUAACAGCUGCCCCUAUUUAAGUUUCUUUGUCUGGAGAGUCAAGAGACGGAGUCUUUGGCUUGACAGGACGAAGAUACUUAAAUAUUAGCAUUUGCACUGUGUUUGGACGUAAAAAUACGCCUACCCAUUUUCAAAUAAUAUGCAUGCCAUGCAUCAUUUGGAUUAUGAAUGCAAGACCUCAUGGGGAUUGGAAUUAACAAAAUAUGUCGUAUCCAUUGCAGGAUUGGUAGACAUUGACAAAGAUAGUGAAUAGCAGAGUAACGGGAAACUAGAAACAAAUUGGACAGGUACAAGCUGUUCUUGGAUUCAAACUAGCCACUUGACCGGGGAUGAAACAAACAGACAACUGCGAGUUGUUCUUAUGGAUUCGAACUGGUCACUUCACAGGGGAUAGAGGUUACUGGACAAACAUGAGUUGUUCUUAUGAAUUCGAACUGGUGACUCACUUGGGGAUAUUGGAAAGUGCGAGUUGUUCUUACGGAUUCGAACUGGUGACUCGACUGAAAGCAAGGCAAAUAGACAGGUGCGAGCUUGUUCUUGGAUGCGAACUGGUUACUCCACCGGACAGAAACAGAUAGACAGGUACAAGCUGCUCUUGGAUUGAGCUAGUCACUUGACCAAACGGAAACAUAUAGACAGGUACAAGCUGCUCUUGGAUUGAGCUGGGCACUCGACCGAUAACAUUGAAAAGUAAAAGGGUACAAGUCGUUCUUGGAUGCGAACUAGUAACUUGACCAAACAGAAACACAUUCACUGGGGAUUGGUUUGUUGACAAAAUAUAGAUUGAGGUUGACUUGACGUCGAUUUGAAUUGAAAGGCAGAAAUUGACCGAUAUUAUUGGCUCACAAGGUUUUGACAGAGAACCUGACAUGAGUAUUGAAUUGAGACUGAUGUUGACAUUGGAAAUGCAAUAUGCAUGGAUGAUAUAACAAUUUCAUUAAAUGCAUGGGCACGUAAUAUGCAUGAUUAUGCAUGUAUGAAUGCUUGUAAUGCAUGACCGUUGGCAUUUUGUAGGCACGACUUCACGGGGAAGACAAGACAUUAGAGUAUUGGGCACGUAGUGGCUCGUGCUAUAUUACACAUUCUUGGAAAUCCUCUUUGGGGAUGACGUCGUUGGGAGACGUAUCGGAACCAUGGCUGAGGGCAGGUAGCUAUGCAUCUUGCUGGGGAUAGAAUCUUGGAAGACCCGACUGGGGAAAACGCCGUUGUGCUGGGCAUUUCAGCGCUGGGUAUGUUGUAGACAUUGCAUCUGUGGUCAAUGCUUUUGCAUGUUAUAUUCUCAUUUUCAUUCAUCAUUUUUUGCAUCCCAUUUUUGCCUGGAUCGCCCUUUCGGGUUUUCGGUCCACCGGGGAAAUAAAUUCUUUUCAAUGCCCCAUUUUUGCCUGAACUGCCCUUUCGGGUUGUCAAUCCAGCGGGGUGCUCAUUUUUGCCUAAGCCGCCCUUUCGGGUUUUCAACUUAGCGAGCUCAUUUAUUUUCAUGCAUUUUCAUUCUGUUUUUUCAUUCUUGCCAUUGACCACAGAUUAUCUUGGAGGAGAACCUGCUGGUAACAUAUAUUGAAAUAGACACCAACAUACUCUCGCUCAUGCAUGUUUCAUUUGAAUGUACCCUGUUGCUCAGGUUUGCUUUUCAAAAUAGACAAAAGGUUUUCAAUUUUCAAAAUGUUUGUUUCAAGUAUUGUCAUUAUCAAGAAAGAAAAUGUUUUGUAUAUAGCUUUGAAAGUAGAAGAAAAUAGAAUUUCAAACAAAAGCACAAGCUCAAAUUGAUGUAUAAGAGUGGUGGUCAGCCAAAGGCGUGACUCCACGGAUUCACAAAGCUUGGAAAAUGGUAAUUUUAUUGGUUGGUGAUACAUUGAACACAGUAAUCAUGACAUUUCCUAGAAACUUUGAAUUCGCAAGCAUAGGAGCUUUUGAUGAAGAUGGUCAUUAACAGCUGCAGAUGCCCCAAGGGGACGGUGGUUAGCCAGAUAUAGUUACUUGCCUUUUGCUUCAAUCUCAUUUUUGCAUGAACCGCCCUUCCGGGUUUUCGGCUCAUCGAGACGCUCAUUCUUGCCUGAUUUGCGUACAAUCUCAGCGAGCUUUUCAUGUUUGUUUUUUUUGUCCCUUAUUUUUGCCUGGACCGCCCUUUCGGGUUUUCGAUCCACCGGGAAGCGCAUUUUUGCCUAGGCCGCCCUUUCGGGUUUUCGACCUACCACGCUGUUCUUUUCAUAUUUCUAGGCAAAGUAUUUCUUGACUAUAUCGGCAUUCACUGGAUUUGGAAGUUCUACACCAUCCAUGUGUGUAAGGAUUAAAGCACCACCGGAGAAGGCCUUCUUGACAACAUAAGGACCUUCAUAGUUAGGCGUCCACUUGCCCCUUGGGUCGAGUUGCUGGCUUAUCCUCCUUUUCAAUACAAGUUCCCCUACCUUGAAUUCUCGAGGAUGGACUUUCUUGUCAAAGGCAGUCUUCAUUCUUGCUUGAUAUGACUGUCCACGAGCCAUGGCAUCCAUACGUUUUUCCUCAAUCAAAUUCAACUGAUCAUACCGGCUUUGGCACCAUUCAGCCUCGGAUAACUUUGCUUCCAUGAUCACACGGAGAGAUGGGAUCUCCACUUCCAAAGGAAGAACUGCUUCCAUACCAUAUACAAGAGAGAAAGGAGUUGCCCCGGUUGAACUGCGCACGGUAGUGCGGUAGCCAUGCAGAGCAUAGGGUAACAUCUCAUGCCAGUCCUUGUAAGUAGUUACCAUCUUCUGGACGAUUCUCUUGAUAUUCUUGUUGGCGGCCUCAACUGCACCAUUCAUCUGAGGUCUAUAAGGAGAAGAGUUAUGAUGCUCAAUUUUGAAUUCUUCACAAAGAGCUUGCACCACAUUGUUGUUCAGGUUGGUACCGUUGUCGGUAAUAAUCUUGCUAGGAACACCAUAUCGACAGAUGAUGUUGUUCUUGAUGAACUUAGCUACCACUUGCUUGGUCACAUUGGUAUAAGAUGCUGCUUCAACCCAUUUGGUAAAGUAGUCAAUUGCCACUAAGAUGAAACGGUGACCAUUUGAAGCUUUCGGUUCAAUUCUUCCAAUCAUGUCGAUGCCCCACAUUGAGAACGGCCACGGGGAUGACAUAACAUUGAGAGCGUGCGGAGGCACAUGAAUCUUAUCAGCAUAGAUUUGACAUUUGUGGCAUUUUCUGGCGUACUGGUAGCAAUCAUGCUCCAUGGCCAUCCAGUAGUAACCUGCUCGUAGCAACUUUCUUGACAUAGUAUGUCCUGUAGCAUGGGUCCCGAAGGUACCGUCAUGUACAUCAUGCAUUAACUGCUCUGCUUCAUGUUCAUCAACACAUCUUAAUAAUACCAUGUCAUAGUUCCUCUUGUACAGAAUAUCUCCGUCUAACAGGAAUCUACUGGCCAAUCUUCUCAGGGUCUUCUUAUCUUGUUUGGAAGCACCCGACGGAUACUCACGGCUCAGCAAGAACUGUUUGAUGUCGUAGUACCAGGGUCUAUAGUCAACCACAUUCUCACCAGCCUGAUCGAUCACAUCCCCAAUAGCAAACACAUGCGAAGGUCUUUCAAGGCGUUGCACUUUGAUUAAUGGCACAUCAUUCCAAUGGUUUACUCGAAACAUGGAGGAUAGAGUAGCAAGAGCAUCAGCCAUUUGGUUCUCAUCACGAGGAAUAUGGUGCAGCUCAACCUUUGUAAAAUAUGUCAGCAAACGUCUCGCAUAAUCACGAUAAGGAAUCAAAUUAGCAUGGUGGGUCUCCCAUUCACCCUUUAUCUGAUUGAUGACGAGCGCAGAAUCUCCAUAGAUGUCGAGGUGUUUGAUUCUCAUGUCAAUUGCUUCCUCGAUCCCAAAGAUACAUGCUUCAUACUCCGCCAUAUUGUUGGUACAUUCGAACAAGAUUCUGGCGGUAAAAGGAAUGUGAUGCCCCUGCGGGGAUACAAUGACUGCCCCAAUUCCCUUGCCAUAAGCAUUGACAGCACCGUCAAAGACUAAACCCCACUUGCUAUUGGGAUCUGGACCUUCAUUAAUCAACGGUUCUUCGCAGUCUUUGGAUUUCAAAUACAUGAUCUCUUCAUCAGGGAAGUCGAAUUCAAUUGGUUGGUAAUCGUCAAGAGGUUGAUAAGCAAGGUGAUCGGCAAGAAUGCUGCCUUUGAUUGCCUUUUGAGUUUUGAACACAAUAUCAUAUUCAGACAAAAGCAUCUGCCAGCGUGCGAUCUUCCCAGUAACGGCCGCUUUCUCAAAGAUAUACUUUAUCGGGUCCAUUCUGGAUAUCAGCCAAGUCGUAUGAUUCACCAAAUAAUGACGCAGGCGUUUGGCAGCCCAAGCUAGAGCACAACAAGUCUUUUCAAGCAUUGUAUACCGAGUUUCACAAUCGGUGAACUUCUUGCUUAAAUAGUAGAUAGCAUGCUCUUUCUUUCCGGUUUCAUCUUGUUGACCAAGCACGCAUCCCAUGGAUUCAUCAAAUACUGCUAAAUACAUGAUCAAAGGCCUUCCUUCCACGGGUGGGACAAGGAUAGGUGGUUCCAGCAGGUAAUUCUUGAUGCUAUCAAAAGCUUCUUGGCAUUCAUCAUUCCAUACAACAGGCUGGUUCUUUCUAAGUAGCUUGAAGAUCGGCCCGCAGGUUGCAGUCAUAUGAGAUAUGAAUCGGGAGAUGUAAUUCAAACGUCCCAAGAAACCUCUGACUUGCUUCUCUGUCCGUGGAGCUGGCAUUUCUCGGAUGGCCCGGACUUUAUCAGGGUCGACUUCAAUGCCCUUUUGGCUGACAAUGAAGCCUAAUAACUUUCCGGACCUGACACCGAAUGUACAUUUGUUGGGAUUCAAUCGCAGCUGGUAUUUUCUCAACCUUUCAAACAUCUUUGUUAAAUAUUCAACAUGCUGCUCCUCAUCUGCUGACUUCACAAUCAUGUCAUCCACAUAUACCUCAACUUCUUUGUGAAUCAUGUCAUGAAACAGAGUGGUCAUUCCCCUUUGGUAGGUAGCACCAGCAUUGAUUAGGCCGAACGGCAUCACCUUGUAGCAGAAAGUACCCCAUGGAGUGAUAAAAGAUGUCUUUUCUCUAUCUUCAGGAGACAUCUUGAUUUGAUUAUAACCGGAAAAACCGUCCAUGAAGGAGAACACCUUAGAUUGAGCAGUAUUAUCAACAAGCACAUCAAUAUGAGGUAAUGGAAAGUUGUCUUUUGGACUGGCCUUGUUCAGGUCUCUGAAGUCAACACACAUCCGGACUUUACCAUCCUUCUUUGGCACGGGCACAAUAUUGGCAACCCAUUCGGGAUACUCAACUGUCAUGAGGAAACCCGCAUCAAUCUGCUUUUGAACUUCAUUCUUGAUCUUGAGAGCCAUAUCAGGAUGAGUCCUUCUCAAUUUCUGCCUGACGGGAGGACAUUCAGGCUUGGUAGGGAUCCGAUGCUCCACGAUCAUAGGGUCUAGACCUGGCAUAUCUUCAUAGGACCAUGCAAAAAUAUCCGGAUAUUCCCGGAGGAGUUGGAUAAUCUUCUGCUUAACCCCUUCCUCUAGAGUAGCACCAAUCUUGAUUUCUUGCUUAUUUUCCUCGGUACCUAUGUUGAUAAGCUCAAUUUCUUCCUGGUGAGGCUGAAUGGCUUUCUUUUCUUGCUCAAGUAACCGAGUAAUCUCAUAUGGUAUACCAUCACCUUCCUCAUCUUCGGCUUCAUACACAGGGAAUUCAAAAUUUGGAGGAACCGUAGGAUUACUGUGUUCAACGGGUUUAUUAUGGUUCAACCUGCAUAUAAUGAUUGGAUGAUUUUAGAAAGAGUUUUUUUUUUUUCAUGCAGAUUUUUGAAAUUAAUAAGAAAAUACAGACAUUUUGGUUUUUUCUGGCAUUACCAUUGUUUCCAAGGGAAAAAGCACUAAAAAAAAAAAAUAGUCGUGGAAGAAACGACAAAAUUUUAUUAAUCAACGGCAAUGCCGAAACAAACAUGCCCUUACAGAAAAUAUCACUCUCGCUUUGGGCAGAGCGAGAGGAUUGUUAUUUUUGAAAACAAAGCAUUAAAGCAACAAGACACAUUACUCAGAAACAUGCAUUAUUGAAGGAAUGUCAAUGGCAUCCCAAUCUCUCGCAAUGCCUCCUGGUGUAACAAAUACAGGCCUGAGACCAGAUCCAGUGGCUUCUUCAGAGAUAGCAUUAACAAACCCAGCACUGUGGAAGACUCCCGAGGAAACUCUUGAUGACGGGGAGAACCCGAGACCUUCUUUACGCUUGUUCUCACAGAGCUGUAUCACCUUGCCCCAGCCGGCAGUCUGACCUUCUUGAAUGGCUCUCUGAGCAUCCUUCAAUGAAGCCAUAGCAGCCCCAGCUUCCUUAGACUCUGCACCUUCAAUGGUCAAACCUUGGAAAGCAGUUCCUUCAGCAGACCCUGCUUCAAUACAAGAAAAAGAAGACAAUUGGCUGACUAAGUAUGCUUCUUCACCAUGGAUUGUAACGAGUUUUCCAUUCUUCACAAAUUUCAACUUCUGAUGUAAGGUGGAAGUAACUGCACCUGCAUCGUGUAUCCACGGUCUUCCCAGCAGGCAACUGUAGGAUGCAUUAAUGUCCAUCACUUGGAAGGUAACCAAGAAAUUCUCAGGGCCAAUGGUUAUCGGCAAGUCUAUCUCUCCCAGCACAUUCUUUCGAGAUCCAUCAAAAGCUUUGACCAAGAAAGUACUUCUUCUCAACGGGGUCCCACGGUAGCUCAACUGAUCUAGAGUUGUCUUGGGCAUUACAUUGAGAGAGGAACCGGUAUCUACCAACACAUUUGAUAUCAUGUCUGAUUUACAGUUCACCGAGAUGUGCAAAGCCAGAUUGUGACUCUUUCCCACUUCCGGCAGCUCUUCUUCACUAAACCAGAGAUUGUUACAAGCAGUAAUAUUUCCCACUAUGCCACCGAAACGAUCUACCGUAACUUCGUGGUCAACAUAUGCCUGCUCCAGCACUUUCAACAAGGUAUUCCUGUGAGCCUCGGAGCUCAAGAGCAAUGACAAUACAGAUAUCUUCGAAGGAGUCUGCAGCAACUGAUCAACGAUCUUGUAGUCGCUCCUCUUUAUUAUCCUCAAAAUCUCAUCUAAAUUUGAAUCCUCUAUAGAUUUGCCUGACUGGUUCACAUCUGUAGCAAUGGGUGAAACAACGGUUGGAGUUGCUUCUUCAACUGGCGGAAUGGUCGGUGUAGCCACUUUCUUCUGAAAUAAUGGCGGACGAACCUUCCCGCUUCUCAGCGCUGCAGAAGUCCCUUCGGCAAUAUUGCUUACUGUGGCAAAGGAGGCUAGAGGCACCUCUACUCCAUUUUCUAUCAUAGUAGCAUUGUACUUGUAUGGAACAGCCUUAUCCGAAACAUAAGGAAUUGGUCCUGGCAACCUUAUCACCAAAGGCUCAGCAUUCUUCUUCAAAGGUGUACUCUUGACAGGCGGAUCGUGAAAAACUGGCACGACCACGCAAACAUCACUGACAGUCAGAAGAUUAUCAUCCAUCAAGCUUUGGAUGUCGUCUCGAACAGCAUGGCAACCUAAAGGAUCACGGAGGCAUCCUAGACACUUGGCAUGCUCAUGGCUGAACAGGGAAGCUUUGCACAGCUUGAUGUGCAGAGGCACCAGAGGAGUUGCGACGUUGCGGACAUCAAGUCUAGGAGCUUCCUCACACACUUCGAUCAUAUUCACAGCGGCAUGAUUUGGUAGCGGAUUGUCAAGGACAUGUGGAACAUUAUUCUCAAAAGUCAGCUUCCCUUGAUCGAUGAGCUUCUUCACGAUAUACUUCAAAGCAUAACACCCCUCGACAUCAUGACCUAGGGCACCUUGAUGAAAGUCACAUUUGAGAUCAGACCUGAACCUUGGAGGCAACGGAUCAGGUGGAGGCUUGCCCUGUCUAGUUGUACAAUGCCCUCUCUGGAGUAAAGUUGGAAGCAACUCAGCAUAUAACAUCGGUAUCGGAGGGAAAGUAGGCCUAGCUUGCUGAUUUUGUUGUUGUUGUUGAACCGGCAUCUGUUGUUUCAUCUGUUGGGCAAUCGCAUUGACGGGCACUUGAGGCUGGCCCGGCGGCAAAGGGUACUGAUGAUAAAACGGUGGGAAGAACGGAUGCUGAGAAUACGGCAUAUAUGGGUAUGACGGAGGCAUUUGAGCUGCAUUGAUAGGAGCAACAGUAGCCAUUGAUUGACCUGCUCCAGCUGACACCAUCCCCACUUCAGUUUCUUUCUUCUUGUGGUGUCCAUUACCAUACCUCUUCGACGCACUUGCAGAAGAUUCAGCUUUCUCAAACACAAUAAUUCCAUCCCUGACGGCUUCCUCAAGACGGGUUCCCAUAGUGACCAUCUCCGAAAAGUUGUUCGGGGCAGCGAUGAUCAUCCUCUCAACAUAAUCUUUCUUCAACGUCUUUAAGAACGUCUGGGUCAUUUCUUCUUCAUCUAAAGCAGGGGUGAUACGGGCAGCCGCCCCUCUCCACCUUUGCGCAUAUUCACGGAAGCUUUCCUCCUUCUUCUGAGAUAGGGACCUGAGAAACUCCCUAUUUGGCUUCAGUCGAGUGUUAAACCCGUAGUGGCUCUUGAAAGCGGUGGCUAACUCAUCAAAGGUAUGGAUGUCAUUCUUACUCAAACUAGUAUACCACUCUGCGGCAUCCUCCAUCAGACUAUCCUGAAAACAGUGGAUCAUAAGGGAAUCAUUGUCUUUGUAAUUGCCCAUCUUCCGGACGUAUUUGAUGAUGUGAUUUUGAGGACAAGUUAGCCCGUUGUACCGGUCGAAGUCCGGAAUCUUGAACUUUUUAGGAACAUCCACUUUUGACACUAAGCAAAGGUCUUGAGUUUUGACAGAGUCUGCAUUCCCUCGAUUGGCCUGGAUCUCGUGACGGAGUUCUUUAGCAAGUUCCUCCAUCAUCUCUUCCAUAGUCUUGGUUACGGGGAUGCUUCUGUGCUGUGUGUUGAUGUUAAUACUUUGAGGCAGAGUAUGUAUCAGUGACUCAGUGACAGCAGCUGUUGUUUGUGGCAAAGUAGCAUUGAUAGAGGCAGCAUUUGUUGCAGGGAUCAGAACAUUGUUAGCAGUGCCCGAGGUGCUUGCUGUAGCAACGGGAGUGAAGAACGGUGGAAGCCCAUACGGAAACCCUACUGGCAUAGUAAAGCGGUUGUCCGCAGAAGUGGUAGGGAGCACGCUUGUAGUCACCUGUGCAGCUGUGGUUGUAGGGAUAGCUGUAGCUGAUUGCUCUUGAGCAGCUAGUAGAGCAGUCAUGACGUCAUUAGCUUUAGCCAAUUCCUCCUUUAGAGAGGCUAACUCGGUGCGAAGCUGAGCGUUCUCUUCUUCCAUAGCCCUUUUCUUUCUUCUGUAUUCUCUGGUUCGAUCAAUUCUAUCUGGUUCGUAAACUCUCUGAGCACGAGCCACUUUUCACACUGCGGCAGAGGAACCAGGAGAUAGUGAGCACUUGGAAGCCUUUGUGACCAAUGCAUGAUGCAUAUGAUGCAUGAUAUGCAAAUGCGAAUGCAAAAGACUUAUUUUUUCAUCGAAGGAUUUUAAAACAAAUUAGAAAUCUUGCAAAUAAUCAAAACUACAUAGUAUCUUUAACAGGAAGACUUUGAAAUUUCAACAAGAUGAACACAUGAAGCUCUCAAGCAUAGGAAGUAGUCGGAGGAUCAUCGGACUCGGAAUCUGAAUCACAGUAUCUGUCAAAGAAAUCUCGUCGUCCUCGAGCUCUCUUGGAAUCCCUCAUAAGCAGCUCGUCUUUCUCUUCCAAUUCCCUCCGGGCCUUAGCUAGCUCUUUCUUCAACAUUAGAUUCUCAUGAGUCUUCUGCUCAUCUCUACCAUCCAAAGUCAUGAUUAGAUUUUCGGCUUGAUUGUACCGAGCUUUCCACACUUGCUUCUCACGACUCUCCAUGGCUAGAUGCUCCUGAUACAUAUCCUGAGUCGCAGGGAGCAAAGGUAGAGGCAUAGAUGGAGUGGAUGAAGAUACGUAUCUCAUAGCUGGAUAAGGCAUACCAAUCUCCUCAGCUCGAUCUAUCACCCACUGAGUAUAGGCCUCAUGAGCGACACCGGAUCUCACACCUAGAUGCUUCACACUCUUCCUUCGAACCUUGGACCAAGCAUCCAUGAAAGCUUUCCUUUGUCCGGUAGGAGCAUUCGCAUAGAAGAAGAACUCUGGAGAUGUAGCAAGAUUGAUGGGCUUCGACUUCAUAGGAAAACCAAACUGUCUCAUAGCAAGCUCGGGAUUGUAGUUGAUUCCUCCACGAGUACCAAGAAGAGGUACAUUGAGAAAGUCUCCACAACCCAUGAUAAUCUCCUUCACCUGAGCGGCCGGAGCGAGCCAGACGACCUCGUCAGGAGUGAGGGCCAUAAUCCGCUGCGAGUAGGACCAAUUCUCCGAGUUGUCAUGGAAGGAACUCGGAAGGUGCGAAAUAAACCACCUAUACAAAAGAGAUGUGCAGCAAAGAAUAUACCCACGGCCCUUGAGAGUCCUGUCAUGAAUGGCGUGGUAGGUAUCUGCUAGCAAAGUAGGGACCGGGUUCUUGGAAUGAAAGAUCUCGAUAGCAUUCAUGUCCACGAAGUUGUCGAGGUUCGGGAAGAGAAUGAGCCCGUAGAUAAGCAAAGCAAGAAUAGCCUCGAGUGUGUCCUGACGAGUAGUACCGAGAUUGGCCUGAUCAAGAAGAUACUUCGAAGUGAACCCCCGGAUGUGAGACUUGGUGAUAAGAUGGUUGGAGACGUCGGAAGUCUUGAGGUAGAGAUCCUUAGCAAUAACCAGAGGAGUAAGAGGAGUUCCGGGACCGGUGAAAGGUGUCUUCUCGGCUAUAGGUAAACCCACUAGAUUGGAGUAAGCCUCGAGAGUAGGAACCAACUGGAAGUCCGGGAAAGUGAAGCAACGAAAGCUCGGAUCAUAAAAUUGCACUAGAGUGUGCACUAGCUUCUCGUCCACAUCGGUUCGGAGCAAAGUAAGCAAUCCCCCAUACCGGAGUCGGAACCCUGUUUGACUCUUGACCUUGAGUGCCAACUCUCUCAAACUAACCAAAUCCACUUCCUUGAACUUGUAGCACUUAGUCUUCUUCAUACCUGUGAUUAUUUACAAAAAUUUCCAUUUGUUUAAACCCUUCGAUGAAUGCAUGAAAAAUGUUUAUGCAUGAAUGCAUGUAUGCAUGAUUGUGUUGUUUAGUUAUAAUGUGGGUUGAGAUUCAAAGUAACGGAUGGACAUGGCGUCCGGUGAACUAAGGCUUUGGAUAGUAGUAACCAAGGUUCUAACACAGUUCCCAAACUGCAACCUCUCUCACAUAUAUCAUGGUAGUACAGGACGACACCCGUUCCAUGAUUAUUUGUGAGAAGGUCUAGCUUGAGUGUAGUAUCGCGUGACGACUAAAGUUUGAGACAACACUCAAUUUAGCCACCGCACUACGUCCUAAAAAGGCUAGGAUGGGUUUGGUAACUACGGUUCAUAGCUUCGUCGAACAAUUGAAAGUGAAGUGCCUAAGCAUGACAACACACGCCGACAAUAUCACCUUCAAAAUGCCUCAGCUAUGUGAGAUUGAUCGCAUAAUCCAAUACACGAGGCAACCCCCGGAUCGAAUUGUCGAUUAUAUCUCUACCUAAACAUAAGUUCACUCAGCCCGGGUAUAGGACUUUUGAUAUCCUCACCCCACACGUCAAAUGAAAGUAAACAAGUAUUCACAUAUAUAAGCAAUAAAACAAAGCGUAAAUAUAAACUAAGGAAAACUAGGCGUGACCCGCUAAAAGAAAUCCCCAGUGAAGUCGCCAUUUCUGUUAUCAUGGUUUUUGGGUGCCAAGCCAUUAAUUGGACUUGAACCUUUCGACCGUUGAUAUCUCUCUUUUUUCUUGGGAAGGGAAAAAUUGAGAAAAAAACCCUUAGAUUCUAAGUUCGGGGGUCGGUUUUACUACGGGAAGGUGUUAGGCACCCGGAGUAACUAUAGUCCUCUAUAGAGUCGUUUUCCUAAGUCUAUAUUCACGCUUAUUUUUACUUACUUUUGAAAAUGGGAGGUUUAUUUAGUUAAGAAUGGGGGUGAGAAGAAGUAGAAUUUUGAUUUUAUUUCGGCUUGGAUGAGUUUUGACUCAUUGCCUACGUACCCUUUUAAGGGAUCAAAACCGUUCGUAGUUCUUGCUAAAAAACUUGUUUUUGUUCUAAUUGUUUGAUUUUAAGUUUUGAAAAUGGUUUUGAAGAAGGAGAUUGGGAGGCUUCAUGAGCAUUAGAUUUAGCAAAAAAGUGAGGUUUGAUUAGUGAUUAGAAAGAAAGUCUAAAUGGUUAAGAUGAAUUGAAUUUUCCUUAAGAAAAAGAAAAGAAAAAAAAUGAAGUGUUGACUUCAUAUUUAUUAUGAAAUUUUUUGAAGUGAAGUUCAAUUGUUUUUUUGGAAAAAGAUGGAUUUUCUCUAAGUGUUUAAAACCUAAACGCUUAUUUAACCAUACAAUCCUAUGCAUACAUCUAAGGUGAGUGUGUGCGUGUCGGUGCGCCAUAGUGUCCAUAGUCCAUAUUACAACAUUUCCUAAAUACAUUCUAUGGCCUCUUUGCCAAGCUACAAACCAAUGAUAACAAAUUACAUCACUAAAUGAAUCAAAACUUGCAAAAAAAAAUAAAUGCUAGACUAAAGAGGGUGGAGAGUGGAGAGGGUGGUGGAAUGCUUAUGAAAUGUAUGGCACAUGAGAUGAAAUGGUUAGUAAUCAUAAAGCACAAAAUAGUAGGAAAUAAUCAAAAGGAAAUGUAUAAGAAUGGCAAAGGAAAGGUAAUAAAGUGGCAAUAAACCUAAAACUUUUGAUGUGAUACCUAAAGGUGCUUGUAACCCAUAAUCAUCACAUCAUGGCAAUUUUGAAAGAAAUUUUGUUUCAAGCCAUGACAUGAAAUUAGUGGAAGUACAUGCAAGCAAAGUAUCACACCAAACAUAAAGAAAUUUACCACUUUAUUCCUAAAAAUAAACGCUUAUUACUUGUAAAACAAGAAAUCCAUAAAAUCACAUCCAAACACAGCAAAAAUAAACACAAUUCCAGAGGCAUAUUCAUCACCAUAUUAGGCAUCAUUUAUCCAUGUCAUACUAUCAAAAUGUCAAGAACAAAACAUAGCAAAAUGCAUACAAAAAACAUAAAAACACAUGGAAUUAGUUCACACCAUUUUAACAUCUUUUUUACAUGCAAAGAUACCCUAAAAAUACCAAGAAUAUAUCAAGAAACCACUAGGAUUUUUUUAGAAAUUUUGUAAACAAAAAUGAGCAGGCCACAGGUGCAGAUAGCAAAGAAAAUGGUGUAAAUAGCAUACAAAAGCAAGCAAAAAAAACGUAAAACCUUAAGCCCAAACCAAAACCCAAUACAGACUGGGCCUGGAUCAUCCAAAGGCCUUAGAGGCGUUGGAUUGAUCCAAACCUAGAUCUGACGGUUCAAAACACGCAGCGCAUGGUAACACAGAUCAAACACGUGGGAGCAAACGCAUCACAGCCAUUCAAAAGAGAAACCCUAGAUCCUACGGUCCAAAAAGGAAACCAAAGUGAACCGGACCGGUCCAGGUGUCUAUAUAAACGUAAGGACACCGGUCCAGCUCACUUUGCUCACCUCUUUCUCUCUCUAAGCUCUUCUCUCCUCUCAGUCCUCUCUCUUCUCUCCAGAAAACCACCACCGGAGGUGAUGAAGCUACGGCGGAGACCUUGAAGGUCCGCCGGAAACUUCAUCUUCUCCGGCGAGACUUAUGAACUUCCGGUGACCUAAAUUUCCAGAUUUCAAAGAUUCUUACUCCUUUUGAUUCGUCCUUUAACCCUAAACACGAAUCCAGCAACUAUUUUUUCAAAUACGGUUCGAAACGACGUAGAUCUUGAAGGAACUUUGUACGGUUUUGAAAUGAUUUUUGAUUUUUGAACAAAAACGUUUAGAUUCUUACAUCGUUUCGUUGUUUGAUUGAUUUUCUGGUAUGCGUUCUUGCUUUCAAAACUUAGAUCCUUAUGGAUCUAGGUUUUGUGUUUACGGUUACGGCUUUGGCUUUGAAUUCUGGAAAUCUUUGGAUUCGGUUUGUUUUUUACUUCACUGAUUCAUGCUUUUUUUUUAAAGAAAAUGAUGUUGAAGUUAUGCUUUUACCUGUGAUUUCAAUUGGAGGUGCUGAUGAAGAUUUCUUCGGAAAACUUCAGAUGCGUUUCUAUUGAUUCUUGCUGCUUUGAACCGAAAAUAAAUCGGUGUUCUUCUUUCUCACUGAUUCUUCGUGAUUUUGGCUGGAAACUUCAUCUUCUUUCUCUGCUUCUUUCUCACUGAUUCUUCUUUGUGAUCGGUGCUGGAGUUUGCUGCUGCUGCAGCGAGCUCGUGCCUUGAAUUGCAAAGAAGAUGAUUCGAUGAUGAUGAUUCCUUAGGAAUCUCUGAGAAUCAAUGGAAAAUCCAAUGAAUUUUGAUGAUUUUUUGGUCUUCUGGAAAUCUAGGGUUUGGAUUUUGUUCUUGCUUGUUCUUGGAGAAUUUCUGUUUUUGAUCUGUAACUGAAUGGAGAGAGAAAAGAAAUCUGUUUGUGAUGAAUUUCUGACUUUUUGACUGUGCAUUGAAUGCGCCUUUUAUAGGCUGCCAUGUGUGCAUUGGGACCAAUAGGAAAUCGACAUGUGGCAUUGGACUUAAAAUGGACUUUGGACCUUUCUGCAAUUUUGUAAAAUAUGGGACUGGACUGCAAUUUUAAAAACAGAACUAAAAAAAAUAAAAAAAUAAAAAUUGGACAGUUUGGACUUAAAUGCAAUUUUAAAAAGUUGAAGGAUUAAAAUGCAAAGUAAAAAUAAAAAAUGAAUUAAAAUAUGUAAUUUGACUAAACGUAAAGCGAAAUAGAAAUAAAAAUAAAAUCGACAAAACGGACUAAAACGAACCAAUGGCCUAAAUGAGGUACUUCAAAGUAACCUCCCUAUGUCAAAAUUUUGUGUGAAAUGACCAAAAUGCCCCUAGGGCUAAAACGACCUAAACAGAUUCAAAUUGAUCUGACACUGACUCAGACGCAAAUUUAAAAUGAACUUAAUCAAGAUUUACUAAUGAAAAUGCAAAAACAAUCUGAAAAGACUCAGAGACAGUCACAAGGAUGAAAAUGGGUCCCACUGCAGGAAAUGACCAAAAUACCCUUCUGUAUGACUUUUUGCAAAUUUUGAAAUAAACUGUAGAAAAAGCAAUGCAAUGAUUCAGAGACACUUCUGAAUGACUUACAAGACAAGUAAAGACACUUCAAAAGGUUUUAUGCAAGAAAAACAUAAGUAAAAUUGUGAUUGGAAAUACUGCGAGGCAGAGACAAUUUGAACUUUGCAGUUGAAAUCUGAUAAUUGACAAAGUUUGAAAUGAAAUUGGGCCCAGUAUUUUUAGGUCCAAAAACAGGGUAUAACAGGGAGGAAUUAUUGAGAUGCUGAAAGAAGCUCAGAUCUUCACAGAUGAACAGUUGGGAACUGUUAGAGGGAAGAUUAUCAAUGGUGAGACUCUAAGGGCUAUGCAUCUGAUUAAAGCAAAAGAUGUGAAGAAGAGUCCUACUGACUUGAAACCUUCUGAUGCCAAAUCAGAUCUUAUCCCAGACUUUCCUCCCAUCUGUAAACAAGAUCCCUUGGAGGUUCAAAGGGCAUAUAUCAUGGAUCACUACAAAUCCUUUAACCAGAAAAUCAGCUUGAAGGAUGUUCCUGACCAAAUGUAUGGUGGUGAGCUGCCUGUGGCCAAAAGUAGAAAAUCUAAGAAGAAGCAGAUCACCAAGGAAGAAUACCUUGCUGAAAAUGCUACUGAGGUGGGUGCUCAGAAGCAUAAGAAAGCUAAGAAGGUAAAAUCUGCUAUGUCCACCAUUCUUGAGGAAGUGGAGGAUUUGGAAGAUGUCCCUCUUAUCAGAAAAAGGACAAGGAGUACUCAAGAAACAGCAGAACAGCCUGCUUCUGAACAAGCUGGUUCAGAACAAGCUGCUUCUGAAAAGCCUCCAAGUCCCAAAAAUAAAAGAGAAGCUGCUCUUCAGACCAUCAAAAGGAAAAGGUCUAAUUUAACAAGAAAUCUGAAGACAGGUGAAGGAAGAAGGGCACAAAUGUUGGAAGAACUGGAAGAGAACUGGGAUGAAGACUCAAGCCCUAAGAAAGCAAAAAGGACUGCAACUUCUGAGCCCAUAGUCAUGCCCAGUUUCGAAAUGACUGAAGAAAUGGAGCAGUAUACUAGGGAGGUUGCUGCAUCCAAGAUAGCAGAAAAGAAAAGGAUGAAGAUUUUGUAUGAAAAAGAAAGGGAUGAACGUCUCAAGGCUGCAGGGUAUGUGCCUACUCCUGACAUUGCUGCUUUAGCAUCGGAGUUAGAAACUGUUAAGUAUGGAGCAACUCUGCUUUCUCAAGCCUUGAAGAAUAAGCAAGCUUCAGGAGCAACUUCAUCAGAACCAGCUUCAGAAGCUCCAGAAGCAGUUCAUCCAGAAGCUCAGUCUUCAGGUAAUCCAUCUAACGCUCCAACUAAUACUCAGAUUCCAUCUCUACCCUCUUCACCCUCUUCAUCAUCAACAGAAUCAGAUGACCAACCUCUUAGCCAACACAUAGACAAGCUUCUAAAAACCAAACCUACCAAACUAACAGAUUUAGGAACACUUGACUGGGAGCAAACUCAAAUAGAAUUUUCUAAGAAUAGAAUUAAACUUUGUGAGAAAUUCAAUUUGCCUCCUACUCAUCCACUCUAUCCAGAUAAUCCUGAACCUGUUAGUGUACAACAACCUCAACCCAACCCAGAACCUACAACAAACUCACCACAUAACUCAACCACACAAAAAGCCUCUGAAGUAGCUUCAGAUGCAACUACUUCAGAAACUCCCCAACACCAAGAAUACUCAACCCUUCACAACUUAGAAAAACAUCUAGGUGGUGAAAUGCAACCAACACCCACUAAGGCCUCUAAGACAGUUCCUGAAAAGACUGUCUUGGAAACCCAAACAGAAACCCAAACCAUCCCUGAGCAAACUGUUCAGGAGCAAACUGCCUCUGAACAAGUUGCUCCUGACCAAACAACUUCUGACCAACAUAUACCUUCUGACCAAACAACAGAACAACAACAACAACCAGAUUCACCCACUAUAAUAGACUUAACCUCUGACCAACCUUCCAUAUCAAAUACAACUCAAACCGAACCUUCACCCAUCCCUGACCAUAUCCUAGAGUCUGAGUAUAUAGAGGAACAACUGAUCAGACUCAGUGAUGAGAUUCAGGCACUGAUUCUUCGCAGAACAGUUCCUGUACCUCCUAUUCACUAUUAUGAUCAGUGGAUGGAUCUACAGAAAAGCUUUGAUGAGCUGCUGGAUCAACUUAGAACUAAAUGUGUGUCAUCUCACUCUGCUAUGCUGAAGAAGCUUUUGGAUGAUAUGCAUGAAGCAGCUAAGGAGAAAGAGCUGAAUUUUGUGCCUCUGCUGGACAUCACUCCUUUCUAUCCAGAAGAAGAGUACAUCACUAGGGCUGCUAGAAUUCAGGCUGGAUAUAAAAGAAGAAUGAGAGAAAAGGAUGAGCUACUUCAGAAGAAGGAUGAUCAGAUCAAGUAUCUCUUAGAACAGUUGUAUAAGCAAGCCCAACCUUAGUUGCACACCCAACUCUAGCUUGUUUUUUACUUUUGUUCUUAGUAGCUGUGUCUUUGUAUCUUAAUCUUUCUUUCUAUAUAUAUUAUCAUUGUUUCUGAAUCUUGUGCUUUUUCACCUUCAAUAUGUUUUACAAGCUUUAAUUCUGAUGAUAUUUACUGUUUUCAAUGCUGCUUGCUCUGAAAUACUAUCUUUAAAAGUUAUAUGUUUAUAUCUUGGAACAAAAUGUGUUUCACAAUGAACCUUAUUAAGUUUUGAUGAUAACAAGGUAUUAAAAAUUGUCAAUUGGUUAUUACUAAUAAUUGUUCAAGUGUACAGGACCAAAGGCUACUCAAGUUAUUUCAAUAGGUCUUGGAAGAACAAUGGAAAGAAAAAGAAAUUCUGAGCAUCUGAAGAAAACUGCUCCUGAAGCUAAACUGCUCCUGAAGAGAUGACGUCAUCAGAAGCAGAAAGCUGCUCCUGAAGCUAAACUGCUCCUGAAGAGAUGACGUCAUCAGAAGCAGAAAGUCAUCAGAAGCAGAAAGUCAUCAGAAGCAAAAGUUUUCAUCAGAAGCAAUAUUUUCACCAGAAGCUACAUUUGAUCCUUUAAUCAAACUGAAGAUUCAAAGUUGCUGAUUCUCAAUUCAGUCUUAUCAAAGAAGAACGAAGAAUUGAAAGGGAGGUAUCAACGGAUAUAUGGAUAGCACUGAGCACUUGUCUCUCAUUAAUAGAGUUGACAAAGUACAAGUGUACAACCACUACCUCCACUACUCUGUUUUCUGUCUACGCUACAAGACAAAACAACAGCCAUGCCUGCAGAAUUUGUACAACUCAAGAUGGGAAUGAAUUUGAAGUUUAUCCUUCAAAGGACUACACCCAAAUCAGGCAAAAGAUCACUGGUGGAUAAUCAAAGGAUUUCAAACGACUCUUUAGACGUGCUGAUUAUCUCAACGUCUCUUUCACGCCUCUAUAUAAAGGAGUGAAGACUUGAAGAUUCAAGAUAGAGAUACAUAAGUUCAAAAGCGCCAAAACUCUGUCAAUUUGAUUCUACAAAGCACACUGAAUUUCUGCACUGAUUUGAUACAUCUUAGAAAUUCAAAGUCUAGAGUCUUUUCUGUAUUGUAUUGUGAACACCACUGAUUGUAUAUCAAGUGUUCAAUUCAAACUCAAUUCUCUGUAUUUUUGUUUGAUUAGAAGUCUCUUGCCUGCGUGCUUGAGCAUUAGAAGUCUCUUGCUUAGUGCUUGAGCAUUGGAAGACUCUUGCGUGUGUGCUUGAGCAUUGUUUUGUGAAGUCUCAUACUUUGAAAGUAUUGAGCAGUUGUAAUCUUGUGAUUAUAGUGAAAUCUCCUUGGAAGUGCAAGGGGGACUGGACUACUUCCGUGUUGUGGAAGGAACCAGGAUAACUGCCUGUGUCUUUGUCUUUCUUUUCUCUGCUCUGUUCUUUUCCGCUGCAAUCUGACUCUGAUCAUUUCAUCAGAAGCAAUCAAACUGCUUCUGAAGUUUUAUCAGAAGAAGAAUCCUUUUUAUUAAGAGAAAAAGAAAACACAAUUCAACCCCCCCCUUCUUGUGUUUUUCACCUUCAGAUUUUGGAGGAUUUUUGGGGUUUAUAUGAAUUUUUUAAAUUCAAUCUAUGUUGUUAUAAUAUUCUUAAAAUUAAAGAUAUAAUAAACAUAAGCAUUAAUUUAUCAUUAUCUAAAAAAUUACUCUUUCUCAUUCAAUAGAAACUUUUUCAUAAAAUGUGAAAGAUUUCUGCAUUUCUCUAUAUAUUUCUUACCUCCAAAACUCUCACCUUCAAACUCUCAAACAAACCCUUAGUAUAUUGUUACAAAAUAUAAAAUAUACGGUAUAUAGUAAUAUGUGCUAAACACUUGAUGAUUUUUUUCUUUUUUGACUCAGUAAGAUCGUACAAAGUGUAAUCUCAUAACCCUUCAUGGGAAAUACAACAAUGUCAAGCUACACUUUUUAAGCACAACCCUAAAGGGUAAAUAACAAAAUAAACAAAAACUCAGCCACCACGUGUACAAUCUAGCGAACACAACUCGGAGUGCGAAACCAAAUUGCAAAAGAAAGUGGUUUUUGAGCGUUCCUCUCCGUAACAAUGGAAUGAGUGUUUCUUCGUGUCAAAAUUGAUAAUUGAAAUUGUCAGCCAGCACAAAAGCAAUUACACUUACCCACCACUCACUGAUGAAACCAACAACAAAUUUACGGCUAUGAAUCAACCUCAAAAAGCACUACAAGAAAGAAAAAAAAAGCUCUUUGCAACAGUUAAAUUGAGAUUCGCGACUAUUCAAACCGUCGCAAUUUUCCAUUUGCGACACUUUCCCAAUUGUUGAGGAAAAGGGGUCGCAAGAGCAUUUUGAUACAGCUCAAAAACCCGUCGUUACAACUGCCGCAGAGCGUAUUGCAAAGCACUCGUUUUAAUUUUGAAAAAGGGUGUUGCGAUCGUUUAGAACCGUCACAAUUCAUGAAAAAUAAACUUACAAAAAUAUUGCAGCUGUUUUGAACCGUCGUUAUUUGGUGAAUUUAAUUUGAAAAAAAAAACAGAUAUUUUAGAAUUAAUAAUAGAACAUCCGAGUUAUCAUAUUUUAAUGACAACUAAAUUAAUUCAUAGUAAAAAAAUAUGAGCUAAUCCAUAAACUAAAAUAUGAAUUACAUUCAAAUAAAAUGAUUCAAUAAAACAUAAACAAGUGAUAAUACAAUAAGGUUUCUUGAGCUAACAUAAAAAUUUAAUCAAUUAUGUAGAUGCUCCGUGGCAAGAAAAUUGUUUUGAUAAACUCAAUGUGAAUAGACUCCAAAAUUGUUAAAUAGUAGUUAUUAUUAAUAAGGUUUCAAUUUUCUAGAAAUUAAAACAAAAAUAUUGAAAGAAAAAUCAAGAAACAAGAAGGAUAAAGAAGAAAAUACUUAAGAUUUUCAUUUUGUUUGGAUUAUCUCUUUUUCCUUAUGAAAGAUGAAGUGACGAAGCAGAUCUGACCUGAGACUAGGGUUUAACGAAAUUGGGAACGGAUUUGAGAAAAGGAGAAAGGGGCAACACACAAUGAAGGAGGUUAGGUUCGAUCUAAGGGUUACAUCUUUUUCUUCGGUUGGAGGUUUGAAUUGGACAUGAGAGAAGAAAGAAGGGACGAUCGAUUCAAGGUUUAGAACAAAUGUGAGAGAAGAGAGAAGGCUUUUUGGGAUGGCCGAUUGGGGGUUUCUCUUUUGGGAUUUUUUCGAUGCUGGACGGAGGUUUUUUUUUUCUUUCAUAGAUCUAUAUGCUAAAAGUUUUUUAGCGGUGAGAUUUUUGGAUUUUGAAAAUUCAAGAGAGAAAAAAGGUUAGCGAGCUUUAUGCUAAAAGACCACCUUUAAUUUCACUCUAAAAUUUGCGACGGUUGGGAUUACCAGUCGCAAGACCCGCCUCAAAUAUACAAUUGUGACCCUUAUUAUUGAACUGUUGCAGUUCAUGUGUCGCAAAAUAACAAAUUUCUUGUAGGGAAGAUUGCAAAGUCGUCGCCCUUUUGAGCAUUACAGAACCAAAUCAACAAAUUUGGUCCUCUAUGAAUAGAUCAACGACGAAGCUAGAAAGUGCAAGAAGGAAUUGUUGCUUUUUAAGGUGGAUUUCGAGAAAGCCCAUGAUUAUAUUGAUUAGGGUUAUUUAGAUGAGGUGAUGAGAAGAUGAUGUUUUCGACGCUUUGGCGAAAGUGGAUUAGAGAAUGUAUUGGUACAACAACAACUUCGGUCUUGGUCAAUGGGUGUCCUACGAAUGAGUUUCUUAUGGAGAAGGGCUUGAGGCAAGGCAAUCCUCCCUAUCUCUCUCCUUUCUUGUUCCUCUUGGCAGCAGAGGGGUUCCAUGUUUUGAUGGAGUCUUUGACUGAGAAUGAUCCUUUUGUUGUUUCUCACUUUCAAUUUGUGGGUGAUACGCUGAUUUGUCUGGUUUGAAGGUGAGCUUUCAUAAGAGCCAAUUGGUUGGGGUAAAUGUGUUUGAUUCUUGAUUAACAGAGGCAGCUAUGGUUUUGAAUUUCCAAGUUGGUAGGUUAUCCUUUGUGUAUUUUGGGAUGCCAAUAGGUGGUGACGCGAUACAUUUGUCUUUUUGGCAACCGUUGAUUCUAAGAAUUAAUUCUAGAAGGUCGGGUUGAAAACCUAAGAACUUAUCUUUGGGUAGUCGUCUGGUUCUUUUAAAGUCUGUCAUGUCAUCUCUGCAUGUUUAUGUUCUUUCUUCCUUCAAGGCUCCCUCAGAUAUUGUCUCCUCUAUUGAAUCUAUUUUAAUUUUUUUUUUGGGGUGGGGGGUGCGGACCAUAGGAAAAUCUUUUGGGUUGAUUGGAACUAUGUUUGUUUGAGAAAAGAGGUUGGAGGUUUGGGGGUCAGCAGAAUUAGGGAGUUUUAACAUUGCUUGGUUGGGGGAAAUAGUGUUGGAAGUUGCUGAUGGAUAAAGAGAGUCUUUGGUUUAGGGUGUUGUUGGUGAGGUAUCGUGUUGAGGGAGGUAUUUUGAAGGAAGGGACGGUUCUAUCUGGUGGCGCGAGCUUGAUGUUGUGCAUAAUGGCUUAGUGAUCAUGUUAGCCGAAAUGUGGGGAAUGGCGGAGGUUCUAAGGUGCGGCAAUCUAUUGUGCACUUGAUUUGGUUUGUUAGUAUGUGAGAAAUUUGGAAAGAAAGAAAUAACAUGAUCUUUAAUGGUAAAGAAUGCUCAAUGUUGCAGCUUGUGGAAAGAUUAAGUCGAUUUCCUUUUUGUGGUUGAAGGCGGAGUUUAGUUCUUUCCUUUUCAAUUAUCAUAUUCGGUGGAUUAGUCCUCUCACAAAUGUUGGGCAUUAACUAGUUGUUAUUUCUUCUCUUAAUCUCUUGUUUUUUUAUCUUCUAACUUUUGUUGCGACUCUUUUGUUCUCUUUUGACACACCUCAUACUAGAAAGGACAUUUUUAGUUAGUAAUAUAUUUUAUUUUGGCUUCUUAAAAAAAAAAAAAAAAACACUCCUCCAUUGAGAUAAAGAGUUGUCUCUUCUACUUAAUACGAAAGUUCUAAUAUUAUUUAGUCAUCAUAUAUAUCAUCCUUAACAUGUGUGUAAGGUCACUUUCUUGAAAAGUAUGAGUAACUGAUAAGACAGAACACCAAUGACAACAAUUUUUUAGAGAGAUUGUCAUAAUAUUCUAACCAAUUUAUUGAAAAUUUUAUUAAAAAAAAUAUGAAGGUUAAACAUGAGUUGACUAAAAAGUAAGGAUUAAUUCUUUCAAAAAAAAAAAAAUUAUGGAUUAAUUUCAUGGAUGAAAUUUUUUGGAGGGACCAAAAGCCUAAGGGAUAUUUUAGGAAGACUAAAAUCAAUUGUUAGUAUAUUUAGAAGGACCACCAUUUACUUAUUUUUUUUUUUUUUUGGGUAGAAGACCACCAUUUACUUAUUUAAACCUUUUUUCAAUUUAUAUGUGAUAUAUGAAUUCAAUUUAUAUAUUUUGUUUAACUAAACUUCAUUAUUAUUGUAUCUUUUUAUUUUCUAAUUUUUGAUGGAAACUUAAACCUUUUUUUGUUUUUGGUGGUAUCCAAAAUUUGCCUUGAACCUUACAUAUAUUAUGCAUUAUCUAUACCAACUGAACUAAGUUUACGGAGAUAAACUUUUUUAUUUAAACUCAUACUAAUAAAUAUGAUAUAUGAGUUCAAUAUAAAGAACAACAUACUUUAUUUUAGUCUGUAAGAAAAAAUGGUUUAUAAAUUGAACCGAAAGAUGCACAGUAAAAGAAAAUAUAUAAGAAGAGGCAUUGGCAAAUGUGGGCUGUUUUUUCUUGCUUAGCGGGUAGUUUUUUCUAUUAUGAAAAAUAAUAAAAUAAAAGUAAAGAUUAAAAAUGGUAAAAUGCAUAAAAAGUUAUAAGUUAUACGCUCAAAGUUAGUCUUUUUAGCUUCUAAAAAAAGACUAUAAGCUAACGAAAAAAGUUAGUUAUCAAACAUUUAAUUUUGUCAAACAAACUUAUAACCUAGUACAACAAACUAUAAUCUAGCUUAUUUUAUCAUACAGGCUUUAUUAUCCUAUUAAAAUUUUCAUUCAUAGAUAGAAGAACAUCAAUAUGAUUUAUUUAUCGAAUUGAUGUAUUCUAGAUAUUUUACUAAUAAAACUAUAUCUAUUUAUAAAUCGAUUUUGUAAAAAUAAUCAGUUAUAUAUCCGCAAAUAAAUUUAUAAUAAAAUAAGUCAUGAUUAUUAAUACAUUUUUUUGAAGCAAUGAUUAUUAAUACAUAUCCAUACAAAUAUUUUAUAAGUGGGUAUAAUUUGGUUGGUUAAAAUAUAUAUUUUCUUUGAAAUAACAAGAUAUUAUAUUAAUGGAUUAGAUCAUGAAAAUAUACAUCAUUAGUUUCAUACUACAUCCAUCCCUAAUUAUAAUGUCCUUUUAAAAAAAUAACGGGAAUUAAGAUAGUGGAUAUUUGUAUUAAAUAUGUUUGUAAUUACUAUUGUUUUUACAAUUUUAUCCUUUAAGAAAGAGGGUUGACUUAUGUUUUCAACAUUCUAUUUAUUGUUGAUUAAAGAAAAAGAUGUACAAUAAAUAGGGGCAUAUAUGUAAAAAAAUAAUUAAUGUAGUCGGAAAUAAAAAAUGAAUUUUAUAAAAAAGAACAAAAAAAAAAUCUCAAAAGCGUCUUAUAAUUAGGGACGGAUUUAGAAUGGGAAAUUUGAGCUAAAUUAUGGGCUAUCUUUAUACAAAUUCUAGGGAUAGAUUGCACUGCCAUUUGUCAAAAUGCCAUUGGAGGGAUUGGACUUCCUGGUGGGACCUUUUUCAACUAUGAUGAGUUUUGACUUUUGACUAUAAAUGCUUGAUCGAUAUCCAUAUAGUCUCCCGUGAUCACCCAUUUUCCUGUUUCUUAAGAAAUCAUUAUCCAUGUCGUCUUCAACCUCCAAAACCAAAUGGAUCUACGAAGUGUUCAUAAAUUUUAGGGGGGAAGAUACUCGUAGCAAUUUCGUUUCUCAUCUUUAUGCAACCCUUUCAAAUGCUGGAAUUAACACUUUUCUUGACGAUGAGAAUCUUGAAAAGGGAAAGGAGCUGGGACCAGAAUUAUUGCGAGCAAUACAAGGUUCUCAAAUAAUCAUUGUUGUUUUCUCCAAAAAUUAUGUUCAAUCUAGUUGGUGUCUUGAUGAACUCGAACAAAUCAUGGAGUGCCACAAAAGUACGGGUCAAGUUGUUAUGCCCGUAUUUUAUGGUGUUACUCCUUCAUUUAUACGUGAAUAUGCUAGCCAAACUUUUGGGGAAGCUAUCGUUAGCAAAACAAAUCAUUUCGUCCUCCAUAAUUCGGAUCCGAGGAAAAAUCCACGAAAUAAGGCACAAGGCGAUGAUCAUUAUAGGUAUUUUUUUUACUAAGAUAUUUUUUACUAUGAUAAUUAUAGGUAAAUGUCUAUUUUUGUUAGAGGUAUGGUAAAUGUCAUCGUGAGUUUAACGGUAUGAACUCUGAACAAUGUAUAAUAUAUGUAAGGUCUGAGGUUCAGACUAUGGCCACCACAAAAAAAAAAAAAACGGUAUGGUAAAAAAAAAAUUUGUCAAGUACUCGUAGCUGGAGCUCACAUAUUUUAAAUGUGGAGAUGUAUGAUAAAUAAAUGUUUAAUAAUAAAAAUAUGUGUUAUUUCCGUAGUAGCACAAUGGAUAUUUCAAAUCUAAAAAAAAUAUGUGUUAUUAGAUUUCUUACUUACAGGUAAAUGCCUCUUUUUUUAGGGGUGUGGUAAAUGUCUAAACGUAAAAAUACGUGUUAUUAGGUUUCUUACAAAUUUACUAAAUUUUAUUUUUGAUUAUAAAAUAUUUCUGGUAAUAGAAAAAGUUUCCAAAGAAAAGGGUGUAAAAUUAAAGUUUCUCGGAGAUGGAAAUAAUAUCUGUAUAUUUUCAUAAAAGUUAUUUUUAAGAAUAAAUAUAGUAAACUUGAAUGUCUAUUACCAAUUUGUAAAUUAUUAUUUGACAAAUAAUCCGUCCAUUUUAAAAUGGAUGUCUCUUAAGAUUUUUACACACAUAUUAAAAAAUAUAAAUUAUAAUGAUUAAAAGGAAGAUAAUAUCUAUUUUUAUCAAAUUAUCCUUAUCAACUAUUGAUUUCAUUUUUAUUAUCAUAAAUGCAAAGUAAAAGUAAUGUUUUGGGAGUAGUGUGUAUAAGGGUACGAUUGAAAAUAUGUAAUUAAUAUUGCAUUGGAAAUCAAAAGUGACAUUCAUUUUAAAACAAUUUUUUUUACUAAAAUGACACUCAUUUUAAAACGGAGAGAGUAGUAAAUUAAUAUGUGUUCUAAAAUGUCUGAUCAAUUUUCAAUAAAUCAAUAAUUAUUUUAUUCACCUAUACUCUACUCCCUUUAGACUCAUAAAUAAUUGUUUUUUUUUUUUUUUACCAAAAAAUAAAAAAUAAUAAUUGUUUUUAAGUUCAUUGAAAUAAACCUAAAAAAAAUCUUUUCUUAUAUAUGAGACUAGAUUGAGUAAUUAACGGUACUUCUUUCACUUUCGAUUUCAUGUAUUUCACAUCCCAUUUAUUAUAAAUAUGAAUACACCAGCGCAAAAUAAAUUUGUUAAUCUAGAUAAAUUAGUCAACUAAAUCUUUUAUUUCUAGAUAAAUUUGUCUUUUGAAAAAUAUUUAUUGUUGCUGCAAUUAUGUAAAGCCGUGACAGGCUGAAAAUUUCAGAAAAGAAAGAUUCACUUGAGCAAGCACUCGGGGAUGCUUCGAUCUUGGCUGGUUGGGAUAUGGAUAAUUACAGGUAAAUGUUUAUAGUAUUAUGUUUUGUUUAGUAUACUUGUAGCAAUGAUAAGAAUUCCGCUCUUCUUCCAACAAAAAUCACUUGUUCCCAAUUGAAAUAUCCACUAAUAAACUCACGCACCUUAUGCCUACAAUGUGAGUUAACUCACGCACCUUUGAACAGUGGCAACGAGACUUAACUCAAGCACCUUUGGUUGGUGGCGUGAGUUAGAUCACGCAAUUUUGGUCGAUGGUCUAUGCACAAAGAACACAUUUUUUUGGACGUGGUCACUUAUUCAAACUUGGUUUUACUCGAUUUUUACAAGUUUUUACACGUUUUUUUAUUGUAUUUAGUGUAGUUAAAACCUAUCUAAGACAUUCCCCCUAUAAAUACCCUUCCAACCUUCACCAUUUCUCACACCAUCAUCUCACACUCUCUCCUCCUCUUCCUUCUACAACAACAAUGUUUUUCCAUUCUUUGCCUUUCUUAGAAAGAUUCAUCUUUGAAAAUUUCAGGGAUUGUAUGAACGGUCAAUGAAAAUGGCAACACACUGUGUCGCGUCAUUUUUGGAGAUCAAGGCUAUUUGAUUAGCUUUUGACUCACUAAUUAUUUCACGACUGAACAUUUAAUUUUUAAGGAAAAGGGGAAAAAAGUUCAAAACACCCCAUAUUGAAAAGAUUUAGGGUUCGGGGGUUAGUUACAUAAAGGGAAGGUAUUAGCACCCUUUACGUCCGUAGUACUCUACGGGAACCUCUUGGUUUUAUUUAAUUUAAUGUGCUAUAACUUGCUUGCUUUUGAAAAAGAAGUUAAUGUGAUGAUUAAAAGAAAAAGAAAGUGAGACCUAAUUUAUCUACAUUUUUUAUUGUUUGGAAGGACGAGUGUCCUCUGCCUACGUACCCGUGAAGGAUCAAAACCUCGUAGUUCGGGGUAGAAAAUGACGCUUGAUUGGUUUUGUGUUUUUUUAUUAGUUUUUGAAAAAGGUUUUAAAGAUAAAAGCCAAGUGGCAAAUAAGAAUUUGUUUGUGUUUUUUAAUUUAAAUGAAAAUAAACUCAAGGUAGAAUUAAAUUGAUUGAUGUUUGAUUAAGAAAAGAAAAUAAAGAUGCGGUCACUUGAUUUGGAUCAAGGUUUAUUAUAAAAAAUAUUUUUUGUGAUUUUUUUUUUGGUUAUUUGCAUGUUUUGUGAUUUUUUUGAAAAUAUUUAAACUAACGGAGCAUAAAGAAUAAAAGCGUGGCUACCCUAAGUUAGAAAUAUAAAAUCUAUGACUAUUACAUAAAAACCUAUUUACAUUCUAAGGUCUGCAAUAAAAUUAAAAUGCUAAGAAAAAUAAAUAAAUACGAAAAAGAAUAAAAAAAGGUCCAAACACAUGGUGGGGUGCAGUGGUAAACAGGGGUGUGCAGAAAGCAGAAAAAAAAAGGAUUGGGCUCAAGGAAAAUGAACCGGGUUGCGGGUCAUGGGUCAUGGGUCGUGGGUUGACCCGUUUGGGGGGUAUAUAAGGGCUGUUGGGCCCUUUUUCUUUCAUUUUUCUUUUUCCUUUCUCUCUCUUCCUCACCGGUUCUCUCUCUUCUUCUCUGUUCUCUCUCUAACUCUCUUCUUCUCCGGCGGAGUGGGGUGGGGGUUCCGGCGGGAUUCCGGCGCGGUGGCCGGCGAGCCAUCGCGGCUGCGCCGCCGCGCCGGAGCUAAAAAAACUCCCCCUUUUUUAUUUUUUCGCUCUUUCUCUUCCUCUUUUCCCCCCUUACGUGAUACUAAACCCAAAAAUCCCAAAACCUUUACUCAAACGUCUAGAUCUAAAAAGAAAGAAAUUUAUACCUUUUUGUUUUUUUGUUGAUCCGGUUUCGUGAUGUGAUUGUCGCUGUUGUGACGGUUUGUGCGCCUCUGUGUGUGCGUGUAUGUGCUGUGUUGUGUUGCCCGCGGCCGUAUUCCCGUUUCUGUGCACGUGCGUGUGUUGUGGCGUGGACUGGUGCGUGUGUGUUGUGCGCGGACUGGUACGGUUUGGACUAGUGCGUGGCGUGAGUUGUUGGCUUGUGCGACUGUGUUGUUGCUUGUGCGACUGUGUGUUUGGCUCUUCUUGCUGCUUCUGUUGUUUGUGGCCUCUUUUUUUCGUUCUGCUGCGUUUUUUGUUGUGUUUUUAAUUGUUGUGCAGGUCUCUAUUUAUAGAGUGGGUUUGAAGCUUGAAUUUGUUACUGAUGAGCACAAAAUCAGUGGCUUGUGGAGGAGAAAAAAGGAAAUGUGUCUGUUUGUUACUGGAUUUGUUUCAGAGGAAGCGUGAAUCCGGAUUUGGAUUAGAAUGGAAAAGGAACAGAACGUGUAUAAGGAUUGAGAUGAAUUUGGACUAUUUUGUUGGACUUAUUUUUGGACAAUUUUGGGAUUUUAAUUAAAAAGAAAAAAUUAAAAAUAAAAAAAGGAUAAUGUCUAUAUUUUUGGUUUUUAAAAAGGAAAAUUUAAAAUGGGAAUAAAAGGAAUUUAAUCUAAAUUGGACUAAAAUUAAAAUUAGAGUUCUAAAUUAAAAAUUUAAAAGAUGGAAAUAAAUAAUUAAAGACUGAGAGAAGAGGGCCCGAUUCGGAACUUUAUGAGGUAUUUCAAAAUACCUCCCUGCCGAAUUUUUCACUGAAAUGCGAGUCUGGUCCGAGUUCGGAGACGUGUGUCAGUGGGACCUUAGGUCAAAAUUUGGGGUAUGACAGAUGCCCCUAUUUAAGUUUCUUCGCUCAGAGAUUCGAAGGUAAAAUCCUUGACUCGACGAGCCGAAGAGACUUAAAUACAAAAGUGCACCAAUUUUGACCUAAGAGGUUUAUGAAUGCUCAUGAUUUAAUUAUGAAUGCAUGAUGAUAAUGACGGCUCGACUGGAAUGAAAAGACACUAGGAUACCCAAAUUCUUUGAAGAAAGGGAUCCGACUUUACUGGGGAAUCUGGUUUCACUGGGGAAAAUGGUUGUUCCUCAUUGUUUCGACAUCUCGAAACAAAGUGCAAUGGUUCAGACCUCCAUGUCUAUUUGUGGACUUGGUUUUGAAAAUGGAAAAAAGAAAGAUACAAGCUUUUUGUUGGUUGAAAUUGGCCACUUGUCACAGAUUGUUCGUUGGUUGGAACUGGUUGCUGAGCAUAAAGAUAAAAGAUUGGCUCGAGUUGUUCGUUUGUUGGAACUAGUUGCUCGGAAGGUAAAAGACAUUGGCAUAGGCUAUUCGUUUGUUGGAAUCGGUCGCUGGGCAUAAAGAUAAAAUAUUGUCAUGAGUUGUUCGUUCGUUGGAACUGGUUGCUCGAAAGGGAAAGAACUGACAUAGGCUAUUCGUUUGUUGGAAUCGGUCGCUUGAAACAUAAGUUGUUCGUUGGUUGGAACUGGUUACUUAAAAUAAAGACACAAGCUGUUCGUUGGUUGGAACUUGGUCGCUUGAAAAGUUUGGAUUGGUGACAUCUCUAGAACAGCUAUGCUGGGGAUGAUACCUGGAGUUUGAAGUUGACAUCGAGAUCAACUAGCGCCAUGACUAGUACGGCCUUCUGCCGGGGAUGUCACUUCGAAACUAAAAUUGAAAUUGACUUUGAUUAGUGGCAUGACUUAGCACGGUUUUUCGCCGGGCAUGACACCUUUGAAUUUUGAAAUUGAGAUUGACAUUGAUUAGUGACAUAACUAGCACGGCUUUACGCCGGGGAUGACACUUUUGAAUUUGAAAUUGAAAUUGACAUUGAUUAGUGACAUAACUAGCACGGCUUUACGCCGGGGAUGACACUUUUGAAUUUGAAAUUUGAAAUGGAAGACGCUCAUUUGUAGAAACUUGCGGCUUGACACAAUGGUAAGCUUUGACUGAUGCGAUUAUGUGUGAAUUGAUGUUAUGCAUAUGUCGUGUACGCGUAAACGUAUGAUCAUGUGAAAAUUUUGGUGAAUGCAUGAUUGUAUGAAUGUAUGGAUAUGUGAAUGUACAUGACACGUGAAUCGAUGAACCGAGACAAGACAGGUAAGAUGGGAGUCGGACCGACAUUGUAUUCCAAACACUCGGCAACCUUCCUUGGAGAUGAUAUUAUUGUGAGCAAAUCGAGCCGUUGAUGGCGUAAGAACCUGGCACUUAGGUAGCCACCGAUGCCUCCUGGGGGGUGAGCCCAUUGUCGAUGAAAGAAGUCUGAAGAAGUCGCUAUUUGUAAAUCGGCACAGAGUGUCCUUCCAUUGGUAUGCUUCAGCAGUCAUACCUUUUGUUUUUUAAACGAAAAUCCCUAAUUUUUGCCUGGACCGCCCUUUCGGGUUUUCAGUCCACCGGGAAUAUUUUUGUUUUGCCCCUAAUUUUUGCCUGGACCGCCCUUUCGGGUUUUCAGUCCACCGGGACGCCCUCUGUUGCCUAAGUCGCCUUUUCAGGUUUUCAACUUAGCGAGCUUUUUUUGUAUUAUUUUUGUAUUUGUUUAUUCAGAGACUUUCCUUAGUGUCGAGCCACACUUUUAGCGGGAUCUAACCUCUCUUGAGUUGAUAUAUGCCUUUCUUACUCCCGAGUGCCAAGUUGUAUCUAUUUGUUUAUGCUUUUUAUUAUAUAAACCCUUUUUAGAAAUCUAUUUCAAAGUAUUAUCAUCAGUAAAAGAGAAAAAAAAAAAAAAAAAAAAAAAAAAAAAAAAAAACGAGAAACAAAACAAGUAGGAGUCAAAAGAGAGGUAAAGGCUCAAAGUUUAUUAAUCGAGUGACGCUAUGCCAAUGGCAUGACUUCAUGGAGUUAUUUACAAAGUUUGAAAAGAAAUGGUAAUUUAAAAUGGAAAGGUACGUUGAACUUCAUAACCCUAUCGUUCUCUAGCAACUUUGAAAUCCGUUAUCUUGUGGCUCGAAUGUUUUUGAUAUCAGGUAUGCCCCAAGUGUAUCUGUGUUCGACUGGAUGCAGUUACUUUGUCUCUAUUUUCCCUUUUUUUUUUUUUUUUUUUUUUUUUUUUUUUUUUUAAAAAUCCUUAAUUUUUGCAUAGACUGCCCUUUCGGGUUUUCACUCUAUCAGGAUAAUGAUCUCUGUUUAUUGUCUCUAAUUUUUGCCUGGACCGCCCUUUUCGGGUUUUCAGUCCACCGAGACGCUCAUUUUUGCCUAAGUCGCCCUUUUCGGGUUUUCGACUUACCGAGCUGUUCUUUUAAAAUUUUUAGACAAAGUAUUUCUUGACUGCAUCUGUGUUCACAGGUCGUGGAAGUUCUUCACCGUCCAUGGUUUGUAGAGUCAUGGCACCACCUGAGAAGGCUCUUUUAACAACAUACGGACCUUCAUAAUUAGGAGCCCACUUGCCUCGGGAGUCUGGUUGGAAAGAGAAAAUCUUUUUGAGCACGAGAUCACCUUCUUUAAACUCACGGGGACGAACUUUCUUGUCAAAGGCCUGCUUCAUCCUUUUUUGAUAUAAUUGUCCGUGACAUAGGGCUGUCAUGCGCUUUUCUUCAAUUAGAUUCAACUGGUCGUAUCUAUUCUGAACCCAUUCAGCUUCCGAUAAGUCAGCCUCCAUUAAGACUCUCAAUGAUGGAACUUCGACUUCUACAGGGAGUACUGCCUCCAUGCCAUAUACCAGGGAAAAAGGAGUUGCCCCUGUUGAUGUGCGUACAGAAGUACGAUAUCCAUGUAAUGCAAAGGGAAGCAUUUCAUGCCAAUCUUUAUAAGUCACCACCAUCUUCUGGACAAUCCUCUUUAUAUUCUUGUUCGCAGCUUCGACAGCACCAUUCAUUUGAGGUCUGUAAGGUGAAGAGUUAUGGUGCUCGAUCUUGAAAUCAUCACACAAUUCUUUCAUCAUCUUGUUGUUUAGAUUUGUUCCGUUGUCGGUGAUGAUCCGGUUGGGGAUGCCAUAGCGACAAAUGAUAUGAUUCUUGAUAAAUUUGACCACUACUUGUUUGGUCACGUUGGCAUACGAUGCGGCCUCAACCCACUUAGUGAAGUAGUCAAUAGCCACUAGGAUAAAACGGUGUCCAUUUGAAGCUUUGGGCUCAAUCCUUCCGAUCAUGUCAAUGCCCCACAUAGAGAAAGGCCACGGAGAGGAAAGCAAAUUGAGUGUAGUUGGCGGCAUAUGAAUCUUGUCGGCGUAUAUCUGGCACUUGUGACACUUUCUGGUAUGCUUGUAGCAAUCUGAUUCCAUUGUCAUCCAGUAGUAGCCUGCUCGCAAUAUCUUUUUAGCCAUUGUGUGCCCAUUAGGAUGAAUUCCGAAGGAUCCUUCGUGUAUUUCAUGUAUCAAUAAAUCAGCUUCAUAUUUGUCUACACAUCUGAGCAAGACCGUGUCAAAGUUUCUUUUGUACAAGAUAUCCCCAUUCAGGAAGAAAUUACUAGAUAAUCUUCUGAGAGUCUUCUUAUCUUUGUUGGAUGCUCCAGGAGGAUACUCUCGAGUUUGGAGAAACACCUUAAUAUCAUGAAACCAAGGUUUAUCGUCGAAAACUGCUUCAGCGGCAAACACAUAAGCGGGUCUAUCAAGGAAUUUGACACUGAUUAGUGGCACGUCAUUGUGAUGAUUCACCUUGAUCAUUGAAGACAAAGUAGCCAAGGCAUCCGCCAUCUGAUUCUCAUCCCGAGGAAUAUGAUGUAAUUCCACUUUGUUGAAGAAGGUCAAUAAGCGUCUUGCAUAGUCUCGAUAAGGUAUUAGUCCUGCGUGAAGAGUUUCCCAUUUUCCUUUGAUCUGGUUGAUUACAAGAGCUGAAUCUCCAUAUAUUUCGAUGUUCUUGAUUCUUAGAUCAAUGGCUUCUUCAAUACCCAUGAUGCAGGCCUCAUAUUCAGCGAUGUUGUUUGUGCAGUCAAACCGGAGUCUUGCUGUGAAAGGGAUGUGAGUACCCUUAGGAGUAAGGAGUACUGCUCCUAUGCCGUUGCCGUAUACAUUGACAGCCCCAUCAAAUAUCAAACCCCACACUGAAUCUGGAUCAGGACCUUCUCCGAAUAGUGGCUCGUCGCAAUCUUUCAUUUUUAAAUACAUAAUCUCUUCAUCAGGAAAGUCAAACUUGAUAGGUCGAUAGUCUUCAAGUGGUUGGUGAGCUAAGUGAUCAGCAAGAAUACUGCCUUUAAUUGCCUUCUGGGAACGGUACUCGAUAUCAUAUUCAGAUAGUAGCAUCUGCCACCGUGCAAUCCUUCCUGUCAAAGCGGGCUUCUCAAAUAUGUACUUGAUUGGAUCCAUUUUAGAUACCAGCCACGUAGUGUGAUUAAUCAUAUAAUGACGGAGGCGUUUGGCAGCCCAGGCUAGAGCACAACACGUCUUCUCGAGCAUGGAGUAGCGAGAUUCACAUUCAGUAAACUUCUUGCUUAAAUAAUAAAUGGCGUGCUCUUUUCUUCCGGUUUCAUCUUGUUGUCCGAGCACACAACCCAUGGAAUUUUCUAACACUGUUAGGUACAUGAUCAAAGGUCUCCCUUCAACUGGAGGGAUGAGAAUCGGUGGUUCUAGCAAGUACUUCUUUAUGCUGUCAAAAGCCUUCUGGCAUUCUUCGGUCCAUACAAUACCUUGUUCUUUGCGGAGUAGUUUGAAUAUCGGCCCACAAGUUGCAGUCAUAUGAGAAAUGAACCGGGAGAUGUAAUUUAGUCGUCCAAGAAAACCCCUUACUUCUUUUUCUGUUCUCGGAGCAGGCAUCUCUCUGAUGGCUUUGACUUUGUCAGGGUCUACUUCGAUGCCUUUCUGGCUGACGAUGAAACCUAGAAGCUUUCCGGAUCUGACACCAAAAGUGCAUUUGUUGGGAUUUAAACGAAGUUUGUACUUCCUCAGGCGCUGGAACAUCUUCUGUAGAUACUUGACAUGGUCUUCUUCAGUAAUCGACUUGACUAUCAUAUCAUCCACAUAGACCUCAAUCUCUUUAUGUAUCAUAUCGUGGAAAAGAGUAGUCAUACCCCUCUGAUAAGUAGCUCCUGCAUUGAUUAAACCGAACGGCAUUACUUUGUAGCAAAAAGUGCCCCAAGGUGUAAUAAAUGAUGUUUUCUCUCUAUCUUCGGGUGCCAUCUUGAUUUGAUUAUAACCGGAGAAUCCAUCCAUGAAUGAGAAGACUUUAGACUUGGCAGUACUGUCAACCAACACGUCAAUAUGAGGUAAAGGAAAGUCGUCUUUUGGGCUAGCUUUGUUUAAAUCACGGUAGUCAACACACAUUCUGACCUUACCAUCUUUCUUUGGAACAGGCACUAUGUUAGCUAACCAUUGGGGGUAAUUUGAUGUGACGAGGAAACCUGCGUCGAUCUGCUUCUGUACCUCUUCUUUGAUUUUGAGAGCCAUGUCAGGACGUGUUCUUCUCAAUUUUUGUUUGACUGGCGGACACUCAGGUUUCAACGGUAGGUGAUGCACCACAAUAUCAGUGUCUAGACCCGGCAUAUCUUGGUAGGACCAGGCAAACACAUCAACAUAUUCUUUGAGGAGCUCUAUCACUUGCUUUUUAACACUUGUUUCGAGCGAUGCCCCAACCUUGAUUUCUUUCUUGUCUUCUUUGGUGCCCAAAUUAAUCACUUCUAAUUCGUCCCCAUAAGGCUGAAUGGUCUUCCUCUCUUGUUCGAGUAGUCGAGAGAUUUCGUCAGGGAUCUCUUCAUUCUCUUCUUCCUCCGUUUCAUACACAGGGAACCCAAAGUUGGGAGAGAUCAUAGGGGUAUGUUGUUCAACGGGUUCGUCGAUUUCUAAUCUGCACAUGUGAUGGAUGAUUUUUUAGAAAAAAGAUACAUGCAGAUUUUUUUGAAAAUUCAUGUUGGGUUUUUUGUAUUACCACUUUUCAGAAAAGCAUAAAAGAAAAUGAGACAAAACAUCGGGAAAAAAAACGACAUUUUUAUUUUAUUGAUGAUAAUUUCUUGAAAUAAAAAAAAAGCCCUAGAUAAGUUCACUUUCGCUUGGGGCGGGGCGAAAGGAUUUUUUUGAAAAGAAAAGCAUAAACUAGACAAAUGCAUUACUUGGACAAGUGAGUAACAAAAGGAACAUCUACGGCAACCCAAUUGUGGCUGGAUACUCCUGGCGUUAUAAAACCUCGUGGCACACUUUCAGGACCAUCUUCAAUGAUUGCAUGGAUAAAGCCCGAACUGUGGAAAGCGCCCUUCUUCGCUGUGGACAAACCAGUAGAUGGGAAGAAACCCAAACCUUCUCGGUGCUUGUUUUCUGGAAGCUCUAUCAGCUUUCCCCAGCUUGUGGACCCCCCUGCUUGUAUGACCUUCUGAGCAUCUUUUAGGGACGAGAUAGAGGCUUCAUUCUUCUGGGUAUUCUUAUCUUCUAUAGUAAACCCUUGAAAAGGUGUCCCUUCGACAUCGUCUGCCCCAAUGAAAGAGAAAGAUGACAAAUGACUCACCAAUAAAGCCUCUUCACCGUUUACAGUUACUAGCUUCCCAUUCUUUACAAACUUCAGCUUUUGAUGCAGCGUGGAUGUGACAGCUCCUGCUUCGUGAAUCCAGGGUCGACCCAGUAAGCAACUAUAUGAAGCUUGAAUGUCCAUGACUUGAAAAUUAACUUGAAAAACUUGUGGCCCAACUGUGAUAGGUAGAACCACCUCACCAAGGACAUCCUUCCUCGAGCCAUCAAAAGCUUUCACCAUUACCCCACUUCGUCUUAAAGGUGCGCCUUGGUAAGCGAGUUGGGUAUAAGUUGUUUUGGACAACACGUUCAAAGAUGAUCCAGUAUCCACCAGUACAUUUGACAAAGCAUCGGUUUUACAGUUCACAGAUAUAUGCAGCGCCCGAUUGUGGUUCCUUCCUUCUGCUGGGAGCUCUUCAUCACUGAAACUCAAGUUGUUGCAUGCAGUGAUGUUCCCUACUAUUCCGCCAAACUGACCCACCGUUACAUCAUAAUCCACAAAAGCUUGUUCUAAAACCUUCAUUAAUGCAUCUUUAUGGGCCUCAGAAUUUAGUAAUAAAGACAUUAUGGAUAUUUUGGAUGGAGUCUGCAUCAGUUGGUCAACAACCUUGUAUUCGCUCUUCUUUAUUAACUUGAGAAUCUCAUCAAACUCUGCACUUGUACCAGCCCCAUUGGGUUGAUCCACUUCUUUGGCGAUACCAGCAUCUUUAGUCCGAACCUCCUUGUUUACUGUAGCAUCAAUCCUCCUUGGGAACACUAUGGGGACAACGCGCCCAUUUCUCAAAACUCUGCUGUCUUCAACAAUAUUAUCCACACUGGACAGAGGCGGUAUUGGAACCUCGCGACCCUCUUCAAUCAUGGUGGCAUUGUAUUUGUAUGGAACGGCUUUUUCAGAAACAUAUGGCAGUGGACCUGGUAAGCAGAUUACCAGAGGGGUGAUAGUUGACUUUCGACUGUCGUAAAAUACCUCCAAAGGUCCUUCGGGAGUUAUUGCACACACAUCAUCGCACUUCCUUUCGACCACAAGCUCUCCUCGGUCUAGAAGCCCUUGAAUAUCAUUUCUUACUUUCUGACAUCCUCCGGAGUUCAUAAGGCAUAUUUCACAGAGAUCAUGAUCAUGCUCGAAAAGGUCGACUUUGCAUAACUUGGCAUGUAACGGAACCAAGGGUGUUCUGAUAUGUUGAACAUCCUGAAUGGGACGAGUCUUUUGACAAUCUUCGAUCAUGUUGACUGUUGCGGCACCAUGAUUCGGCAAUGGGUUUGUUUGAACAUUUGGCGCCGAAUCUGUGAAAGUUAUUUUUCCAUCAUUGAUCAACCUCUGCACUGUGCUUUUAAAGGCAUAACAAGUUUCAAUGUUAUGGCCACGGCCCCCUUCAUGGAAGUCACAAGUUUGGUCAAGUCUAUACCAAGAUGGUAGUUUUUCUGGGAUAGGAGGAGCUGUUCUGGUUUGGACAAGGUUUUUCUGGAGUAAGCCGGGAAGUAAUUCUGCAUAGGUGACCGGUAUUGGGUUAAUCGGCAUUCUUGGUGGUCGAGGUUGUUGUGGGCGUUGUUGAUAAGGUUGUUGUUGGAAAUUUUGUUGAGGGUAUUGUUGAUAUGGGAAUUGUUGGUAUGGUUGUUGUUGGUAUGGUUGUUGUUGGAAAUUUUGUUGUUGGACAUUUUGUGGUUGGACAUUUUGUGGUUGGACAUUUUGUGGUGAAGGAUUUUGUGGGAAUUGAGGAUAUUGUGGUAUUUGAGGAUGGUUAUUUGUUUGUUGAAAAGGGUGAGAGGUGGGUGUGAUGGCAGCAAUGUGUUGAUAGGCUGGAUAAGUUUGUUGAGGCCCUCCAUGAGUCACCAUACCGACUUCUUGUUCUUUCUUCCUCGGGAAAUGGUUCCCGGUCUUCUUGGUCCCACUGGCCGGAGUUGUAUUCUUUACUAAGCGUCCUUCUCGGACUCCUUCUUCUAACUGUACUCCCAUACCAACCAUCUCCGCGAAGCUCUUUGGUGUACUCCCGACCAUCUUUUUGUAAUAAAAAUGAUUCAAAGUUUUUAGGAAGAGCUUGGUCAUCUCUUUCUCCUCAAUUCGUGGGCUGACUUGGGCAGCGGUGUCUCUCCACCGUUGGGCAUACUCUUUGAACGUCUCUUUAUCUCCCUGAGUCAUGGCUUGGAGAUCACUUCGGUCCGGAGUCAUGUCUACAUUGUAACUGUACUGUUCCACAAAAGCUUCGCAAAGGUCACGGAAAGUUUGAACUCUUGUUUUGUCUAGGUUUGUGUACCACUUUGAAGCAGGGCCGGUCAAGCUUUCUUGGAAAUAGUAAAUAAGAAUCUGAUCAUCUUGGGCGUAUGCUGGCAUCCUUCUCACAUACAUUUUUAGAUGUUCCUCAGGACAAGAACUCCCUUUGUAUUUCUCGAAAUCUGGAAUCUUGAAUUUGUGAGGUACCUGCACACUUGGUACCAAACAGAGAUCGUACGCAGUCUUCCCGAAUUUCCCUUUUUCAUGGAGAGCUUUCAUGUCUCGGCGUAGUUCAUCAUACUUCUCUCGUAGGUCACUUACCUCCCCGUAAGCCUCUGCAUUCCCUGAAUGAAAGAUAGGCUCUUCAGCUUGCGGAAUUGUAUGCAUCACGGGUGCUGAGUAGGUUAUGGUGGCGGGAGUGGCCCUCAUGGCAGGUAGGGGUACUUGAGCCGUGUACUGGUGAGUGGGCAUCUGAGCUUCACAAGUGAUAGGACGAAAUAUCUCCCCAGCAGUGAAAGGUGGAAACCAAGGCGUGGAACGUUGCGGAGCGGACUGCGUUGGAGUGUCAGCACAUAGUGUCCAAGAAGAAGAUGCCUCGGCCUGAGUUCUGACAGGAGGAGGAGGUGGAGGUGCUUGUGAUCGGGCCUGCGCCUGAGCUUGAGUUUGAGCUUGUGCCAAUGCUUGCGCUUGUUCUUGAAUCUGUGCUUGAGCUUGAGUCUGAGCUUCCGCCAUUGUUUUUAUUAAUUCAGCCAUCUCGUCCAUCCUAGUCUGCAUGGCUGUCAUUUCUUCACGAAGUACCCGAUUUUCCUGCUCAAGAUAAUCCAUCUUCUUUUUUACGUUUGCCCGAGUGUAGUGAGUACGGGUUGACUUGUAGAUGAUACGUGGGGCCACCGUAUGAAACGAGUUGACCCUUUUUCUGGAAAAGGAAGUUUGUGUGAGACUUUGAUUUGAGACUAUGAAAUGCAGGAUGAUGCAUGAUUGUUUAUGCAAAAAUGGACGUAUAUUUUUUUUAUCGAAGGACUUAUGAAAGUAUUUUUGUAAAUAUCAUAGUUGAGAGUUCCAUUUGAAUAAUUUACAUAUUACGAGAUAAUUCCCUUUCUAAACAACGAAACCAAGGGAUAGACUUUGCAAAUAAAUAAGAUAAAUAUCUAACUUAAAAAAACAAAAAUAAAAGAAAGACUGGGAACUCUCAAGCUCUUUGAAGUAGACUAUUCAUCAGAAUCUGAAUGUGCAUCUUUGAAGAACUCCCAACGCUCCCCUGCGCUGAUAAAUUGUGAUAGCCUUGUGCUCUGAGCUCGGAUCUGAACAUUCUUUUUUACUAUUUGCCGUCUCAGCUUGUGAACCUCAUGCUCUUGUUGUUCUAUCUCACCACUCAUAGUUUCCAUUUUGAGCAUAGCUUCAUCAUACUUCCUCUUCCAAGUAGCACCCACACAUUCCGAUUGGGCCAACCUCUCUUGACAUUCCUCCACAGUUGCGGGGGCCAAGGGUAAAGCCGGCGCUGGGGUUGUUGAAGAUAGGUACCUCGGCAAAUGAUAUGGUAAGACCAGAUCGGAAGCUCUAUUGAUGACCCAUUGAGUGUAAGACCCCUGUAAAGAGUCUGAUCUCCUCGCCAAUUGGCUUCUAUUGAGUGUGCGAAUGGCAUGCCAUGCUUGGACAAAUCUCCCUCUUUUGUUUGAGGGAUCUUCAUGGUUGAAGUAGAAUUCACCCUGUAAGUAGAUGUUAUCUGGCUUAGCUUCCAUCGGGCAUCCGAACUGACGUUUGGCAAGGAUAGGAUUGUAGCUGAUUCCUCCUUGCGUACCGAGAAGGGGUACAUUUGAGUAUUCUCCACAACUGACAAUGAUGUUCGUGAAGUUACAAGUGGCACGGUACCAGGUUAUGUCGGAUGGGGUAAGGGACAUGAUUCUUUUGGGCCAGGAGAGAUUUUCUGGGUUGGCUUGAAAGGAGUGGGUCUGAGGUAAGUGAGAGGUAAACCAUUUGUAUAGUAAGGGUGCGCAACCAAGGAUAGCUCCACGACCUACCUGGGUUCGAUCGUGAAUGGAAUGAUAUAUAUCAGCUAACAAUGUGGGGACUGGGUUCUUUGUGAGGAAAAUUUGGAUGGCAUGGAUGUCAACAUAGUUAUCAAUAUUCGGGAACAAUACUAGGCCAUAGAUGAGUAAAGCUAGGAUAGAGUAAAAGGCCUCAACAUUGUUUGUUUUGGAAAAAUUGAAGGCUUGUUGGUAAAGAAAUUUAGUAGGUAAGCUUGGGAGAUUCCCUUUUAGGGUGAGUUUUUCUUUUAUGAGGGAGGUUUUGAGAUGGAGGGCAUUUGCAAUAGUGGCGGCUUUGGGAAAAGGUUCUAAACCAGUAAAAGGUACCUUAUCAAGUACGGGUAGGCCAAUUAAGUGAGAGUAUUCUUCGAGGGUAGGCAUAAGCUGGUAGUCAGGAAAAGUGAAACAGUGGUAAGCAGGGUCAUAGAACUGGACCAAGGUCUCCAAGCACCCCUUCUCGAUAUUUGUCCAGAGGACACCAAGCAACUUCCCAUGACGAUCACAAAAGUUCUCCAAGUUAGUUACUUCAAAUGCAAGCUUCUUUAAGUUCUCUAGAUCCAAUUUCCUGAAUGUAAACUUCCUAGUAUUUCUUCUUUCCAUGCCUAUGAUAUUUACAAAAACAAGUAUAAGCCCUUCGAUAUUUUUUGAUGAAAAAAGAUAAAAUUAUGAAUGAAUGCAUGUAUGCAUGAUUAUGCAUAGGUUAAGCUUAUCAUGUUGGAGUUUAAAGGUAGUAACCCCCAUUUGGUAAGGACUAUGGUUUCAUUUGUACCUGUAUCACGGGUUCUAUUAAGUUCCCAAAGUCAUCAACUACUUCCGAACGUUAUCAGGUUACAAGACUACUCUCGAUCCAAUAAUAUCCGUAAGAAAGUUUCAUUUGAGUGUAGUAUCGCGUAUCAACUAAUUCAAGACUACUCUUGAUUAGCCACCGCACUACGUCCUAAAAGGCUAAGAUGGGUUAAGGGUAACUAAAGGUCCUCAACUUCGACGGUCACUUGAAAAUAUAAUGCCAACACGACUAUUCAUGCCAACAUAGAUUACUUUCAAGAUUCCUCCAUUGAGUGGGGUUGUACCACAUGAACCUAAACACGAGACUUGACUCUCGGAAAGGCACUUUGGUUAUACCACCGUCCUAUCUUAUGUUUCUCUCAAGCCCGGGUGUAGGGCUUUAUCUCACCACUCAUAUUUAAAAAGAAAGGAAGAAAGAGAGAAGAUAAAAGAUAUAUACAAUUUAUUUCCAUCUUUAUUUUUUUGUUUUUUUUUUGUUUUAAGCAAGUUAUAGCACAAAGAAUUAAAUAAAGCCAAGUUAGGCUCAACCCUCUUAGGGGGGGGUCCCCAGUGAAGUCGCCAUUUCUGUCGCGUCAUUUUUGGAGAUCAAGGCUAUUUGAUUAGCUUUUGACUCACUAAUUAUUUCACGACUGAACAUUUAAUUUUUAAGGAAAAGGGGAAAAAAGUUCAAAACACCCCAUAUUGAAAAGAUUUAGGGUUCGGGGGUUAGUUACAUAAAGGGAAGGUAUUAGCACCCUUUACGUCCGUAGUACUCUACGGGAACCUCUUGGUUUUAUUUAAUUUAAUGUGCUAUAACUUGCUUGCUUUUGAAAAAGAAGUUAAUGUGAUGAUUAAAAGAAAAAGAAAGUGAGACCUAAUUUAUCUACAUUUUUUAUUGUUUGGAAGGACGAGUGUCCUCUGCCUACGUACCCGUGAAGGAUCAAAACCUCGUAGUUCGGGGUAGAAAAUGACGCUUGAUUGGUUUUGUGUUUUUUUAUUAGUUUUUGAAAAAGGUUUUAAAGAUAAAAGCCAAGUGGCAAAUAAGAAUUUGUUUGUGUUUUUUAAUUUAAAUGAAAAUAAACUCAAGGUAGAAUUAAAUUGAUUGAUGUUUGAUUAAGAAAAGAAAAUAAAGAUGCGGUCACUUGAUUUGGAUCAAGGUUUAUUAUAAAAAAUAUUUUUUGUGAUUUUUUUUUUGGUUAUUUGCAUGUUUUGUGAUUUUUUUGAAAAUAUUUAAACUAACGGAGCAUAAAGAAUAAAAGCGUGGCUACCCUAAGUUAGAAAUAUAAAAUCUAUGACUAUUACAUAAAAACCUAUUUACAUUCUAAGGUCUGCAAUAAAAUUAAAAUGCUAAGAAAAAUAAAUAAAUACGAAAAAGAAUAAAAAAAGGUCCAAACACAUGGUGGGGUGCAGUGGUAAACAGGGGUGUGCAGAAAGCAGAAAAAAAAAGGAUUGGGCUCAAGGAAAAUGAACCGGGUUGCGGGUCAUGGGUCAUGGGUCGUGGGUUGACCCGUUUGGGGGGUAUAUAAGGGCUGUUGGGCCCUUUUUCUUUCAUUUUUCUUUUUCCUUUCUCUCUCUUCCUCACCGGUUCUCUCUCUUCUUCUCUGUUCUCUCUCUAACUCUCUUCUUCUCCGGCGGAGUGGGGUGGGGGUUCCGGCGGGAUUCCGGCGCGGUGGCCGGCGAGCCAUCGCGGCUGCGCCGCCGCGCCGGAGCUAAAAAAACUCCCCCUUUUUUAUUUUUUCGCUCUUUCUCUUCCUCUUUUCCCCCCUUACGUGAUACUAAACCCAAAAAUCCCAAAACCUUUACUCAAACGUCUAGAUCUAAAAAGAAAGAAAUUUAUACCUUUUUGUUUUUUUGUUGAUCCGGUUUCGUGAUGUGAUUGUCGCUGUUGUGACGGUUUGUGCGCCUCUGUGUGUGCGUGUAUGUGCUGUGUUGUGUUGCCCGCGGCCGUAUUCCCGUUUCUGUGCACGUGCGUGUGUUGUGGCGUGGACUGGUGCGUGUGUGUUGUGCGCGGACUGGUACGGUUUGGACUAGUGCGUGGCGUGAGUUGUUGGCUUGUGCGACUGUGUUGUUGCUUGUGCGACUGUGUGUUUGGCUCUUCUUGCUGCUUCUGUUGUUUGUGGCCUCUUUUUUUCGUUCUGCUGCGUUUUUUGUUGUGUUUUUAAUUGUUGUGCAGGUCUCUAUUUAUAGAGUGGGUUUGAAGCUUGAAUUUGUUACUGAUGAGCACAAAAUCAGUGGCUUGUGGAGGAGAAAAAAGGAAAUGUGUCUGUUUGUUACUGGAUUUGUUUCAGAGGAAGCGUGAAUCCGGAUUUGGAUUAGAAUGGAAAAGGAACAGAACGUGUAUAAGGAUUGAGAUGAAUUUGGACUAUUUUGUUGGACUUAUUUUUGGACAAUUUUGGGAUUUUAAUUAAAAAGAAAAAAUUAAAAAUAAAAAAAGGAUAAUGUCUAUAUUUUUGGUUUUUAAAAAGGAAAAUUUAAAAUGGGAAUAAAAGGAAUUUAAUCUAAAUUGGACUAAAAUUAAAAUUAGAGUUCUAAAUUAAAAAUUUAAAAGAUGGAAAUAAAUAAUUAAAGACUGAGAGAAGAGGGCCCGAUUCGGAACUUUAUGAGGUAUUUCAAAAUACCUCCCUGCCGAAUUUUUCACUGAAAUGCGAGUCUGGUCCGAGUUCGGAGACGUGUGUCAGUGGGACCUUAGGUCAAAAUUUGGGGUAUGACACACUGCAAAGAAGAUUGACAUCGAAUGUCUUUUUCGCAUUAGACAAGAAACAUACCUUACCUGGGAGGGUUUCCUUUUACCCUAAGAGGGUUUCUUUUUACCCCAAGAGGGGUAAAAAGUUCUUGGGGUCAAAAGAAGCAGAUUUAGUACUACCCAGGGUUUCUUAUAAUAGAAAUUUUUGCUUUACCCCUUCACCUUCAUGUUCUUCUGAAGUAGAUUUAGUAUGAUCCUAAUCCCCCUUCCCUAGACAAGAAACAUAUCUUUUUGUAAAUGUAUCAAUUAUAUUAAUAAAAUGAGAUUUUAUGUGCUAUAUUUUUGUUUUUUAUUUAUAUUUGCAUUUAUUUUAUGAUUUUGGCAUCUAAAUAAAAGUUGUGUAUUUAAUAAAUAAAUUCGAAUAAAGACUAAUUAAACCCAUCAUGAAUUUGAAUAAAAAUUGCAUAUUGAAUAAAUAAAUUUGAAUAAAGUCAAUUCAAAUAAAAGUAGCAUAUUGAAUAAAUAAAUUCUAAUACAAACUAAUUAAACCCAGCAUGAAUUCGAAUAAAAAUUGUGUAUUGAAUAAAUAAAUUCGAAUAAAGUGACACAAGUACACAAAAUCAAUUAAAAAAAUACACAAUUUUAUUUAGUUUUAAUUUCAUCUACAUUAUUUUAUCCCUAAAUAUAUGUGGUAUCAUCAUGAUGUUGGAUUUAAAUUUAAUUCUUGAAAGUUUGCUAAAAAAGUUGGCAUGGAAGUGUCGUAUACUUCGGGUAGAGAUUUGCAACACCUUUGAAAAGUCAAAAGAAUGAAGAGAACACAACACAUGUGUAACACCCCGUUUUCCCAACAUAAAAAUUUCACAUAAAUAAUCAUAGUAUUCACAUAAACGGAAUGUCACACUUCUUUCGUAAAUUAUAAUCGGGAUAAAAUUACUAUUUAUCCUUCAAAAUUCAAUAGCAUAAUCAUUUCAAACUUCGCAGCGGAAUUAUUUCAACAUUUAAACAGUCUUUGGUACGAAGGCCUCAUCAUAAUAUCUCAUAUGCUUAAAUAUGCAAACUGUCCCUGUAAAAAAAAAAAAAAUUAAUUACAUCCCUGUAAUUUUUUUUUUUGUUUUAAAAAUGUCCUUGGCCCCACUUCGCUGGUGAUGUGGCAACGUUUUGGGCCACGUGGCAGUUGCUGACUAGGCAACUGAUGCCACGUGGCAGUCCAUAUAAUUAAAAAAUUAAAAUUAUUUUUUUAAAUUUAAAAAUAUAAAAAAAAAACAUUUUAAAAAAUCUGAAAAAAUAAAAAAAUAUUAAAAUAAUUUUCUGAAAUUAUUUUUAUCAUAUAAUUUUUAUAAAAAAAUAUUAUUUUUUUAAAAUUAUAAAAUCUGAAAUUUCUGAAAAAAAAUGAAAUGAUUUUUUAAUUUUUUUUUUAAAAUAUGAAGAAAAAAAUAUAAUUUUCAAAUUAAAGUCGAAAAUUUAAUUUUAACAGUUUUUUUUUUUCAAUUUUUAUAAUGAUUUUUGAAUUUAUUUUCAUAUUUUUUUAAUUUAAAAAUAAUUUUAAUUUUUUAAUUAUGUGGACUGCCACGUCGAGUGCCACGUGGCAGAAGUUGCACAGUCAGCAACUGCCACGUGGCAAAACCCAUGCCACAUCACCAGCGAAGUGGGGCCAAGGACAUUUUUAAAACAAAUUUUUUUUUACAGGGAUGUAAUUAAUUUUUUUUUUACAGGGACGAAAAUCAAAAUGAGCCCAAAUUACAGGGACAGUUUGCAUAUUUAAGCCUAUCUUUUAAAUCAAUCAUAAAUAUCUCAUAAGUCAAAUCCAACAAUCUAGUCAUAAAUCCUCAUAGAGCAAUACAUAAGGAAUAGAAAGAAAAAAAAACAAUAACAAGUUUCAAUCCCGUUACGUAUCAGAGCACCUAAAGACACACGUGAGAGAGUCCACUCACGACCGCAACUAAUCUUGGUUACCUGCAAGUUACCCAUGUAUAGAGGCAACAUUUCAAAGCAGAAGGGGUGAAAUUCACAAACAAUAAUAUUAAGCAUAUUAUUCAUCACUUAUAUUUAACAACAUAAACAUCUUCAACGCAUCAUAAUAUUAAUUCUCAAUAAACACUUCAUUAAAAUAUCACAACUUAACAACUUGACUUGACAAUGCAACUUCAACUUGACUAUGCAACUCUAUCUUCUUAAUCAUGCAUGUGGUACCAAUCCAGGGCAUCAAGCCCUCAACAUAAGAGUAUAAAUAUACUCACAGGGCAUCAAGCCCUCAACGAGUAGAGCAAAGGCUCACAGGGCAUCAAACCCUCAACGGGUAGAGCAAAAGCUCACAGGGCAUCAAGCCCUAAACAUAAAUGAGUAUGCAUGGACUCAACAUCUUACAACUUAGAAAACAUCGACAUCUUAUGAUUCCAAUAAUUUGGAUCAACAUCUUACAUCUUAGACCGACUCAUGCAGCUUAAUCAAUAAUAAACAGCAACAUAGGCAGCACAUAAAACAGCUCAUGAUAUAGCAAUAUCAAAUGAUAAUCAACAUCAAUCUUAAACAUCUCUUAUAAUUCGCAUACUGUAUAUACAAUUAUAUCACAUUAUUAGCAACAUCAAAUCAUUUAUAUCAGGCUUACUGAAACAGCAGCAGUAGUAUAAGCAACUUCAUUUCCUACCCCAAGGAUCAUCUCACAACAACUCGUGCGACAAAAUCACAUAAAUCCUAAACAAGGUAGUUUGUCUAACAGGAGCUCGCGAGGCGAGGGCCUCUACUCGCCUGGCGAGUUCACAAAUUUGGUUGUUCGCCUUGGCGAACAAGCAGCUCGCCUUGGCGAACUAUAAACUAGGUGCUCUCGGGAACUUGACAUUUUUCACCCAAAAAUCCCAUUUUUAACUUCCCUGUGUUCAAUCUCAGUCUAAAAACUUGCCUAAUCAUUCUUAUACAUAUUCUGGCACUCAAAACCAUCUAAAGCUCGACUAAAGGAUUAAUUUCCAAAAUCAAGGUUGACUCAUUGGUCAACUCGCUAUGGCGAGUGACUUGCUCACUGUGGCGAGCAACUUCUAGGUACUCGCGUGGCGAGCGAUGAACUUCAUCCCUCGCGAGGCGAGACAUGCUGCUCGCAAGGGCGAGCGAUGAAUAUAGGCUUGGGCAGAAUGCAGAUUUUCACGAAAAUCCACCUAAUCACAUGGUUUUAAGCUUAACAUUGAUUCCUGUAAUCAUCGUAUGGCUUAUCUAAGGUCUGUACACGCUUUCUCCAUCAAUUCAAUGGUUUCUCACCCUCUAAUCAUCAAUUCUCACUCUUAACCCGAAUUCUUAAAUUCUCAAAAACUAGUCCUACAACAUGUUAAAUACAACUAUCAGAAUUAGAGGCUUAAGAAAAUUGAGUGCUAGUCCCACCCUUACCUUAAGGAAUCGAUUGGACAGCCUCUCUUGGUUAUUCUCUUCUCUUGUUCUCCCUUUUCUCCAAAAACUGCUUGUACGUGAAAACUUUUCUAAACCUAGUUCUCACCUAUUUAUAUCUCCCCAUCUAUCUUAUCUUAUUCCACUUUUUUCCACAAAACUCUCUAAAUUCACAAAACAACCCCUCAUCUCAAUAUUUAUUUUAUUUUCAAAUCUUAAUCUAUUAAAUAAUAAAAUAAGCCACAACACCUCAUAAAAUUUCUAAAAUCACAUGAAUCACAUAAAUAUAUUUCAAACUCAAUAAAAUAAUUCAAAUAAUCAAAGUGGGCGUUACAACAUGUAUUCUAUCAAAUCAACUAUAUAAAUUCUCUUUCUUAAAAAAAAAACUAUAUAAAUUCUCACAUCGAAUUCCCUCAUAUAAAAUGAGUAUUCACACAAAGGAAUGCAUUCCAAGAGGUUGCUUUGAACUUAAUCUUACUGCCCUGCCAACUGACAAGUUUCAAUUGACAGAGGAGCAUGAUCAAGUUCAAAGGAACCUCUUAGAGGUGCAUUCCCGUCAUUCUUUGACUUUUUAAAGAAUAUGCAAAUAUCUAUCCUAAGUAUACGACACUUCGAUACUAACAUCUUCAACAAACUAACAAGAAUUAAACUUAAAUUUCUAACAAAAUAAAGACAAUACAUAAUAACGAUGCUACCUAAUCAUAAUCUUUUGGCGGAAUCAAACUGUUGAGAAUAUCUUCAGGCAAUCUCAUCAACGUGACAAACAUAUCAAUCCACGGAAACAUGUUGUGCUGCCAAAAAAUCGAGAACAUGCUCCUCACGUCGUCAUCGUUCGUUAAUUCUAGCCAACUGAAUGUUAUUCUGCCCCUCGUCCAACGUUGGGCAUUCAUACCAAAUGUAUUUCACUCUCCUUGUGUCUCCGGGGUUGAGUCCUUAGUUGAUUUCAUUCAGUUGAUCCUUGAGACCUUUUAACGUGACAUUAAUGUAAAGAACCUUGAACAUCUGAGGAUUUUCACCGUUGAAGCGUAUGCAAACAUUGAACAAAUCAGCCAUUGUUUCAAAUCUACACCAUAAAAAAUUAAACGAUCAAUGAAAAACUCAUUCAAACAUUUCAUCAAACACUUGGAGUGCAAAUUAUACAUAAAUCCUAAAACUAAUAACUACAACAUCAACAUGCAAACAUCUAAACAAUUAAGGAAUAUAAAUCAUUUACAUGUAAUAUUGUAUCAUUGCUUGCCAAAAAAAAAUGAAAAUUUAAACAAACCCUAAAACUAAAAAAAUUCUAAUGUAAGAAGAAAAAUCCAACAUAUAAACAUAAAAAGGUUAAUGGUGUUUCAUUAUGAAAACUUACUUGUUAUUGGAGUGUUGUUUGAUUUAAACUUGAAGGAAUUUUGGAUUUGGGUGAUUUGAGAGAGAUUUUGGAGAUUUUAGAUGGGAAAUGAGGAAAUAAGGUUAUGUCUGCCUUUAAAAUAACACGCAACGUGAGUUAAGUCACGCAAAAUUAACACUAGCAUGAGUUAACUCACGCAGGGGUAAUUUUGAAAAUUUGGUUGGAAAUGAGCAAAACAUGUUGGGAGAAGAGCAUAAUUCCAAUGACGAUGUGGACCGACCCAUCUCAUUUAGACUUGUCCUGCUGGUAGCCAUAAAAAUGGGACUAUUACUUUUCCCACCCUAUGCCUUUACUCGCGAGCCCUAUUUUUUUCCAAAAUUACCAUCUGAGCAUUCCGGAUUUCAUAAUCCGGAAUGGUAUUUUCCUUUGUUAUAGGGUGAAAAAUGGAGUUACGGGUUUUUCCGGAUUUUGUAAUCCGGAAACUUCAAAAAAUAGGGCGCGUUACAUGAUGUUUCCGGAUUACAUAAUCCGAAAACCCCCUAAACACCCUUUUUCAACGUAAAACAUUUCAGAUUAUAUAAUCCGAACUGUAUCAGCACAAAUUCUAAACAUGUUUGUAACAUGGAUAGUCAUUUUAUGGACAAUAUUAUUCUUCCUAAUUCGCAUCCUUCUGUUUUGGGUCAUUGUUACAUGUUCUUAGUCAAAAAUCGGGUUUCCGGGCUACUUGACCGGAUUGCUCCGAAACUUGCCCAGAAAAUCAAAAAAAAUUCAAGGACCAUGCCUCCCCUAGAAGGGACUUCCAAUGGGACUCCACCCCUCAAAAUCCAAAAUUCCAUCGUUUAGACCAAUUUUUAAUUUUUUUAAUUUUUCAUAUUUUCAGAAAAAUCCGAAAAAAUUUGCAUUAUUUUUAUUUGAUUUUUAGAAUUUUUUGAUGCUAUUUUUAUAUUUUUAUGAUUUUAUUUGAUAGGUUUUAAGCAUUUUUUACUUAGUUUUUUUUUUGUUGUUUUGAAAAGCAAAACUCAAAACUGUUAAAAUGUGAGAGAGUCUGAUGUCUGAUUAUACAUAAGAAUUGUCCGGAUUAUAAAAUCCGAAAUAAUAAACAUGAAUCCGGAUUUUAAAAUCCAGAAUGCACAAGGGCAUUUUUGAAAAAAUUAUAGGGCGCAGGAGAAGGCGAUAAGAUGGGAAAAGUAAUAAGAGUAAGGCGAGACGGGUAAGUUUGAGGUAGUGCGUUCAAACACAAAUUUCAUUUUAUUAAAAGACAUAAUAACGAGUUUUAAUUAUUAUUUUUUAGGGCGACUGAGGAGUUGGUAGUUGACAAAAAAAAUUAGGAAGAAAAUUUGCAACAUUUUGUUUUUUUAAAAAGCGUUGUCUACGAAACUUAAACUUUUAUAUGUAAGAUAUAAGAGCAUUUCUUAAAACACGGAAAAAAAGAAAAACGUUAAGAAGGAAAUUUGCAACAACUUUUUAUCUCCAAAAAGUUUUUUUUAUUGAAGGAAUGAUUCUAAAAAUUUUUCUUUAUUUGAGGGAAUAUCUCUAAAAAGUUGUUUAAUUGACUUAACAAGUUUUAAAGAAAAAAAUUAGUAAGAAAUUUUCAACAACUUUUUUUCUCGAAAAAGUAGUCAGAUAGAUUUUUUUUUAAAGAAAAGUUGCCUAAAAGAUUAAAGAACUUUUUUUUCCCAUAGAAGAUAAGAUAUCAUUUUAAAAAAAAAAAAAAUUAGUUAAAAAGGAAAUUUGUAACUUUUUUGACUGUAAAAAGUUGUCUAAAAGACUUAACUUUUAUAUAUAAGAUAAGAGAUCAUUUAUUUAAAAAAAAACAAAAAACAAAAAGUUAGCAAGGAAAUUCGAAACAAUUUUUUUUUCUCAAAAGAGUUGUCUAAAAUCAUAAGAACUUUUAUAUAUAAGAUAAGUGAGAGAAUUCAAAAUAUCAAGAAUAGGAGUAAUCUUCAACUCUUCUUUUGACUUCAUUUCUAAUAGGUUACUUGCAAUCAUACAUAUAUAGUAUUGACCUUGAUUAAGGGUGUCGAGUUUACUUGAUAGCAAAUUCAAUCAAAUGUCAUUUAAUGAUUUGAAUUACUAUGUUUUAAGCUUCUAAUCUUUCAUUAUAAAUGACCUUUUUUGUCUUUUGAAAAAUAUUUAUUGUUGCAGUAAUGAAAGCAGUGUUGUGAAGGAAAUAGUUGGCAAUGUUUUGAAAAAACUAGACAAGAAAUACUUGCCUAUCCCAGAUUUUCCAGUAGGAUUAGAAUCCCGUGCGGAAAAAUUGAUUCAGUUUCUAAGAAAGAAUACAAGAGGAGUUUGUUUAGUAGGGAUUUGGGGAAUGGGAGGGAUUGGCAAAAGCACCAUUGCCAAAGUCGUCUACAAUAAUCUUUGUUAUGAAUUUGAAGAUCAAAGCUUCCUUGCUAAUAUUAGACAAGUUUGGGAGAAAGAGAGGGGGCAAAUUGAUUUACAAGAACAACUUCUUUCAGAUAUCCUUAAAACAAGAAAUGUAAAGGUGCAUAAUGUUGAGUGGGGAAAAGCUAUGAUCAAUGAACGACUUUGCACGAAACGGGCACUUGUUAUACUUGAUGAUGUCAGUACACGCGAGCAAUUAAAUGCAUUAUGUGGAAAUCGAAAUGGGAUUGGUCCAGGAAGCAUAAUAAUCAUCACAACAAGAGAUGCACGUCUACUUGACAUCCUUGGAGUUGAUUUUAUUUAUGAAGCGGAGGGAUUGAAUGUGCACGAAUCUCGUAGGCUUUUCAACUGGCAUGCGUUUAAGGAGGCGAAUCCAAGUGAAGCUUUCCUCAUACUCUCCGGAGAUGUAGUUUCCUAUUGUGGUGGACUACCACUAGCUCUUGAAGUCCUUGGAUCUUACUUAUUCAAUAGGAGAAAACGAGAGUGGCAGAGUGUAAUAUCCAAGCUACAAAAGAUACCCAAUGAUCAAAUACACGAGAAACUAAAAAUAAGCUUUGAUGGUUUAGAGGAUCAUAUGGAAAAGAAUAUAUUUCUUGAUGUCUGUUGUUUCUUUAUCGGUAAGGAUAGAGCUUAUGUUACAGAGAUACUAAAUGGGUGUGGACUUCAUGCUGAUAUUGGAAUAGAAGUGCUGAUAGAGAGAAGCCUCCUAAAAGUUGAAAAGAAUAACAAGCUUGGAAUGCAUGCUCUGCUACGAGACAUGGGAAGAGAAAUUGUUCGUGAAAGUUCACCUGAGGAGCCUGAGAAACGUACUCGAUUGUGGUGUUUUGAAGAUGUAGUUGAUGUACUGGCCGAACAAACCGUAAGAAUUCUACAUUGCAUUUUGAAUUUUUGUCAUCCUUCACGAUCUUUGAAGAUAAAAAUAAAACUAUGUUUCAGAAAUGUUUUUUUACUUUUCCCAUCUAUUGGCUGAAAAUUGUGGGAUUCAUCAUCUCACAAGUGUUUGUCCAAAGUUUUUGGAGAAGUUAGUUCAUGAGAAAAAUGUCAUUUUAUAUAUGAUUGGGUAAGGGUUUAAGCAGAAAUUUUAUGUGUUGCUUUUUAGUUACCAAAUAGCAAGUUAAGGAUUCCUUUUUAUUUUAUUUUAUUUUUGUUUUUUCUAUGGUCUUUCUUUGUGUCACAGGGAACAAAAGCCAUCGAGGGAUUGGUUUUGAAGUCGCAAAGGACCAGUAGAGUUUGCUUCAAUACAAUUGCUCUUAAGAAAAUGAAGAAAUUGCGAUUGUUGCAACUUGAUAAUGUACAAGUCAUCGGAGAUUAUGAGUGUUUUUCGAAGCAGUUGAGAUGGCUUUCUUGGCAAGGAUUUCCUUUAAAAUACAUGCCAGAAAACUUUUAUCAGAAAAAUGUAGUUGCUAUGGACUUAAAACACAGUAAUCUUACACAGGUUUGGAAGAAGCCUCAGGUACAUAUGACAAUAGAUAUUCCUUUUAAAAUUAAUGGUUAAUGGAAAUAGUUAUUUUGCAUCUUAUUCUCUAAUUUUUAUUUAAAACAUUUAUUUUCUUGUAGUUGAUAGAGGGACUGAAGAUCCUAAAUCUCAGUCAUUCUAAGUACUUGAAAAGAACCCCCGACUUUUCAAAAUUACCAAACCUAGAAAAGCUAAUUAUGAAGGAUUGUCAAAGUCUGUUGGAGGUACACCCGUCCAUUGGAGAUCUCAACAAUCUUCUUCUGAUAAAUUUGAAGGACUGUACGAGUCUUAGCAAUCUCCCAAGAGAGAUCUAUCAAUUGAGAACAGUGAAAACUCUCAUCCUUUCUGGUUGUUCAAAGAUUGACAAAUUAGACGAAGAUAUAUUGCAAAUGGAAUCCUUGAAAACUCUAAUGGCAGCAAAUACUAGAGUCAAACAAGUGCCUUUUUCGAUCGUCAGAUCAAAAAGCAUUGGAUAUAUAUCUCUAUGUGGAUAUAAAGGAUUAUCACAUGAUGUUUUUCCUUCUCUCAUUAGGUCUUGGAUAUCACCAGCAAUGAAUUCCUUACCAUGCAUUCCCCCUUUUGGUGGCAUGUCAAAGUCUCUUGCUUCCUUGGAUAUAGAGAGCAAUAAUCUGGAUUUGGUGUCUCAAUCACAAAUACUUAACAGUUGUUCAAGACUUAGAAGUGUUUCAGUACAAUGUGACUCAGAGAUUCAACUGAAACAAGAAUUCAGAAGAUUUCUUGAUAAUCUAUAUGAUGCAGGUCUUACUGAAGUGGGAACAUCACAGGCAUUACAAAUUUCGGAUCUUUUCAUGAGAUCCCUUUUGUUUGGUAUCGGAAGUUGUCACAUUGUCAUCAAUACUCUUGGCAAGAGCUUAUCACGGGUUUCUUCUCCAUCCUCCCACCUUUACUGAUAAUUAUUAAUUUAUUACUUAGGAAAACAUAGAACUACUUUCCAUUUGCAUUUUUUUUUUUUCAAAUGGUAAAAGAUUUUAAAAUAUACAAAUUUAUUCAAGUAUCAUAAGAGAAAACAUAUUUUUUCUACAUAUCAUUUUUUCUUUAAAUUUAUCUUCAUUGCAUUUAUUUGCUACUGUUAAUAUUUAUUACAUUUGUUUAGCUUAUUCAUAUAUUCGUAACACAUGUUUAACUUUGAAAGGAUAUUUGAAUAACUAUUGAAGCUAUACACGGGGUUUAGUCGUUUACAUAUUGAACGAGAAAGAGAAACAGAAUAAUAAAAUUAUAUUUUUGUUGGUCUGGAUGGUUAUAUUGGAUCUUCUUGCCAUACAAAACAAAUCACUAGCUCGACAAUUGUUUUAUAAAAAAAGUUUAGUACAUAACUACAAUCUAAAACGAAUAAGGUAACUAGAUAACUUUUUACCUAUAUUUUUUGAAGUGCAAGUAUAUGUUAUGUUUUUGCUCUCUACAUUAGAAGGGAUCCAUGACCAUGUAAGCUAAUGUUGCUACAAUGCUACCUUUUAUUAGAAAUCAAAGCUUCCAGAUGUUUCAUAUGUUAGCUCACAAGCCUUUUGUAUUCAUGAAAGUGAAUCGACUGUGUGUGAAAAGGAGACAAAUUACUCUACAUAAACGAAAACAAUACUAUUCCUAAUGUUUUGAAGACAGAAAAUGAUUGGUUUUUCUACGAUGUUGAUACUAGGCCUUACAUAUUAUCAGACACUCUUCAAAGAAGGGAAUACAAAAGUAAAGUGCAAGUAGAGCUAGUUAAUGAAAAAUCUUCUUAUGGAUUCAUAAGAUAGUAGAACCCUGAGAGUGUGUUUGGAUGGGGGAAUGUUUUGAGGGAAUGUAGUGUUUUGAGGGAAUUCAACUACUUUGAGUUGAAUUCAAAUUCCCUCAAAACAUUACAUUCCCUCAAAACAUUUCCCCAUCCAAACACACUAUGAGAGAAUUUGUAGACAAACAUACAUAUGUUAUUACAAUGGUUACUGUGAAAGAUGAGUUGUAGCCUGUAGGAAAGUGGAAAGAAACUAUACUGCAUUUUCCAUUCAAUCUGUUUCCUUGUUUAUAUUUUUUUGUACACUAUUUUAAUUUUUAACACAAUAAAUUGCAGAAGUUGUCCAUUUGCGUAGCAUAAUUAGAAUUGCAUAAGUAAGUAACGAAGCAUAUUUUCAUGAUACAGGGAUUGACAACCAAUUUAGGUGAUUCCCUUCCGGGUGACAAUUAUCCUUCUUGGUUAGCCUAUAAAGGUGAAGGACCUUCAGUACUUUUCCAAGUGCCGAAGGAUAGUGAUUCUUGCAUGAAGGGAAUAGCUUUAUGCGUUCUUUAUUCAUCAACACCUGAAAAUUUGGCAACUGAAAGUCUCACUAGUGUCUUGAUCAUUAAUCACACAAAAUUCACUAUCCAGAUUUACAAACGAGACACAAUAAUGUCGUUUAAUGAUGAAGAUUGGCAAGGCAUAGUGUCAAAUUUAGGAGUUGGUAACAAUGUGGAAAUAUUUGUAGCUGUUGGGCAUGGAUUUACUGUUAAGGAAACUGCGGUUUAUCUAAUAUAUGAUCAAUCUAUUUCUACGGAAGUUGAGCCAUCAAGUACUAUUGAAGUUGACCCAUCAACUAGCACAAAUAUUGAGCCAUUACAUGAAGUGGAAGUGCAAUCAUCACUUAGUGUGAAAAUGGAGGCAUCGGCCGAAGAGCAACUACAACCAUCACUUGAUGUGAAAACGGAGGCAUCAGCUGAAGAGGAUGUACAACCAUCACCUAAUGUGAAAAUAGAGCCAUCAGCUAAAGAGGAAGCACAACCAUCACCCGAUGUGAAAAUGGAACCAUCACUUGUCAAGAAUGAACCAUUACCGAACGCAAAUAGAAAAAUAUUUACAAGACUUGCAAAGAGAGUGGGAGAAUGUUUAUGCUUGAACCAGAAAUGAGUAACAACUUUUGAUUGGGCAUGCCUAUUGUCCUGAUAUGGAAUUCCCAUGUAUGUGUUUUUUGCUUAAUGAAAAUAUGUAGAAAAUAUGUGUUUAUGCUUGAACCAGAAAUGAGUAACAACUUAAUGAACCUAUUGUGCCAAGUUGCUUGCCUUUGUUUCAUCUUCAAAUACACCAUUUUUGCACGUCUACUAUUCUGAUGGAAUACCAAUUACAUGAAUGUCAUUCUUUCGUCAAUUGGUUCAUUUGGUUCUUGAUUCUGAAAAUUUGACUCAUUUGUUGUGUUUCCUUCUACCUACUGGUUCUUAUUUUUCAUUUCUUUUACUACUGGUACUCUGGUAGCAUGUGUUGGAUCAAAUUUACAUUCUCACUAUAGUUGAAAUUUUCAUGGAGAGUAAUAUGCACUGUUAGUCUGUUACUCCUGUUAGUCCUAAACCGAGAUUCCAAUAUUGGGCGUACAGUAAAAUUUGAAGUAAAAACGACCAUCGUAGUUAAUGAAGUAAACUGGAGAAUGCAAAAAUAGUACAUUUCCCCUUAAAAAAAUAGUACAUUUCACAAAAAUUCAAAUAAAAAAUAAACCUAAAAUGCACACAUUAUUUUUUUUUCUUUCAGUGAUAUAAUAUAUACUAAAAUUAUUUCUAUAAAAAAUAUUACUAAAAUUAUUGAAGGAAAAAAAAAUUGAGUGAGAGUGAGAUAUUGUGUUUGAAAUGAUUUUGAAUGGUAUGAAAUGCCAGUGCUUUGUUAUAUCUUGGUUUUCUUCCAAACUUGUUUUAUACUACUAUGUUUUAAGUCAAUAACAAGAUUUCUUUGAUAAAAGUCAUCAGGUAUUUUGUUGAAGGUAAAUCCUUUCCAAUGUAUUCGUCUCAGGUCAUUAGAAAGACACUUAUAAUCUCUAGUGAGGUCGACAUGAUCAAGUUGUAAAAGUCUCGUUUCUUCAUCCUUUUUAAAGAAUCAGUACUGACGAAAAGUUAAAUGCUUUGCAAACUUCAAAGCCAAGUCAUUUACAGGUUCUGUUUCCUACAAAAACAUAGAAGUGUAAAGUGAAACCAUUUUCGCUUCCUUGCUAGAGAAAAGUAUAACAAGCUGCAGAGAUGCAAACCGAGCAGAAGCUACUCAAGUCGAGAGGGAAUCAAUAAAUACACUGCUUGAUGACUUAAGACAUAUAGUUUUUUCAAGUAACCUUUUGAAAUAUCUUCCAAAUCACACAAACUGUAGAGAAAAGUUAAAACAUUUAUUAUUCAAAAUCGGAGAUAGGGUUGAUGAACUAUCUGAGAAACAAGUUUUGGGUCUUACUUAGUUCACUAAAAUCUUCAAAGAAACAAAUUCAAUUACUUAAGGAGCAAGUAAAUAAGCUUCAUCAAGAAAAGUCUGUCUUGAAAGAUACUUGUUCGAAAUGUCAAGAAAAAAUGGUCGACAUUCUGAAAGAAAUCAAAAACUCUAUCAUCCAAUACUUUAAAAAUCCUUGAGAAAACUUCUCUCCUUGAAAAGAAAGAACAAAAAUUCAAUUGGAAUUGCAAGAGACUCCAAGAGCACUAUACCAAAAUGAAAUCAGCACCUCCUUGAAUUUAGAUCUUUUUAUCAUUUGUUUAACUACUUUAUAAUUUGCUAUAUGGUAUAUAACUAUGAUUACCAUAUUUCUUCUCUUUGUUGUAUAUAUGUAAUUGGGAAUGAUAGUUUUCUAUCUCAAUACUGAAGUUAAAUCGGAAACAUUAUGUAUUGUGGUUGUAUUUUUCUUCAUUCAUCUCUGUGAGGCACUAAGAAGUUGUUUCAAUCUGUUUAUUUAUGUUAUCCCCCAGAUAUAUUCAUUGUUUUCUAUUGUUUUGGCUUGAAAAAUGAAGAGAAAAUGAAUUGUCUCCAGUUGAUUAAAAAACACUACAGGAUUGAUACACUUUUAUAGACUUUAUUGAAUCUAUCCUAAUUAAUGAGAUAGAAUAUAAUAAAAUCAGAAUAUAAACUGUAAAUAUGAGUGAAUAAAUAAUGUGAUAUAGUUGCUUCUUGUUCGUUAUAUGUUAGGAGCACAGAUAGCCAAUAUCAGUAAUGGUGUAUUGCCAUAACAUUAUGAUGCUCACAAAGCAGAAAGUAAAAUAAAACUAAUUGUUUUUUCUUUCAAGCGGUAGAAGGCUUUCCUUAUAAAUCAUUAUCCGGCAACAUGAGUCACCUUUAACACCAAGCUCUUCGAUUCUCUGGGUGCUUAAAUCAAACCAAACUAACUCAUUAUCCUUUUUUCUGAAGAAUAUAUCGCCCUUCUUACAAAUUCCAAUAGGAUGUUCAAUGCCAGGCAAAGGACCUACAAUAAAGAGUUUGGUCCAUGACUCUUUGAACCCAACUUCACCCAAAAUUGAUAUGUGAAAUUUUGAUUUCUUCAGUUUAAUUUUUGAUAAACAUCAACUACUACUACCUAUAUAUUUCUUCAGUUUAAUUUUAUUACAUGACUAUAAUCCUAUUGCCUUCAACAACAAUCACACAACUCAAUCCUUCACCAAAAAUCAAUUUUCACAUAAAAUCCAUUUUCACAUGCAUCAACCAACCACAACAAAUCUAAAGUUCAAAAAAUAAGACAUAAAAUAUAACUACCUUAGCAUCCUGAUCAAACCUCCUUAAGCAUCCCAAUAGAACCAGGAUCACAAGCAUCAUAUGUGUCAUUGAAAAAUCAACAUAAACCCAACUUUUAUUGGACUAAAGGUAACCACACAAGUACUUUUGAAUUAGGAGGAACAACCUAUGAAUUAGGAGGAACGACCUAUACGCACUGCAACUUGAUCUUGAGUGGCCAUGAAGUAAGAGAUAUGAAAUCAGCUAAUAUAUGUUUUUUAUAAUUUGUAGUCAACAGAAUCAUCAACUGAUAUAUUUGCAUCAAUUUCUUUGUUACAAAAAUGCAGAUAUUUUUGUAAGAAUUUAAUACCAGAAGUUUUGCUCGUCCUAUGAAUAUUUGUGCACAACUAUUUUUUGUGAACUAGAAACCUCAUUGUUCACAUUGAUAAUAGAAAGAUCUUUGAAGCGUUUCUUCAUUGAUUUUGCUCCUUUAAUAAACAAAAGGCAUGUCAUAUUAACUAAAUAGUAUGUCUUUGGUUAAGCUAAUUAGUAAUUAGAUAAUUGAUUGAAGAUUAUUAUGUUCUAUUAGAGUAUGUCUUUAUUUCAAGGAAUAAAAAAAAUGGAUAUAUGUUGAAAUUAGAAGUUGUUGCUAACAAAAAUUGAUCAAUACUUGUUCUAUUGAAUUGAUAUGCUUGUCAUCAAUAGGAAACUGCAUUAUUAUGUCUUUAAAUUUUGGCACAUAUGUUGUGCUUUCAAACCACAUCUACCACAAAAUAUAUGUAGCUGGUUGUAAUUUGUGGCAUGCCUAAAUUUUUUUUUUUUUUGGUGUUGUAACAAAAAACACAUAUAUAUAUAUAUAUAUAUAUAUAUAUAUAUAUAUAUAUAUAUAUAUAUAUAUAUAUAUUAUGUCCUGAAUGUUUAUAUAAUUUUUUUUAUGGAAUUAUAUAUAUAUAGGGGUUUGCUAGAACACACCCACUAAUUUUUAUGUGGGAGUGUUUUAGCAAAGCUACACCUUAGGGUGUAUUUAACCACUUUUUAGUUAUUAAUUUGCUAAAAUACUCCUUCUAAAAAAUAAGUGGGUGUAUUCUAGCAAAUGCCUAUAGGAUUUGCUAGAACACACCCACUUGUUUUUUUUAGAAGGUGUGUUAUAGCAACAUACACCUUAAGGUGUAUUUAUUAACUUUUAAGUUGUAACUUGCUAAAACACUCCCACAUAAAAACUAGUGGAUGUGUUCUAGCAAAUUAUAUAUAUAUAUAUAUAUAUAUAUAUAUAUAUAUAUAUAUAGCCGAGUAGUCCCAUUAUCCUUAAUCUUAGUUAUCUAAUUCUCUUUUCUCUCUUUACCUGAUCCAUGUGAUUUCAACAUAGUACCAAAGCCAUAUUUAAUUCAUAUUUUGUUAAAACAAAUCUACUUUUUUAAAGAUUUUUACAAUAUUCUACAUAUUUCUGCAUAAUUUCAUUAAAAAAAAUACAAAUAUUACUCAUGAAUUGACUUCAAAAUUGGGACCAAAAGUGGAAAUUGAAAAUCUUAUAAGGACUAAAAGUUGAAAAAAAUAAAUUAAAGGAACUAAAACGAAAAAUUGAUAUAUUUAUUGAGACUAAAAAAAAUAUUUAACUUUCCAAUGUCUCUCCUCCUCUGUUUGGACUCUUUAUUAAUUAGAGGUGAUUUUAAACUUCAGAUGUUUCUCUUGUUGUUUUGAGAUUUGCCAUUAAGCACCAUGUUUGGAUUGCCUUUUUUCCUUCUGAUAUAAAUUGGUUCUAUUGUGGUUUUGUUUAGCUCUUUUAUUUUUUUUACCAUUGUUGCUUUUGCAUUAGCACCUUAUUCUUAUUUUUGUUUGUUUAAAGGAAUGAUCAAUAUAAAUGCUUCCGGUUGUUAUACUUAUGGUAGCUUUUAUUUAUAGAUAUUUAUGAUUAAUUUAUAGAAAUAUAUAUAUAUAUAUAUCAAGGAUUAAUUACAGAUGAAUAAAAGACAAGCGAACAAUAAGUUGCGUCAUUAGGCCUUUAAGAAAGGCAAAAUCAAUCCUCGUGAACACGACAUUCAUGGGCCUAGGAGACAUGACAUUGCUAUACAUGACCAUUUUGAACUCUAUAUAGGUCAACAACCUCUCGUGCUAGGAAAGUCAUCAAAUGUAAAAAUGGAAUAAAUUUUGUUGGAUGUAGUAUAGAAUUUGCCCACAUAUUAUUCCGUUCAUGCAUGUGAAUGCUUUUGUUGCGGCCGACUCAAGUAUUACUGCAUCUCCACGGUGGACGCCAAAUGUUCUUGCUGGUACACAUGGAGACGAGCCAUGAGAUAUUUGUGCCAUUUGGAUAAAAGUUAAUUAUUUAAUAUAUAUAUAUAUAUAUAUAUAUAUAUAUAUACACUCUUUUUUAAAAUUUUAGUCCCUAUUAAAAUUUAUUGAAAAAUUUAGUUCUCCAUAAUAUUGUAGCUUAAAAUAACGGUUCCUAUUUUAAAAAUAUUUUACUUAAAAUGAAUACUUUUAGUCCUCAAAAUAAUCGACAUAAAAGGAAAAUAAGGUUUCAAAGUGAAUAGAUUUUUUUGAAUAACUAAAUUUGAAAGCUCCUGUUUUUGUACUAAGAUAUUUAUAACCAGUAAUAAAAUAAAUUUGUAAGCCAAAUCUUGAGAAAACAAUUGUCAAAUGUAAUGUUGUAAACUCUUUUUGAAAUCUUCUUUUACGUAUCUUAUUCUUAUGCUUGAAGGCAGCGACGGAUCUAGGAUUUUUUAAUAGUGGAGGCAUCAUAUAAAAAAAUUUGUAGCAUUAAUAAUUGUCCUCUACAAUUUUUCAUAUUACGGAAACUUUGAACGGUUUUCUUAUUUUGAAAAUCAAUAAAAAUAUAUUUCUCUAUAUAAAUAACUAAACAAUCAUUUAACCGAUCAUCUCUCAUUCGAUUUUGCAUCCAAUUCUUGAUAAUAUUCAUACUAUCAAAAAAUAAUUUGAGAUAUAUGAUGAUAUAUGUGGGCCAAAAGAAAAAUAAUUUGUGAUAAGUGUAGACCGUGUGGUCAAAAUGUGAACUAUUGAUACAUUAUACUACUAAAAAUAAUAGUUUCUAAAAAUUUAAUGUAGGCACAAGCCCACACAUGGAUGAAUGAACAUACAUCCGUCCCUGCUUGAAGGACUUGUGAGCUUUGAUUAUUUUUAUUUUAUUUUGGCUUUUAAAAAAAAACAGAGAAAACAAUUGUAAAAAAAAUUAAAAAAAAUCCUGCAAAAGAGUCAACAAAACACUUCUUGAGUAUUUAGUUUUCACGUAUUUGCAAAAUCUUGCCUUAGCAAGCCUUAACUCAUAACAACCAUGUCGUUCUUUCCCUCUCGGACUCACACGAAAAAAAGUAAAUUGACUAUUACUUUUCUCACCUUAUGUACUUUUCACACGCCUUAUUUUUUCCAAAAUAUCAUUAGUUCGGAUUUUAUAAUUUAAACAAGAUUUCAAGAAAUAUUCAGAUUAUAUAAUCCAAAAAUGUCUUUUACCAAAUUUUUAAUUUGAGUUUAGUUUAUUUUAUAUUAUUUAGAUGCGAAAAUCAUAAAAUAAAUGAAAAAAAUAAAAGAACAAAACGAUAUACAUAAAAAUUUUAUUUUAUUAUUAUAUCAAUACAUUUAUAAUAAAGUUGAAGCUUAAAGCUUAUUACAUAGAACAUUCAAACAUAAACCAACCUAACACUCAGACAAACCGUGCUUCUUUGUAGCGCGUUGUCUUCCCCGUUACCCGUUCAUACAAUCCUUGAGUUUCCAAAGUAGCAUCUUUUUAUGAAAUGCCAACGAUGGAAACACAUUGUUGUAUAAGGAAGAUGAGGAGAGGAUGAGAGUGUGAGAUGAUGGUGUGAGAAAUGGUGAAGGUUUGAACGCUAUUUAUAGGGGGAAUGGUUGCAUAGAGUGUAUCUACACUUAAUGUUGAGUAAAAAAAUAUGGUUCAAAGGGGUUUUACCACCCAUCAAUGCUGAUAAAAACCUUUGAAAACAUGUUUUAUGUGGUUCAGACCACCGGCCAAGAAACUGACUUGGUUCAAAUUAUAUAAUCUGAAAUCAUACCCAUGGUUUUCGGAUUAUAUAAUCUUAAUUUAUUCAAUGUUAGGUGGAAAUGAAGGAACUUCAUACCUUAUGCAGGGUGAGAGACAUUUCGGAUUAUAUAAUAAGAAAAUGUUUAGGACAUGAUUUUUUCUGUGGUCCACAUUGCACCGACAGUUUAUGUGCUACAAGACACCCAAGUACCUCUAUAAAUAGGUGUCCCUGUUUUCAUAACCAAAAAACCACACACAAAAAAAAAAACAUGGAAAACUCUCUUUGAUCUGAACACCAAGCUAGUUACAGUGUACUACAACGGGGAGAAACCAAUCCAUCUAUUUAGGAUUCACACUUAUGUCGCCCUCUCUGUGUUGAAGGGUCAGCUGGAUCGAAUCAACCGCCAACUCAACUAAAGAGACACACGGAGGGUGGAUGGUGUUCAGUAUCGACAUCCAUCGAUCGACUCAGCCAGGAGUGUGCGGUUCACCCGGAUGAAGCUUAUGAACGGCGACGUGAGAACCAUAUUCUUGAUCUUUGGUCAAUACAGUACUAGAGGACCGAUCGAGUUGGACGCUUCGUUGGUCAGAUAUGUUGAACAAAUUCAUAAAAGUUUGAUCCGACCCAAGAACUACGAAGAGAUUAGGGCACUCUUGGACGCACCAUAUGAAGACAUUAAUUUAGCUGAUCUGUGGUAUGAAUGUCAUCAAAGGGUCCAUAUUGUCUCUGGUUCCCAUUCUCUAUUUUAUGGUUUUAUGUUGACGUGUAAUGCGUUUGAAUCAGGUACCUUAUUGGGAAUUCGUGUCUUACAAUUGGACCUUGACCCGGUGAAAAACAAUACCUGAAAAAAGAAAAACAAUGUGCUAGUUAUUGGCUUAUGCAGUUAAUACUUAGUAAUUCAGUUUUUCAAAGAUCACUUGUUCUUUAACAUAUUUGAAAACAUAUACUAAUGUAGAACAAUGUUAAAAAAUGUCAGAAUUGUUAACCUCUAAUUGUUGCAUAUGAAACAACAAUUACAAACCAUCACCAUCAAAAUAUAAAAUUGAAUUAUAAACACUUUUGAUGUCUAAACUACCAAUUUAAAAGUUUUUCCUCUAUAUUUUAUUUCAUUUACUUUUAUUUUAUAAACCCUCUAAUUCUUGCCUUUUUUACAGUUCAUAUAUAUAUAUAUAUAUAUAUAUAUAUAUAUAUAUAUAUAUAUAUAUAUAUAUAUAUAUAUACACUCACAAUUUUGUCUAUGCAUUAAUCAUUAAUGAACAUGAUGAAGUUAUAUCAGUUUGAAUUGCUCUUAUCCUUUCUAUUCAUCAUUGUCAAUACAACCCUUUCGGGUUAUAUCCCUCAAUUGCCUCAUUCUCUUGUCAAACAAAUAGACAAGAUCAAACAAUCUCCUCCAUCAGAUGAAGAUUCAAGGUCUAUCUCAAAUCAAAAAACAUUUGAGCACUUUCGGCUACUUCCGACAAUUUCUACUGAAAUUUGAUGAUGUUCUAGACGAGGAAACAAUAUCCGCUAUUAAGACCUACCAACAAUUUUUCAAUCUCCAAGUUACUGGUAACCUAAACACCGAGACUUUACAAAAAAUCUCGUUACCGCGAUGUGGUAUUCCUGAUAUGAGAUACGAGUAUGGCUUCGAUGUUGGAAGUGAUGUAUCAUUUCCGAAAGGAAACAAGUGGUUCCCUAAGGGCACAAAAAAGCUGACAUAUGGUUUUCUUCCAGGGAAAAAAUUCUCGUUACUGCGAUGUGGUAUUCCUGAUAUGAGAUACGAGUAUGGCUUCGAUGUUGGAAGUGAUGUAUCAUUUCCGAAAGGAAACAAGUGGUUCCCUAAGGGCACAAAAAAGCUGACAUAUGGUUUUCUUCCAGGGAAAAAAUUCUCAUUAGACAUGAUCGAAGGGUUUAGAAAUGC
rnacentral:lncRNA from 1 species